UUUAUCAUAGUAUCGAUGGAGCGUGUGUGGUUAACCGGCACAUCGAUUGAGGGGUAAUUUAUUAAGGGUACCAAGUGAUUUGCAUGGUUACUUCACACCUUGUUUUGUGAUCCUCGGCAUCCCAGUCACAAAACCUGAAGGGCACACUCGAGAUUGAAACAUGCCUUUGAAAAGUUCAAUGAAUCUCAAAGAUCUAGGAGUUUCAAAACCAAUUAAAACCUAAUAAUACAUUUCGUUUAUCUUGGUGGAAAUUGGUGAAUCGUCAUUCACCUACCUUCAAAUAUUUUAUAGCUUGGAUUACGGCAUACCUCUUCUAAGUUAUAAAAUAGUUUGUUGGGUCCUAGCCUUAAUAUUUCAUAUUGGGUGUCAUAUUAAGGACUUUAAAUCAACUAUCUUGAAUAUCUCCCAAAAGAUGUCUGGUUUAGACACCUAUGAUCUUCCCAAAUCUCUUGAAACAAGGUUUCCUAAUGAAGAUGAUGUCCCAUGGAUAUCAUACUUCUUCACCUCUUCAAAUUAUUCUCCCUAACCCACAAGUUCUUGAAAAGUUUAAGGUCACUCAGGCCCUAUUAGCAAGGCAAGGUCUAGGUGUGGUCACAUCUUGGAGAUGUAGUCACAUAUUGACAAGCCGGGAGAGUUGGGUGUCAAAGUCUUGAGAAAGUUGGUGGUUCAACCACUUUCUAAGUCACAUAGUGAGUUCCUUUGGGACACCUAUGAAACAGACUAUGACAAGACCCUUAAUGAUCUUAUCUAUUUGCUAAGAUCAACUUCCUAAAACUUUAUGGACAUUGACAAUGAUGACAUUGGAUAUCCAGUAAAGCAUUCUCUUCCCAAUGGAAAGGGAUCGGCCAUAGUCAACUCGGUUGACCAAAUGGUAAAGAGAAAAGCUAAGUCUGUGAUAGUCCCGUGUACCAUUAUCAAAGGGUCCAUAUGUUUAUAUUGCCAAAGGAAGGGGCAUUGGUUGCGAAGCUGCCAAAUUUACCUAAGGAUGUUAAAGUCAAUAAGUUUGACUCUACUUCAGGUAAAGUCCACUAUCUAACUCUGUUAAGUUUCUAUUCUGAGAUUCUUGAUACAUGAUGUGACUGGGUCACAUGGUGAUGUUUUAAGAAUCAAAGAAAAGUGAAGAAACUUAAAGAAAGAAUAUGCUGAAUCUGAUGGCGUAGAUGGAUUUCUAUCGCAUAGUUUGAAGAUCGGAUUCUUGAGCUACUUCUUAGGAGUUAUGAGAUAUUGCUUAGGAAUAGAUAACAACAAGUUUUCAUAUGGAUUGUAAGGAUAAGUUUUUCCGCAAAGUUUUAAAAUAAAAGAAAAUUUUUUUGAUUUUAUUUAUUUUAAAAUAUCCUUACAAUGGCUUUUGAGGAAAAAUUGUUGCUUAUAUGAUUCCAUUAAGAGCAAGAGUGGAAAUAUGAAAUUGAUUCUUUCAUUUGUGGUAAUGUCUAGAUUUACCAAAUAAGGAAAGAUUCUCAUCACCCAAGUUUCAAUUGGACCGGAACUUGGAAUCAUGCAAGUUGUAUAGCAUGAUGAAUGAGAACUUUCAAGUUUUGGAAAAUUAAGACUAAUUACUUGUUCACAUGGAUGUGUGAGUCAAGUAAAGGACUAAGGGAUCGAGUACACAUUCUUGUGCACUGAUUAAGUCCACCACUAAAGAUCGAUAAGAAGAAUCAAAUAAGGCAGAAGGAUAAAAGUUUCUCAAAUCUGAAAAGAUGGGAGAGUACUUUAGUAUCAGUUUUGUGAUCAUCUUAAUGAUUAAGAAACCAUAUCAAAAUUAGUUCUCUAAGGAAAUCUUAGUGCAUUCUUAUGACUAAGAAGAGGAACUUGAAUUGUUGAAAUGGUUAAAUCAAGAAGAUGAGUCAUACUUCGUUCCAAUACAAGUCUUAGAGUCAUACUCCAAGAUUGUCAUUUGAGUGACAUGUCUUAAAGAAGGUUUAAAACACUUGUCAAAUGUAAGAGUAAAAGUUUUCUACUCUUGUACAUUUGAAAUUGGUAAGUUGUGAUGUUUUGGAUAAAACAAAGACCAACUUAGGCCAAUUGGGUAAAGUGUUUUUCUUGAUUAGAAUCCGCACUAUCUCUUGGAUGUUUGACAAGGGAGUCUUAUAUGUCAAGAGGACAGUGGGAGUCUUAAAGGUCUUGAAAGUCUCAAGAAAUAAUCAAGAAUAAAACCUAAAGUUCUUCACUAGCACACGACUUGAGGUUUAUAACCUAUCGUGUUGACAUAUCUGUGCCCAUUCCAGUUAAAGUUGGCUUUGCAUAUGAGUUCUUAGAGUUCUCAGUUUGUUGCAUAACAACUUGGAAGCAAUGGCAGGCCCUUGAGCUGCCAGGUGGCAAGAAGUUAAGAUUGAGUUCAAUCCAUAUGGUUUUGGAUUUGUCAUUAUCUUUGUCUUGUGAUUAUGGUUUGACAAAUUCAUAUGGGUAGGAACUCAUACACCAUAUAAAUCUAAGUGUCAUAAGGUUUCUCUCCGAUUCAUGAAAAUGAUGGUGAGGAAACGCUUUCACUAAGUAGAUUUUACGAAGAUAUCAAUUGUGUUAUUUGCAUUUUCAAAAGUCGUUAGUGGAGCGCGUGUGGUUAACCGGCACACUAACAUGGACUUGUGAGAAAUGGCAAAUGCCUAAGCAAUUGAGACCAUGAUUACGGUAUCCCUUUUCAUGGUUCUUGAAAUUGCUUAGACACACAGGUGAGCUAUCUACGGAAAGGGUGUAUGAAUCUAAAUUUCAGACUGUCCAGCUGAUUUCUGAGUACAUGUCAAAGCUAGUGGGAGCAUAAGUGUUAUGCUAAUAAUCAUCAUGUUAGUGGGAGCAUGAUAAUUAUGAUAAGUAUUGCAAGUUAGCAAUGUUAAUUAUAGAAAACAAAAGUUUCAAUUGGGAAAAAGUUGUUUUGCUAUAAUUAAGGGAGAGGAAAUUAUGCUUCAUCUCAAAUCUAUAAGCUUAGAUCGUGAGGUUUUAAUCAUUUAGUCAAGGAUAUAUAUGAAUUUCAUGUUGGAAUGGCUCAACAUAAGGAAAUUCUGUAUAUGGGUCCAUUAUUUGCGUUCUAAAAUUCGAUUAUGAUUACGGCAUCCCUUUUCAUAAUCUGAAUUAUGAGAACUUGGCAAAUUGAAAUGGAAAUAUUAUAGCAAAAGACUGGUUUAGUCUUUAUGUAAGACAUCAUGAAUCGUGUCCCAUAUGCUUCGGAUAUAGGAUCGAUUACAUGUGCUAUAUUCAUCCGUUCUAAAAUUUUCCAAAUGCCUGGGGCAUUAAGAAGGGAAAAGGUUUAGAACUGGAUAUGACUAAAAGGAUUAAACAAUUGUCGAGGACAAUCUAAGGUUUACCAAAGAUUGGUUACUCAAGGACAAUUGGAAGUAUAGUGAUAAUUCUGGAAGGACCAUAUUGACAUAAUCUGUAAGGAGGCAACUCUUGUUCAGAAGUGAUAGUCAAAAUGGAAUCUGGAAAUGUUUCAAAGUUAGAAUUUUCAAUCUGUGUAAGAUUAAGGAAACUUAAUGCAAGAAGGAUAUUUCCAAGGAGUUGAUCUCCUUUGGAAUACUCUGUAAUGAUUGUUGCCAAGUCUUUGUGACUUUGUGCAUAAUCAUUACAAGAGGAUCAAUGCAUAUAAGUUUAGAAUCUAACAGAUUUCAGUAAAUGGCAUGAAUUUGGAAUUCUUGCAUUUGCAGUAAGGAUUUGGGAGUGUGAAAAGAGAAUCAUUGAAGUUAUGUUCAAUUGAUCUAGUUCACAAAGUAAAGAUCAUAGACAAACAUAGUAUGCAUACUUGGUGUGUGGCAUGACUAGUGUUUAAGAAAACAUAGUGUACAUGCUUGGAGCAUGGGACAACUAUUGUUUUAAAUUCAAGAAUAAAGUUGAUAGCUGAAACAGUAUACAAUGAAUAAUGUGUAAUCAUAUGGUGAUAAAUAAAAGGUGUUUUAUUUAUGUUCAAAGGGUUGAUACCAUAUUGGAUUCAAUUAUUAUUGUGUUUCAUUUUGCAUGUUUUGACUUCCCGAAUAAACUGGGUUAUUCUUCCGGAAUGACUAAGUUAUUCAAACCAUCCACAGUCGGUCAUAUGUUGGAAGUAGAUAUGAAUUAAGACUGUCAUGGGUUGGCUUGUAGAGGUCUAAGGUGUUGGACAAAGGGCUACAACACUCAUGAGUGCUCAUAAGUUCUGAGUAUUGGAUUCAACCCGCGCUCAUUGGAAUCACUUCAUGGAUUUUAUCACGAGUGAUCAUGAGACGAUAAUAUCUUAUAUUCUUCAAACCUAGAGAUAUGAGUUGUUACUAUGAGUUGAUAGUACAUUGAUUGCACGAAAACGCAUUUGGUAACUCGGUGCUAUAAAACGUGCCUUUGUGUAUGAUUCAACAAGUAGUAGAACAAGCCAUAUGAGUCGAAGUUUAUCCAUUCCUUUUACCUUCGGGAUAAAAGCGAUAUCUGUGGGCCCCUCGAUGAUUUGAUGAUGACAAAUGGAAGUGCUCGGCCGGGCCAGGACUGAUUUGAUUUGUUCAAUUAGUCAGUCGUCAUAAAUCGGAAAUCGGGAAACAACAAAUGGACAGAGAGAAUGAUUAUAAUCCAUGUCUCAGUCCAUAUGAUAUCUAGAAUGGAGGAAUAUAUGAUCCCUUAUCUAAUGGACAAGUCAUUGACAAAGGUCAGAGUUCAUCUACAAGGUCAGAGUUCGACAGAAGCUUUUGAGAGCUACGAUUGCCAGUUGGUUCCUGAAGUCAUACGCAAUAAUAGUUUUAGACUUAUCCAAGUGGGAGACUGUUGGAUUAAUGUCUAAGUCCAUAACUAUAAUUGGUAAGACUUGACCCGACCCGGCAUGGUCCAUUUGGGUUGCAUGGCAUCAUGCACUUGGAUAGACUAUAAUGAGAGAAAUAAGACACUUAUGGUUAUUAAUAUAUUAUAAGUUCUAGUAUAUUAAUAAUAAGAAUAAUAAGAUUAUUUAAUUAGUAUUGAUCAAGAAUUAAUCUAGGAUUAAUUAAGUGAUCAAAAGAAGACUAAUUAAAUAUAUGGGUUGAUUGUGUAAAUCAUCCAUACUUGUAUACUGGGCUAAUGCUCCAUGGAUAAUCAAGUUGAGCUAAAAGACAUAGGAUGGUCCAUGGAUGCUCCAUGGUGUAUUUAAACCCAUGGAUCCAAGGAAAUGGAAAGUCAUGACAAUUAGGGUUUACCCUAAUUGUUACACUAUAUAAAGAUAUUAUUCUUGACAAAAUCAGCCACUAGUGUGAGUAAUAGAGAGGCUAGCCGAUUUUAUGAAGUGUAGAUUUCUCUCAAGUUAUUCCAAGUGUAUUUGGUGUUGUGUGAACCAUUUGAGGUGUCACACUUGGGGCACUAGGCACUCAAGCUUCAUGAAGACUUUCUACAUGAAAGAGGUAUGUAUUCUAUCUUGUUAUAUUCAUUAUUUUAUAUGCUAGAUUAGGAUAAUACCUUGGAUGUUCAUAUUUGCAUGUAUAAUAGAGAAAACAUAGAUCCAAGGUUUUUAGGGUUGCAUGUACACUUAGGAGUGUUAGAAUGCUCAUAACCCAACAACUCUUUGAUCCAUGUUUUCAAGUAUUCUACCCAAGGAGGCGUCGGGCCAAGAAAAGUCAGACUAGGGUUAGGAUUUUGAAUGGGAGCUACCGGGAUUAGGUUCUCAACCUCAGGCUCAGAGUUAUCAUCAUCCGAAAGGUCUUCAGCAUGGUUUUCAUUCAAAGGGAUUGGAUGAUCAUCCUCUUGUUCUUCUCUAAACCAUCCAACAUUUCCUUCGUUCGGAAGGUACGGGUUGUCGUGGGGAUGGAGUCCAGCGAUGUUAUCUACACGAGAAUUGGGGUAAGGAAAUAAUUAUUAGACAAACUAAAUACAUAAAUAUAAGAUAGUUACAUCACUAUUUGUAAAGUGCAUACAAGUUAUAUGUAAUCAAAACAGGAUAGGCCUUCGAAUAAGUGACCUUAUGUCACACCCUAAAACCACGAACAUCAGAAACGUUUAGGGGUGGAGGACGUCAUGUACAGUAACACAACAGUGUAAUACAAUAAACAAGCAACAACAUCAUCCAUUGCAUUAUAAGUAGAGUUUUAAUACAUGUGCGUUCUUUCAUAAUGUACGACAAUAAAAUGAAUAAUCAAAAUAAGGCGAGUCUUGUCUGUGCUCCAUCUUCUCCGGUAACAUGGCCGUCGCACCUAUCUAACUGAUGACCUGAGAAUACAAGUUAUUUUGAAAGCGAGUAUCAACCUAAAGCUGGUGAAUUCAAAAGUAUUUAAGUGUCAUUGCCUUGUUUGGAAAACUGUCAUGAUUGUCUGGCAAAUCUUUAAAUGUAACAAUUGAUAUAAGUUUGAAAAUCCUAGAAAAUCCCUUAUUUCCUACAAGUAUGAAAUGUAGUCUUCUACCAAGACCCGAAUGUUCUGUAAGUAAAAUGAUAGUUUUUCCUUUCUAUUGACUAGUAAUAAAUUACUUAGUCUAACUCCUCGUUUAUGUGAAAGUAUCACAAAAUAAAGUAAACAGGAAAAUGUACUACUGUAGGUGUUGUCACUGGGUACUAGGACUAACACAACAUAUGUAACUGUUAUCCCGAGGUACUAGGGUUAACACGACCUAUAUAACCUAAUGAACAUCGGAAGAUUGUCCAAUUGUCCUCUAUAGUAGCAGCAGGGCGGAGGAAGGGUUAGUCCCUCUAAGGUACUCCUAGUAUAAGUAAUAACCGGAGGCAUCCGUAGAUGUUCAUCACCCACUGUUGCUAACAAAUGGGUUCCGGAAUGGUUAGUCCCGUCCAUAUAUCCCGAGGUACUAGGGAUAGGGACCCAUCUAGGUAUCCCGAGGUACUAGGCAUAGGGUCCUGUCUAGAUAUCCCGAGGUACUAGGGAUAUGCAGGAAGAUUUACACAUAAGGUACUAAUAAUCAUCCUCGCAAUUCGAGAUACAAGUAUUCAUGUAAAUAAUACACAGGUAACUGUAUCUACGUAAAGGUACUCAUGUAAGGUAUUCAUGUAUCAUGUAAGCAUAUGUAAACGUACUCAUGUAUCAGGUAAUGUACUAAUAAAGACUCAUGAAUGAACUGACUCUUGUGUGAUUCCUUGUAAUAGGACUCAUGUUUGAUAUCUUCAAAUUAUCCCUAUGAUAAUUUACUAAAAGGUAAUUAGUUGUUCAAGUAGGUUUAUACACUCUUACUACUCAAGGGUGUGGGAAACUAAAUGAAAGAUUUAAACUAUAAUCUCUAACAUAUAUAUGAACAUAUGUGUAUAAGUAUAGUUUGGCUCAAGAAGGUAAAAUUUAUGGUUUUGUAAGAUAUCUAAGAGUUUUGAACAAUAAUUAAGAGUGACUUGAUGUCAUUUUAAUAAACAUUUUAACAAAUACUUUUGUUAUCAAGGUAUUUUAAGAUAGUAAACCAUUUCACGUGUCACCUUUUGAAAUAUCUGAAAUCUACUGAGUGAAAACACAGUUAUAAAAUACGUAAGAUUGAUUUAAUAACAUACUGUUUUCUACUUGUAUUCCCCCCCCCCAUUAAAGCAUUUAAAAUCAUUUAAAACAUUGAUUAAGGGGUAUGAACUCACCUGUUGUGAGUGGUUCUAGCGGGUACGUGUGUAGGGAUGAGAAGUUCCACGAAUGAAGUCCCGAGACACAAUAAGUCCUAAAUGAUAUUUAAGGACACAUAAUGACAUGAAUAUAGUGUUUAUAACAACUAUAUGAAAGAUAACACCUUCCGGGACUAGGAAACACCUUGACCAAGUGUUGGAAUCACAUGUGAUUCAACAUAGGAAGGUAUAAGGGCACACUUAUGAGUUUACUACCAUGAGUUCACGGCCCAAGGGAGUUUACGGCCGUAAACUCAUGGUCACUCAUGGGUUUGUGUAAGUAUGAAAGCUAGGGAAUGAUUUAGGGACAUUAGCUCUAGCAUAGGAUGAGAAAGACCACCUUCUUUGGAGUUUUUGAGGUGUUCACGGCCCAAAUGAGUUUACUACCAUAAACUCAUGGCCAAAUAUACUUAUGGGGGUCCUAAAGGUCAUAAGGAAGCAUUCUAAAUUCAUGCCUAAGCCCUUGGAAGUGUUUGUGGCAUCAAAACACCCCUAACUUGAGUUUACGGCCCAUGGACCAUUUGGUCAUGUGUUUGCGGCCGUAAACACUUGUGGGUGUUGGUAUUUUGGUUGUUUUGGGUCUUAGACACAUCAAGGUAAAAAGCUAUGCUAGUCUCUUGGCUUAAGGGUGGCAUUUAGGGCAUUUUGACACCCUAAAAUGGAGUUCACGGCCCAAGAACUUCCUUGGCCGUGAACUCACUUUCAACCCUUGAUUCUAUUUGUUUUGGAUGUCUAACCAUGUCAUAGGUAGUCUCAAGGUUCAUUUCCAAGGCUUUUAGGGUCAUUGGGACACUUUUGGCCCUUAAAAUGGAGUUUACUCUCCAAAACGAGUUUACUCUCCAAGAGGAGUUUACUCUCCAAGAUGUUCUUGGGGAGUAAACUCUCAAAUCUUGUUGUUUUGAUUUUGUUUUUUGUCCCUAAACUCAUUUGUGUACAAGUCCAAACUAGUUUCAUGGCUUAAGGAAGGACUAGGCCUCAUUUGGCUUUCGAAAAGGAGUUUACUCUCCAAGAUGUUCUUGGGGAGUAAACUCAUAGAUCUUGUUGUUCUGUCAUGAUUUUGAUGUUAUUCAGCACAACCUAAGUUAUAUAAUACAACUAGAUUGAAGUACUCACGUUUUGGGAUAAAAACCCGAAGAUCCGUGAGAGAGAAUUUGGCUUUUCUCUAAUUGGAAAUGUAACUAAUGAAUUAUUUGGUUCAAUUUUUCUUUUAUAGUCCUGAGAUUUUUGGCAGAAAAUAUUUUAUUCCCGGAAUGAACUUUAAUAUCAUAGAGUAUCGAAAUAACAGUGUUGCACAAAACCCUAGUGCAUCCACUCUCCUGAUAUCUCCUUAAGUGUAAAUCCUGAAAAACUCAAACUUAUACCCAAAGUCUGGAAUUUCACUGAAACUGUUCUAACCUCUAUUGGCUUGAUAUGGUUUGUUCAAAAUGGAAAUUUCAGGUUGUCACAUCAUCCCCCUGUUAAAGGGAAUUUCGUCCCGAAAUUAGAAUUUAGGCAAGGAAGUAGGUAAACGUGAUUGAGUCGUUAGGUGAAAACUUCCUAAUCGAUUUUCUCUCGCGCUCCCAAGUGAAAUCGGGUUCUCAGUUGGUAUUCCAACGAACCUUCACCAAAGGGCGACGACGUUGCUUCGUCUGCUUGACCACUCGGUCGAGGGUCACUACGGUUGUAAUAUGAAGGCAAGGAUCUCAUAAUCUCGAGCUCGUCGAGAGGGAUUACGAAAAUCCUAACUGAAAGAUAUUGUUUCAAGUUCGAGACGCGAAGGGGAAAAUGUACGNCGAGGGUCAUUACGGUUCUAAUACGAAGGCAAGGAUCUCGUAAAUCUCGAUCUUAUCGAGAGGGAUUACGAAAGUCCUAACGGAAAGAUACUAUUUCAAGUUCGAGACGUGAAGGGGAAAAUGUACGUUACUAAGUUCGCGGAGUAGGUCUAGUUUGUGAAAUGCAGGACCGAUUCUGGUAAGAAUCUCGGAGGUCCUAAUUAUAUUGGAUUUUGGCUUUCCACGCUUUACAAAGCGUAUUAAGCCGUUCCCCGAGUGAGGUUUCCUAAAGAAUUUGGUCUCUCACUUGGAAUUCCAAAUGUUCUUUCUCUCGCUUACUUCCCAGUCAAGGGCCAUCCCUUGCUGGGUCAAAGUCGAAAGGGUUCCUGAAGUUUACGGGGAGUUCCGAAUGGACUAUGAUAGUAGGUCUGUGAGACCUAGAAUUUGGCGAAUUUUCUGUCGGCGACUAUGGUGCCGACAAAUUCCCAACGGUUUUGGAUAAUUUGACAGAGUACUCAAGAAUUCCCACAACACUAAAAGUGUGUCAUAGGAAAUUUGACUGUAAAUUCCAAAACUCUUGUUCAGAGAACAUUGCGGAAGUACCUCUGAGGGUAAUGUUUCUAUGGGUUCUUUCUUACUACGAGGGUAGAUAAGUAGUCAUUAUAUGGAGAAAUGACGAACUGAGCCCAGUAAGAAAGGCGUACUCUACUCAUUCAGCUCAUGAAUACUAUGGGCGUAUUGGUCCUAUCCGAGGGGUAUUACUACGGACUCGAAGUGUUCGCAUCGAGUUUGGAGGGUAGUCUUUAGGACAUCCUUCCCUACCACUCGAACUGGUGAUAUUCGGAUCUCAGGUCCAUUUCUGAAGUAAUUCUUUCCCUGUGUUUGCCCAAUCAAUUCGUCUACGCGAGGCAGAGACAACGAUUUCUAACAGAAAUCUUAAUGAAGUCUCCGGUCGUCGAGGUACAUAGAAUGCACUCUGUCGACUUCUGUUAAGAAUAAGACCAGAGCUCUCAAGGGUGAGAAGCCUGGUCUUCUAAUUCUAUUGUUGAGUAGUUCGCUGGGUUGUCCGGGCUGUUCUUGUAUCUUCCGUAGGUGUUUAGACUGUAAGGCGAUCUGGUUAUAAGAGUCAUACUGGGUUCUAAGUUUGUUCCUAUGCCAAUGCAAUUACUCGUACUCCUGGACAAUCUCCGUCCUGAAGUUCAUAUUAGAAUUUAUACGUGAUUCAAUGAUCACAAUUUCGUGUAUACGAGUCGUAUAUAAUUAAGACUGAAAAGGUAGUCGAAUAACUGAUUCUUCCUUAAUCUCACAUCCCACCGAGGGAAAAGAACUUAAAGUGGAAUCAUCAAUUCUAAAACUAUAGAACAUUGAUUAUAUAUCACUCUCAUGUAUACAUUCUUCAGUGAUAUAUCAACUGUAUGAAUCCUGGAAUUGAACUUGACGUACUGCGCGAGUAAUACUGUGGGGAUUCCUUCGGAAAGGAAAAGAACUAUAAGGUACUCCUUGUAUGAGGACUUCGGUGUUCUGAUAUAACGGCUUUGCUAAAAGACGAUUUCCGAGAAAAGGAUGUACUUAUGAAGCUGGUAUUUCGAAGAUUAAUUUACUCGAGUCGUAUGAUAAAGUCGGAAACAUAUGGAAACUAAAGACAUUAUAUUUGAACAUAAGGUCUUACAGACAAAACACAACAGUGCAACCAUUAACAAAGUUACUGUACUUAGGAUUUAUUACAAGACUAUUGCUGCGAAACAAGGUAUACUACAAAAGACAAGUAUACGCAGCACGAGAGUCCCUUAACGGACGGAAUCUCGCAAAAGAUAAGACUCUGGUUGCCCUAGUUUUAAACAUGUUUUUGUACAUACUAAAUAUUGACGAUUUGGAGGGAACCUAUACUAUAUUAGGUUCCUUAACUGCCUUUUUGCAUUCUGAGGUCAAACUCAUCCGGAUUUGCCGUUGUCCUUCUCCGAUGGACAGUCCCUCUUGAAGUGUCCCAUGAUGCCACAUAGAUGGCAUAUCUGAGAGGUUCGGACAUUGGUGGUUGAAGAAAUGUGUUGGAUCUGGAUCAUGCGGUAACUAGCAGUACGUCCCUUCCUUUUGCAGUGUGAGCACUGCAUUUCCCUACAAGGUCCAUGGUGGUGAUAAUUGCAUUUGAUGCAUUUUGGGAGUUUUCCAGCGUAAGGUUUGGCUGGUUUGGGGACCAUUGGGAUGCCCGAAGGGAUGGUAGUAGGAGGUACUGAUGUCGUAGCUGUGAAGGUUGUUACGGAUGGUUGUUUCCUGUUCGCCCUUCGAAGCGACUUGUCCUUAGAGUUAGUCCAAGACUUUUGCUUGUUACUUGGAUUGGAAUGAUUGUUAACAAUCCCGCUAACACCUGCGUCGUUAGCGUUCAGGUGGGUCAGAAUAGCUGGCACGGCAGCCGAGAUUGCAGCUUGAAAGGUAGCUGCAUCAAUCUGAAGAGUUGGUGUUUGGUUGAUAGGCUAAUCGUGUUUCUUGGAUGACAUGAUUCUAUUACACGGAAGGAAACAAAUUUGUGAGCGAAAAUGGUUGAAUCUAAACGUAGUUCGAUCGCUCAUGAAAAGAAUAGAAGUAUGUUCUCCAAAGUUCGACCUACAUCCCUAUGAUGCAGUCCUAGUAAAGAUCGGAAGUAAGUUUCUUAAAACGGUCUCAAGAUGUUUGUUGUUCGAGCCGAGGUGUUGUUGGUUGGUGAAUAACAUGAUCCAACCAUUAGCAGAGACUUGGAGAUGUCUCCGAAGUUAAAUUGCUAUAGUCCAAUGACUUGACUAGAGCAUGUUCCAAAUAGACUCUAACGAAAGUAUGAUAAGAGUAUUUGAACAAAGAAUGACUCAGUAGUUAGCCGACUGUCAAUAUAUUUGAUAUUCAUGACGUACAGGUUCGGGAAAAUGACCUUCUAAUAAGGUCUUACAUCAUAACCAGAGAAGAUAGUUUCUGACAGUAAAAAGACCUAACCAAAGUACUUACCGUACAAGAUAGUUUCAUAGAAAAUGCCACAUCGGGCAUAGGCAGAAAGAAGAUUCCUUUCUAACAAGGAAAAGUAAAGUAAAGUAUCUAUUACCAGCGACGGUCAUCCCUCUGGUGAACUCUCAGUUCAGCCAGUUGGUGUUCUACAUCAAGUAGGUGUCUUUCGUACACUCUCUGGCGUUCCCGAAAUUCCAUGACUUCGGCUCGUGAUUCAGCCAGUGUUUGCAGUAGGGUUUCAUAGUCACUCUCGGACCUCUCACGAGCAAGUUUCAAGGCGACUGGUGCGAAGCAUAUGCAUUCCUCCAUUUGUAUCGACUUUUGCGAUACGUUGUAGAGCUGUCAUGCCCUGAAUUUUGUUUCGGGUAACUCUUCGGAUCAGAAUUGGCAUGAUUCUAUCUGCUGAGCCCCCAUUGCUCAGGUCAUAGAAGCUUCGGUCACCAUUAAAUGGCAUGGGCUGAUCUUGUCCUUGGCUCCAUGUUUCCAAACAUUCCACCCACUCAGGCGUCGGGCCAUGAAAAGCCGGACGAGGGUUAGGAAUCGGAAAGGGAGCUGCCUGGGGUAGGUUCUCAACCUCGGGUUCGGAGAUGGCAUCGUCUGAAAGGUCUUCAGCAUGGUGAUCAUUCAGAGGGAUUGGAUGAUCAUUAACUGGUUCUUCUCUAAACCAUCCAGCAAUAACCGCGUUCGGAAGGAACAGGUUGUCGUGGGGAUGGAAUCCAGCCAUGNUCACUUCGUUCGGAAGGAACAGGUUGUCGUGGGGAUGGAAUCCAGCCAUGUUAUCUAUGCGAGAAUUGGGGUAAGAAAAUAAUUAUUAGACGAACUAUCUAGAUAAUUAUUUAGGAAAUCUUCAUUAGUUCCAUCGCUAUUUGUAAAGUGCAUACCAGUAUAUGUAAUCAACAUAGGAUAGACCUUCGAAUAAGUGACCUCAACUCCAAAUUCACAAGGNNNNNNNNNNNNNNNNNNNNNNNNNNNNNNNNNNNNNNNNNNNNNNNNNNNNNNNNNNNNNNNNNNNNNNNNNNNNNNNNNNNNNNNNNNNNNNNNNNNNACUGGGUACUAGGACUAACACAACAUAUGUAAUUGUUAUCCCGAGCUACUAGGGUUAACACGACCUAUAUAACCUAAUGAACAUAUGAAGAUUGUCCAAUUGUCCUCUGUAGAAGCAGCAGGGCGGAGGAAGGGUUAGUCCCUCUAAGGUACUCCUAGUAUAAGUAAUAACCGUAGGCAUCUGUAGAUGUUCAUCACCCACUGUUGCUAACAGAUGGGUUCCGGAAUGGUUAGUCCCGUCCAUAUAUCCCGAGGUACUAGGGAUAGGGGCCCAUCUAGGUAUCCCGAGGUACUAGGCAUAGGGUCCUGUCUAGAUAUCCCGAGGUACUAGGGAUAUGCAGGAAGAUUUACACAUAAGGUACUAAUAAUCAUCCUCGGAAUUCGAGAUACAAGUAUUCAUGUAAAUAAUACACAGGUAACUAUAUCUACGUAAAGGUACUCAUGUAAGGUAUUCAUGUAUCAUGUAAGCAUAUGUAAACGUACUCAUGUAUCAGGUAAUGUACUAAUAAAGACUCAUGAAUGAAGUGACUCUUGUGUGAUUCCUUGUAAUAGGACUAAUGUUUGAUAUCUUCAAAUUAUCCCUAUGAUAAUUUACUGAAAGGUAAUUAGUUGUUCAAGUAGGUUUAUACACUCUUACUACUCAAGGGUGUGGGAAACUAAAUGAAAGAUGUAAACUAUAAUCUCUAACAUAUAUAUGAACAUAUGUGUAUAAGGUAAAAUUUAUGGUUUUGUAAGAUAUCUAAGAGUUUUGAACUAUAAUUAAGAGUGACUUGAUGUCAUUUCAAUAAACAUUUCAAAACUAAUACUUUUGUUAUCAAGGUAUUUUAAGAUAGAAAACCAUUUCAUGUGUCACCUUUUGAAAUAUGUGAAAUCUACUGAGUGAAAACACAGUUAUAAAAUACAUAAGAUUGAUUUAAUAACAUACUGUUUUCUACUUGUAUUCCCCCCAUUAAAGCAUUUAAAAUCAUUUAAAACAUUGAUUAAGGGGUAUGAACUCACCUGUUGUGAGUGGUUCUAGCGGGUACGUGUGUAGGGAUGAGAAGUUCCAUGAAUGAAGUCCCGAGACACAACAAGUCCUAAAUGAUAUUUAAGGACACAUAAUGACAUGAAUAUAGUGUUUAUAACAACUAUAUGAAAGAUAACACCUUCCGGGACAAGGAAACACCUUGACCAAGUGUUGGAAUCACAUGUGAUUCAACAUAGGAAGGUAUAAGAGCACACUUAUGAGUUUACUACCAUGAGUUCACGGCCCAAGGUAGUUUACGACCGUAAACUCAUGGUCACUCAUGGGUUUGUGUAAGUAUGAAAGCUAGGGAAUGAUUUAGGGACAUUAGCUCUAGCAUAGGAUGAGAAAGACCACCUUCUUUGGAGUUUUUGCGGUGUUCACGGCCCAAAUGAGUUUACUACCGUAAACUCAUGGCCAAAUAUACUUAUGGGGGUCCUAAAGGUCAUAAGGAAGCAUUCUAAAUUCAUGCCUAAGCCCUUGGAAGUGUUUGUGGCAUCAAAACACCCCUAACUUGAGUUUACGGCCCAUGGACCAUUUGGUCAUGUGUUUGAGGUCGUAAACACUUGUGGAUGUUGCUAUUUUUGUUGUUUUGGGUCAUAGACACAUCAAGGUAAAAAUCUAUGCUAGUCUCUUGGCUUAAGGGUGGCAUUUAAGGAAUUUUGACACCCUAAAAUGGAGUUCACGGCCCAAGAACUUCCUUAUCCAUGAACUCACUUUCAACCCUUGAUUCUAUUUGUUUUGGAUGUCUAACCAUGUCAUAGGUAGUCUCAAGGUUCAUUUCCAAGGCUUUGAGGGUCAUUGGGACACUUUUGGCCCUUAAAAUGGAGUUUACUCUCCAAAAGGAGUUUACUCUCCAAGAGGAGUUUAAUCUAAAAGAUGUUCUUGGGGAGUAAACUCUCAAAUCUUGUUGUUUUGAGUUUGUUUCCUGUCCCUAAAAUCAUUUGUGUACAAGUCCAAACUAGUUUCAUGGCUUAAGCAAGGACUAGGCCUCAUUUGGCUUUCGAAAAGGACUUUACUCUCCAAGAUGUUCUUGGGGAGUAAACUCACAUAUCUUGUUGUUCUGUCGUGAUUUUGAUGUUAUUAAGCACAAUCUAAGCUAUAUAAUACAACUAGAUUGAAGUACUCAUGUUUUGGGAUAAAAACCCGAAGAUCCGUGAGAGAGAAUUUGGCUUUUCUCUAAUUGGAAAUGUAACUAAUGAAUUAUUUGGUUCAGUUUUCUAUUUAUAGUCCUGAGAUUUUUGGUAGAAAAUAUUUUAUUCCCGGAAUGAACUCUAAUAUCAUAGAGUAUCGAAAUAACAGUGUUGCACAAAACCCUAGUGCAUUCACUCUCCUGAUAUCUCCUUAAGUGUAAAUCCUGAAAAACUCAAACUUAUACCCAAAGUCUGGAAUUUCAUUGAAACUGUUCUAACCUCUAUUGGCUUGAUAUGGUUUGUUCAGCAUGGAAAUUUCAGGUUGUCACACCUUAACUCCAAAUUCACAAGGAACAGGGGUAAACUAAAAUUUCACAGAUUCUAAGUCUAUGACAUCCUAGUUACAUAUAACCUUAGCGUAUCCACUUAGCAACUAUCGACCUAGUAAUGAAGAUCUUUUUAGUUCUCAAAUAAGUAAUUUUAGUAACAGAAAAUACUCUUAUAGUAUUUUAGACUUGUCUUUUGUGCUAGAGUUCUCACUGUGGUAGUGUUGGUAAGCUUUUAGAAUUGUUGCCACAUCACAACCAUUCUUGGGCAUGUGCUAAUUGUUGGGUUUUGAGCAUUCUAACACUCCUAACUGUACAUGCAACCCUAAAUACCUUGGAUCUAUGUUUUCUCUAUUAUACAUGAAAAUAUGAACUUUCGAAGGUAUUAUCCUAAUCAAACAUACAAAACAAUGAAUAUAACAAGAUAGAAUACAUACCUCUUUGAUGUAGAAAGUCUUCAUGAAGCUUCAGUGCCUAGUGCCCCAAGUGUGACACCUCAAAUGGUUCACACAAAACCAAAUACACUUGGAAUAACUUGAGAGAAACUUGAACACUCCAUGAAAUCGUUUAGCCCUCACACACACAUAGUGCACGAUUUCUUGAGCCAUGGGAUUCUGUUAUAUGGUGGCUAUUAGGGUUACACCAUGUAACUCAUGACUUUACCCAUUCCUUAUGCUCCAUGGAGCAUCCAUGGGUCACCCCAUGGACUUAGUCCAACAUAAGGAUUCUUGGAUCACAAGCCCACAUAUAUAAGAAUGAAUGAUUUACACAAUCAACCCAUAUAUUUAAUUAGUCUCCUUCUGAUCACUUAAUUAAUUCCAAAUUAAUUCUUGAUCAAUACUAAUUAAAUAACCUUAUUAAUAUAUUAGAACUUAUAAUAUAUUAACAAACCUUAAGUGUUAUUUCUCUCAUUUUAGUCUAUCCAAAUUCAUGAUGCCAUGCAACCCAAAUGGACCAUGCCGGGUCGGGUCAAGUCUUACCAAUUAUAGUUAUGGACUUAGACAUUAAUCCAACAGUCUUCCACUUGGAUAUUAUUGCGUAUGACUUCAAGAACUGACUGGCAAUCGUAGCUCUCAAAAGCUUCUGUCGAACUCUGACCUUGUAGAUGAACUUUGACCUUUGUCAGUGACUUGUCCAUUAGAUAUUCCUCCAUUUUAGAUAUCAUAUGGACUGAGACAUGGAUUAUAAUCAUUCUCUCUGUCCAUUUGUUGUUUCCCAAUUUCCGAUUUAUGACGACUGACUAAUUGAACAAAUCAAAUCAGUCCUGGCCCGGCCGAGCACUUCCAUUUGUCAUCAUCAAAUCAUCGAGGGGCCCACAGAUAUCGCUUUUAUCCCGAAGGUAAAAGGAAUGGAUAAACUUCGACUCAUAUGGCUUGUUCUACUACUUGUUGAAUCAUACACAAAGGCACGUUUUAUAACACCGAGUUACCGAAUGCGUUUUCGUGCAAUCAAUGUACAACCAACUCAUAGUAACAACUCAUAUCUCUAGGUUUGAAGAAUAUAAGAUAUUAUCGUCUCAUGAUCACUCGUGAUAAAAUCCAUGAAGUGAUUCCAAUGAGCGCGGGUUGAAUCCAAUACUCAGAACUUAUGAGCACUCAUGAGUGUUGUAGCCCUUUGUCCAACACCUUAGACCUCUACAAGCCAACCCAUGACAGUCUUAAUUCAUAUCUACUUCCAACAUAUGACCGACUGUGGAUGGUUUGAAUAACUUAGUCAUUCCGGAAGAAUAACCUAGUUUAUUCGGGAAGUCAAAACAUGCAAAAUGAAACACAAUAAUAAUUGAAUCCAAUAUGGUAUCAACACUUUGAACAUAAAUAAAACACCUUUUAUUUAUCACCAUAUGAUUACACAUUAUUCAUUGUAUACUGUUUCAGCUAUCAACUUUAUUCUUGAAUUUAAAACAAUAGUUGUCCCAUGCUCCAAGCAUGUACACUAUGUUUUCUUAAACACUAGUCAUGCCACACACCAAGUAUGCAUACUAUGUUUGUCUAUGAUCUUUACUUUGUGAACUAGAUCAAUUGAACAUAACUUCAAUGAUUCUCUUUUCACACUCCCAAAUCCUUACUGCAAAUGCAAGAAUUCCAAAUUCAUGCCAUUUACUGAAAUCUGUUAGAUUCUAAACUUAUAUGCAUUGAUCCUCUUGUAAUGAUUAUGCACAAAGUCAGAAAGACUUGACAACAAUCAUUACAGAGUAUUCCAAAGGAGAUCAGCUCCUUGGAAACAUCCUUCUUGCAUUAAGUUUCCUAAUCUUAAACAGAUUGAAAAUUCUAACUUUGAAACAUUUCCAGAUUCCAUUUUGACUAUCACUUCUGAACAAGAGUUGCCUCCUUACAGAUUAUGUCAAUAUGGUCCUUCCAGAAUUAUCACUAUACUUCCAACUGUCCUUGAGCAACCAAUCUUUGGUAAACCUUAGAUUGUCCUCGACAAUUGUUUAAUCCUUUUAGUCAUAUCCAGUUCUAAACCUUUUCCCUUCUUAAUGCCCCAGGCAUUUGGAAAAUUUUAGAACGGAUGAAUAUAGCACAUGUAAUCGAUCCUAUAUCCGAAGCAUAUGGGACACGAUUCAUGAUGUCUCACAUAAAGACUAAACCAGUCUUUUGCUAUAACAUUUCCAUUUCAAUUUGCCAAGUUCUCAUAAUUCAGAUUAUGAAAAGGGAUGCCGUAAUCAUAAUCGAAUUUUAGAACGCAAAUAAUGGACCCAUAUACAGAAUUUCCUUAUGUUGAGCCAUUCCAACAUGAAAUUCAUAUAUAUCCUUGACUAAAUGAUUAAAACCUCACGAUCUAAGCUUAUAGAUUUGAGAUGAAGCAUAAUUUCCUCUCCCUUAAUUAUAGCAAAACAACUUUUUCCCAAUUGAAACUUUUGUUUUCUAUAAUUAACAUUGCUAACUUGCAAUACUUAUCAUAAUUGUCAUGCUCCCACUAACAUGAUGAUUAUUAGCAUGACACUUAUGCACCCACUAGCUUUGACAUGUAUUCAGGAAUUAGCUGACUUUCUUACCAAAGUUCAGAUUUCUGAUACUAGAUUGUUUUGAUAAAACUUUAUCAUAAUCAUACACCAUCCCUUAGAUAGCUCAUAGGUGUGUCUAAACAAUUAUGAAGAGGUUAGUGUGUCGGUUAACCACACACACUCCACUAACGACUUUGAGAAUGCAAAUAUCAGAAUUGUUAUCUAGCUAAAAUCUACUUAAUGAAAGUGUUUCCUCACCAUCUUUUUCAUGAAUCGGAGAGAAACCUUAUGACACUUUGAUUUUUAUGGUGUAUGAGUUCCUACCCAUAUGAAUUUGUCAAAACCAUAAUCACAAGACAAGGAUAAUGACAAAUCUAAACUCAUAUGGAUUGAACUAAAUCUUAAUUUCUUGCCAGCUGGCAGCUCAAAGGCCUGCUAUUGCUUCCAAGUUGUUGUGCAACCAAUUGAGAACUCUAAAAACUCAUAUGCAAAGCCAACUUUAACUGGAAUGGGCACAGAAUAUGUCAACAUGAUGGGUUAUAAACCUCGAGUCAUGUGCUAAUGAAGAACUUCAGGUUUUAUUCUUGAUUAGUUGUUGAGACUUUCAAGAUCUUUAAGACUCCCACUGUCCUCUUGACCUAUAAGACUCCCUUGUCAAACAUCCAAGAGAUAGUGCAGAUUCUAAUCAAGACAAACACUUCACAUAAUUGGGAGUAGUUGGUCUUUGUUUUAUCCAAAACAUCACAACUUACCAAUUUCAAAUUUACAAGAGUAGGAAACUUUUACUCUUACAUUUGACAAGUGUUUUAAACCUUCUUUAAGACAUGUCACUCAAAUUACAAUCUUGGAGUAUGACUCUAAGACUUGUAUUGGAACGAAGUAUGACUCAUCUUCUUGAUUUAACCAUUUCAACAAUUCAAGAUUCCUUUUCUUAGUCAUAAGAAUGCACUAAGAUUCCCUUAGAGAACUAAUUGUGCUAUGGUUUCUUAAUCAUUAAGAUGAUCACAAAACUGAUACUAAAGUACUAUCCCAUCUUUUCAGAUUUGAGAACCUUUUAUCCUUCUGCCUAAUUUGAUUCUUCUUAUUCGCUCUGUCAUACAUUGGAACCUUUUCCCAUGUCUCAUAAUUACACUUAAUCUUGUAAGUAUAACCAUAUUUACUGAGCUAUAGUAAAUUAUGACGAAUAAUCUUAUCGAUCUUUUGUGGUGGACUUAAUCAGUGCACAAGAAUGUGUACUCGAUCCCUUAGUCCAUUACUUGACUCACACAUCCAUGUGAACAAGUAGUUAGUCUUAAUUUUCCAAUACUUGAAAGUUCUCAUUCAUCAUGCUAUACAACUUGCAUGAUUCCAAGUUCCGGUCCAAUUGAAACUUGGGUGAUGAGAAUCUUUCCUUAUUUGGUAAAUUUAGACAUUACCACAAAUGAAAGAAUCAAUUUCAUAUUUCCACUCUUGCUAUUAAUGGAAUCAUAUAAGCAACAAUUUUUCCUCAAAUGCCAUUGUAAGGAUAUUUUAAAAUAAAUAAAAUCAAAAAUUUUCCUUUAUUUUAAAACUUUGCGGAAAAACUUAUCCUUACAAUCCAUAUGAAAACUUGUUGUUAUCUAUUCCUAAGCAAUAUCUCAUAACUCCUAAGAAGUAGCUCAAGAAUCCGAUCUUCAAACUAUGCGAUAGAAAUCCAUCUACGCGAUCAGAUUCAGCAUAUUCUUUCUUUAAGUUUCUUCACUUUUCUUUGAUUCUUAAAACAUCACCAUGUGACCCAGUCACAUCAUGUAUCAAGAAUCUCAGAAUAGAAACUUAGCAGAGUUAGAUAGUGGACUUUACCUGAAGUAGAGUCAAACUUAUUGACUUUAACAUCCUUAGGUAAAUUUGGCAGCUUCGCAACCAAUGCCCCUUCCUUUGGCAAUAUAAACAUAUGGACCCUUUGAUAAUGGUACACGGGACUAUCACAGACUUAGCUUUUCUCUUUACCAUUUGGUCAACCGAGUUGACUAUGGCCGAUCCCUUUCCAUUGGGAAGAGAGUGCUUUACUGGAUAUCCAAUGUCAUCAUUGUCAAUGUCCAUAAAGUUUUAGUAAGUUGAUCUUAGCAAAUAUAUAAGAUCAUUAAGGGUCUUGUCCUAGUCUAUUUCAUAGGUGUCCUAAAGGAACUCACUAUGUGACUUAGAAAGUGAUUGAGCCACCAACUUUCUCAAGACUUUGACACCCAACUCUCCCGGCUUGUCAGUAUGUGACUUCAUCUCCAUGAUGUGAGCACACCUAGAGCUUGCCUUGCCAAUAUGGCUUGAGUGACCUUAGAAUUUUAAGAACUUGUGGGUUAGGGAGAAUAAUUGGAGGAGGUGAAAGAAGUAUGAUUUCCAUGGGAGAACAUCUUCAUUUAGGAAAGUUUUUUUCAAGAGAUUUCGGAUGAUCAUAAAAGUCUAAACUAGACAUCUUUUAGGAGAUAUUCAAGAUAGUUGAUUUAAACUCCUUAGUAUGACACCCAAUAUGAAAUAUUAAGGCUAGGACCCAACAAACUAUUUUAUAACUUAGAAGAGGUAUGCCGUAAUCCAAGCUAUAAAAUAUUUGAAGGUAGGUGAAUGACGAUUCACCAAUUUCCACCAAGAUAAACGAAAUGUAUUAUUAGGUUUUAAUUGGUUUUGAAACUCCUAGAUCUUUGAGAUUCAUUGAACUGUUCAAAGGCAUGUUUCAAUCUCGAGUGUGCCCUUCAGGUUUUGUGACUGGGAUGCCGAGGAUCACAAAACAAGGUGUGAAGUAACCAUGCAAAUUACUCAGUACCCUUAAGUGUUUACCCCUGAAUCGAUGUGUCGGUUAACCACACACGCUCCAUCGAUACUAUGAUAAAAAUUAAGUUACCCUUCGCCUACCUCAUUAAAUACGAGUUAGUGUGCCGGUUAACCACACACACUCCACUAACCGACUUAAACAAAGUGCAAAGUGUAAUUUCAUGGAUUAGCACCUUAUUCACAUUUUCCUAAGUAACUAAGAUUGGGUAUUAUUAAGAGUUUAGUUACUUAGUAUUUAUCAUUAAUACUUUUAAUGAAGGGAGAAUUAUAGUCCUGUCAAACCCGUUCGGCUAACGACCCUCCACCAGUCAAGCAAGCGGUGGGUGAGAGUGGACACCCAUUAAACUGCCAUUUUAUAGGCAGUAACCUUAUACCCCCCUUAUAGACCAGCUUCGUGAAUGAGGCCUACUAACGGUAAGACUGACUAUACUCUUAUACAUAUAUAUAAAUAUUAUUAACUUAUAAUAUUAUAAAGUAUAAGGGUUGAAUUUUAACUUUUAAAAUUCUAAAGCCUAACAUGGAAUUAAAGUAUUCAUGGGGAAAACUUUACAAAUUCCAAAACUUGAGGGCAAGUUUUGAAACUAUUCAAAACUCUUGGAUUUUCAUUACUUUUGAGUUUAAAUAAAUUUUUAAAAACUUUAAUGAACUGACUCUUGAACAUCCAUAACUUGAGGACAAGUUAUGGAGUCAUAAAACAAUUUAAUGAGGAAAAAGACUCUGCAUUUUGUAACCUAUGGCAACUUUUAUGAGUUUUAAGAUUCAUAAAUGUGACUUAUAAGUUACAUAAACACAUUUUAUGAACUUCUUUUAGAUUAAUUUGGAUUAAAACCAACUAUCACAUAAUUUUAUUCAUUAAUCUAAAUUCACUCAUAAAACAAGGUAACACAAAAAACUUUUGGUGAUCCAUAACUUAUUCUUAAGUUAUGGAAUCCUUUAAAACAUUAACACCAAAUUUUGUAACUCCAUAAAAACUUUGAAUCAAUUUUUUUUAAAACCUUUUCAUAUCCAUAACUUAUGGAGGUUUCAAAAAAUAAAACUCUUUAGAUCAAACUUUUAAAACUAAUAAAAUAAUCAUAUCAUUUUAUCUUUUAUUAAAUUUGACCUAAUUCAACUCAUAAAGCAAAUUAUUCAAAAUUUACAAAUAAUUAGUUUUUCACAAGAACAAGUAAUUAUCUUAAAAUUUGACAAACUUCAUGUUUUUUUUCCUUUUUUUCAACUUUGAAAAUAAAAUAUUUGCAUCAAUAUAACAGAAAACAAACCGUGGCUCUGAUACCACUAUUGGGUUUUGAGCAUCCUAACACUCCUAAGUGUACAUGCAACCCUAAAUACCUUGGAUCUAUGUUUUCUCUAUUAUAAAUGCAAAUAUGAACUUUCCAAGGUAUUAUCCUAAUCAAGCAUACAAAACAACGAUUAUAACAAGAUAGAAUACAUACCUCUUUGAUGUAGAAAGUCUUCAUGAAGCUUUAGUGCCUAGUGCCCCAAGUGUGACACCUCAAAUGGUUCACACAACACCAAAUACACUUGGAAUAACUUGAGAGAAACUUGAACACUCCAUGAAAUCGUUUAGCCCUCACUCACACUUAGUGCAUGAUUUCUUGAGCCAUGGGAUUCUUUUAUAUGGUGGCUAUUAGGGUUACACCAUGUAACUCAUCACUUUACCCAUUCCGUAUGCUCCAUGGAUUUUAACCUCCAUGGAGCAUCCAUGGGUCACGCCAUGGACUUAGUCCAACAUAAGGAAUCUUGGAUCACAAGCCCACAUAUAUAAGAAUGAAUGAUUUACACAAUCAACCCAUAUAUUUAAUUAGUCUUCUUUUGAUCACUUAAUUAAUUCCAAAUUAAUUCUUGGUCAAUACUAAUUAAAUAACCUUAUUAAUAUAUUAGAACUUAUGACAUAUUAACAAACCUUAAGUGAUAUUUCUCUCAUUUUAUUCUAUCCAAAUGCAUGAUACCAUGCAACCCAAAUGGACCAUGCUGGGUCGGGUCAAGUCUUACCUCUUAUAGUUAUGGACUUAGACAUUAAUCCAACACUAUUCACUCCUCGGACCAGCGUAGUUGAUCAGGCUAUACCACUUCCAAGACUGACCAUACAUUCCCGAGCUUACUUGUAAUAUUCAACAAUCGUAAUACUUUUGUUCUUAUCAUUGUGACACUGAUUUUAGUAUGAAUGCAGGCAUGUAUAAUUAGUUAAAUAUUUUAUUAUUUAUAAGUAUAAACUCUUGGUCAGAGUAUUUUAAUCCCAUUGUAUCUAUAGUUAGUAUAUCUUUUAUGGGUUGAUAUCCUCAAUUCACUAUAAAUAAUGCUCUGAUACCAACUUGUCACACCCCAAAACCGAGAAUGGCGGUAACGUUCUGGGGCGGAGGAUGUCAUGUAAUGUAUCACAACAAUGCAAAGUAGUAAACAAGCAACAACAUCAUCCUUUGCAUUAAUAGUAUAAUUUUAAUUACAAGUGUGUUAUUUCAUAGUAUAAAACAACAUAAUGAAUAAUCAAAAUAAAAGACGAGUCUUGACUGCUCCAUCUUCUCAAAACCUGGUCGUCGUACCUGUCUAUUUGUGACCUGAGAAUACAAGUUAUUUUGAAAGUGAGUAUCAACAAUAAAGCUGGUGAAUUCAUCAGCAUUUUAAUGUCUUUGAUUUGUAAAAAUUGUAAGGAAUAGACUUGUAAAUGUUUGAACAAAAGUUUGUAUAAGUAUGAAAACCUUAGAAAAUCCCGUAUUUCCUACUAGUAUAAAAUGUAGUCUUCUACCAAGACCCGACUGUUUUGAAAGUAGUCUUCUACCAAGACCCAACUGUUUUGAUAGUUUGAAGCUCUACAUAAUUGAAGGUUUCCCUUGUACAACUAUUAUUAUUCAAAUCUAAUCUACGUCAUCCAUUAAGUGAAUGUGACACAAAGUAAAGGUAAUAAGGAAAAUAAUAUAAUAACUGAAAUUGUAUCCUUUUGUACUAGGAUAUUCACGGCAUGGAAACUUGCUGAACAUUACAAUCGUAGACACCCGUCGAUGUAUAUUUUCCCUACUAUAGCUAACAACCUUGGGUUUGGAAUGGUAAGUCCCGUAACGUAUGUAAUAGUAUCUACGUAAUAGUAUCUAUGUAAACGUAUCUCUGUAAUUGUCUCUCUUGUAAUUGUAUCUCUUGUAAUUGUAUGUAAUAGUAUCUCUACAUAUAUUAUGUAAUUGUCACACCCCAAAACCGAUAACGGCAGAAUACGUUUCGGGGUGGAGGACGUCAUGUACAGUAUCAUCACAAUUGCAUAAUAGUAAAAGCAAGAAACAUACAACAAUUUCAUUACAUAGUGAGUUUAAUUACAAGUGUGUUCUGUAAAGUUUCAAUAGACACCAAAAGUAAUACAAAAAUAAGAGAUGGAUCUUGUAUGCUCCAUCUUCUCCAAAAUGCUGCACCUGUACCUGUCUAUCUUUGACCCGAGGGUACAAGUUAUUUUGAAAACGAGUAUCAUCAUAAAGCUGGCGAGUUCAUAAGAAUUUAGUGUGAAUUUUGUAUAAAAUGUAUUAGUACAUAUAGUGUGAAAAACUGCAAUUUACAUUUAUAAGUAGUAGUAAACUCUAGAAAAUCCUAUAUUUUCCAGAAAAUACAUCGUAAGUGAAAAACUCUAAGUUGCAUGCAAGUUUUAUCAUUGAAAACUAUUUGUUGUAAAAGUGUGGUACUAAAUCUCCAGUAUGUUGUGUAGAUAGAAGAAAAAUUAUACCUGUUAAUAGUGAUAGUGGUGCGAACUUCCAUUAGUAAUAGAUACUUAUUUACUUCGGGAUAUUAACUGAGACUUUAGUCUUAGUAUUUUAGUGUGGAUAUAGUGUAUUCCUUUUAUGUGACCAAUAGUGUGAGUAAUAGAGGACCCCAUGACCUUCCCGGUCAUCACACAGUGUAGUGAAGUAGUACCAUCCCUGGGCCUGCUCGGCUCGAACUGAAGUUAACAGUCGGGAUCUAAUAGUGUCUGCCCCGUAUAGAUCUAUACAUGUAGCGUCGCCUUCCUUCCGGAAAGCUCUGGUCACAGUAUGUAGCGCGUAGAGUAUCUUGUAGAGAGUUAGUGUGUUAUCUUCCGGAUUAGUGCUUACUCUUGUAAUAUGGUGUAGUAGUCUUUUAUGUAGUUCAUAGUGUGUUCUCUUAUUCGUGUAUCGUUUUGUAAUAGUAUGAAUUAUAGUAUGUAUAGUAAUAGUGGUAACAAGUAGUAGUGACCUUAACUAUACCUAUUAUAGUUAACUUAGUGUGUGUGGUUCUUGGCAAUUAAGUAAUAUAUGCAUCGAAUGAGAUGAAAAUGCUUGUAUCUAACACCAAUAUACAUGAUAUAUAACUAAGAAAUCAAUGACAGUCGGACGGAUAACAAAUACCCUAAGCCCACAUCAAACAAGAACAGGAAAUAAGGCAAGCUAUCGGUCCUAAGUCCUUCAGUCUUACUAAUAUAAAUAUAUUAGUGUACACACAUUUUAUAAGAAAAGUAAUUUAAUAAAAAUCUUGAACAAAGAAAGCAUUUAGAAAAUAGUUUAUUUUUCUAAAGUAGUUUUGAAAGCGUAAAGUUCUUAUAUAAAGCAUAGUGAUAAAUCACAUGUGAUUGGUUUACAUAAAAAUGUAUAUUUGACUUGUAUCCCCCCUAAAACAUAUGAAAACAUUUGAAAGGUUCAUUAAGGUGUAUUAACUCACAUGAAAUCGUGUAAAUCGGGUAAAUCGGGUAAAAGUGUCGGUUGCGCGUUUGGUGACAAUUUAGGUCUUGUACACCUUUUAAGACCCUAUUAACAUAUGAGAUAUGUGUUUUACAAGAAAUUAGUCACUUAUACUUUUUAUUAAAACAUUUACAUAUCCUAUAAUUGAUUCGAGGUCUUAUGGAUUAGAAGUGGUUCUCGGGGAUUGUACAAGACCAAAAGGGGUACUAAGGGGGGUUCANUACAAGACCGGGUACUAAGGGGGGUUCAAGAGCUCACUCCCUUGGAGUUUACGGCCCAAAGGCCACUCCUUGGGAGUUUACGGCCGUAUGUCUCAUGGCUUGGCCAUGAAUCUUGUUCACUCCCCAAUUUUGAUGUUAAAGUCCUUAAAUCAAUCCCAUAAAUUUUCUAGUGAAGGUCUAGGACUAAUUAGGGGGUUUAAACCCUCAUUUGGUGAGGUUUGGGGGAGUUUACGGUCCUAGCUUAUGCUUGGGCCGUAAACUCUAAACUAUCCCUCAAAAUAUAAUGUUUAAUGGUCCCAAACUCGAAAUGGAAUUUCCUAAAAUCAUAUCUCAAGCCUAAACAAGCAUUGGAAGGGUUUUUGGGGCAUUUUUACAUCGAAAAAGGGUGUUUACGGCCUAUGCAUGUGCUUGGGCCAUAAACUCUCUUUAAUGCCCUAAAUGUCGUCCCCCCAUUAGGGAAAUUUCGUCCCGAAAUUUAGAAUUUAACGGAUAAGUUAUUAAAGUACUACUAAGCGAAGAGAUGGGGAUAUUUGAGUCUCAUUUGAUCCUCGCGCUCCCAAGUGAAUUCCGGUCCCCGCUUGGCGUUCCACCGAUCCUUCACAAUUGGGAUGCAGCUUUGUUUUGUUCAUUUUACUUCUCGAUCCAUAAUCUUCGCUGCCUCUUCCACGAAGUUGAGGCUCUUGUUGACCUCGAUCUCGUCAAGCGGGAUCAAGAGAGUCUCAUCGGACAGGCAUUUCUUCAAGUUUGAGACAUGGAAGGUAGGAUGUGUGUUACUUAGCACGUGGGGUAGGUUGAGUUUGUAAGCUACAGGGCCGAUUCUAGCGAGAAUCUCAAAAGGCCCUAUGUACCUUGGGUUCAGCUUUCCACGCUUUCUGAAGCGUAUCAUGCCCCUCCAGGGCGAGACCUUCAAAAGGACUCCGUCUCCCACCUGGAAUUCCAAGGGUUUUCUUCGCUUGUCUGCGUAGCUUUUCUAUCGAUCCCUAGCGGCUUUUAAUCGUUCACGAAUCUGUACAAUCUUCUCGGUCGUCUCUUGAAUGAUCUCCGGACCAGUAAGAGCGCUGUCAGGAACUCGUCCUUUAGCUAACCGAGUGUCACCCACCUCAGCCCAGCACAGAGGGGAUCUGCACUUCCGACCGUAGAGGGCUUCAAAUGGAGCUGCCUUGAUGCUCGUGUAAUAACUAUUGUUGUAGGAAAACUCCACAAGUGGCAAGUGUGUAUCCCAUGAUUUACCAAAGUGAAUCACAAAGGCUCGCAGCAUAUCUUCUAAGGCUUGGAUCGUCCUCUCACUUUGUCCGUCAGUCUGCGGAUGGUAGGUUGUACUCAUGUCUAGCCUCGUCCCUAGUGCCUUUUGUAGUGAUUACCAAAAUCUCGAGGUAAACCUACUAUCUCUAUCUGAGAUAAUAGAUAUAGGGACGCCAUGCAGCCGUACUAUUUCCUUAAUGUAUGUUCUUGUGAGUUUCUCCAUCUUGUCCGUCUCCUUGAUGGGUAGGAAGUGUGCAGACUUGGUCAAUCUGUCAACGAUGACCCAAAUGGUAUCCAACCCACCCUUUGUCUUGGGCAGCUAGGUUAUGAAGUCCAUUGUGAUCCGAUCCCACUUCCAUUCCGGUAUCUCCGGUUGUUGAAGGAGACCUGAUGGCUUCUGGUAUUCGACCUUGACCUUCGCACAAGUAAGGCACUUACUCACGAAGGUAGCUAUCUCUACUUUCAUGUUAGGCCACCAAUAUAGCCUUUUGAGAUCUAGAUACAUCGUAUCCGAACCUAGGUGGACGGAGUAUCAAGUGUUGUGUGCUUGCUUCAUGACCAAAUCUCUGAAACCUCCCUGGCGUGGAGUCCAGAUUCAGUCCAUGAGAUAGUAGGCUCCGUCACCCUUGACCUCCAAACUGUUAUCCAUUCCGCGCAGGGAUUCUCUCGUCACAUUCUAAUGCUUUAAGGCUUCAAGCUGAGCCUCCUUGAUCUGUGCGGAUAGGUGCAAAUGGAUAGUCAUUGUUAACGACUUGGUUCUUCGACCAUAAUACUCUUUCCUACAUAGGGCGUCUUCUACCACGUUGGCUUUCUCCGGUUGGUAACGAAUUUCGCAGUUGUAAUUGUUGAGUAGCGCAACCCAUCGGCGUUGUCUCAUGUUGAGCUCUUUCUUGUUCAGUAUGUGUUGGAGGAUUUUAUGAUCAGUGUACACUAUGCUCUUCGUCCCAUACAAGUAAUGUCUCCAGAUUUUUUGUGCGAAGACGACUGCUCCUAACUCGAGGUCGUGAGUAGUGUAUUGUACUUCAUGUGUCUUUAGCUGUCUUGAGGCAUAGGCGAUGACCAUGCCUCGCUGCAUCAAGACACAACCGAGCCCCUGAUUCGAUGCAUCGCAGUAUACAACAAAAUCUUCUGUUCCUUCGGGAAGGGAUAAUACUGGUGCGGUGCAUAGGGCUCGCUUCAUGGUCUGGGAUGCCUUCUCCUGCUUCUCUUCCCAAUCGAAUAUUACGCCCUUCUGUGUCAACAUGGUGAGAGGUUUCACAAUCUGAGAAAAGUUUUGGAUGAAUCUGCGGUAGUAGCUAGCGAGGCCUAGAAAUUGACGAAUUUUUGUAGGCGUAUUCGGUGCUGACCAGUUCUCAAUAGCUUUAAUUUUGGAGGGGUCCACGUGGAUUCCUUCUUCACUGACCAUGUGUCCUAAGAAUUCAACUCUUCGGAUCCAAAACUUGCACUUAGAGAACUUCGCAUAUAACUUCUCAGAUCGUAGUGUUUCCAAGACUCGUCGUAGAUGAUCCUUGUGUUCUUCCUCGCCCUCAGAGUAGACGAGUAUAUCGUCAAUAAAGACGAUGAUGAAUUGAUCCAAGUACGGACGACACACCCUAUUCAUCAAGUCCAUGGACACAGCGGGCGCGUUAGUCAGUCCUAAGGGCAUCACCAUGAACUUGAAGUGCCCGUAACGGGUUCGGAAAGCUGUCUUCGGAAUAUCCUCCUCAAGCAACCGUAACUGGUGGUACCCGUACCUAAGAUCAAUCUUGGAAAAAUAACUUGCCCCUUGUAGUUGGUCGAAUAGGUCGUCGAUACGAGGGAGAGGGUAGCGAUUUUUGACCGUGAGUUUGUUGAGUUCCCUAUAGUGGAUGCACAUACGGAACGAUCUGUCCUUCUUCUUUACGAACAAGACCGGAGCUCCCCAAGGUGAGAAACUCGGUCUUACAAAGCCCUUGCUGAGUAGCUCGUUAAGUUGACCGGAUAGUUCUUGCAUCUCGGCAGGUGCUAAACGAUAAGGCGACUUAGCUAUGGGGGUAGCUCCUGGGACUAAGUCGAUUAUGAACUCAACCUGACGUUUGGGAGGUAGACCUGGGAGAUCCUCCGGGAACACAUCAGGGAAAUUGCAUACAACGGGGAUGUAUUUUGGAUCUUUCACUUUCUGACUUGUGUCGACGAUGUGAGCAAGAAAAGCAUGAUAUUCUUUAUGCAAAUAUUUCUGGGCCUGAAUACUAGAGAUGAUACGAAGGCUCGUACCGGGUUUGUCUCUAUAGAUCAAUAGAGUUUCGUGAUUUGGAAGAUUCAGGCGAAUGGCUUUGUCGAAGCAUAGGAUAUCAGCGUGAUGAAGACUCAACCAGUCCAUACCAACAAUGACAUCGAAAUUGUUGAUUGAGACUGGUAUAAGAUCGAUUGGAAAUGAGUGAUCGUCUAACGUGAGGGUACAACCUAUGUAGAUUUCAUUAGAGCUUUCGGUCUUCCCGUUAGCCAUUUCUACGACGAAUGUUUCUUUCAGUGGUUGUGGGGAUUGUUUAAGUAGGUGUUUAAAUUUUGGUUUAUGAAGCUUCUUUUUGCACCACUAUCGAAUAAGACACAGGCAUAAGAGUUGUUGAGAAGAAACGUACGCGUGACUACUGUGGAUUCCGCUACUGCCUCAUUGUGACCAAUAGUGAGUAGUCUUCCAGUUCCCCCAGCAUUCCCAGCCUUCAGACAGUUUUUCUUGAAAUGACGAGCUUCACCGCAGCCAUAACAAGUCUGGGUCACUCCCGAACCUGGAACUUGCGAGAUAGGUUUGGGCGGGGCCCAACAAAAUCGGACAGUAUGGCCCUUCCGACCGCAUUUGGAACACUACAAUUCACGGCAGGGGCCGUUGUGGUCGAAAGGGCACUUGGGACACUUGGGCAGGUUCCCAACAUAAGCGUUUGUCGGUGCGGGAGUGGCUGGAGUGGUGGCAGCAUGGACCGCCACAAUUUGCUGAUCCUUGGAGGAGGUUUGAAUUUUCUUGCCUUUCUUCUUAUCCCAACGCUUUCUCUUUUUGUCAGCUGAAUCGGGUGGUGCAGUGGUAGUUGCAGUUGUUGUUGCUGGAGUGGAAGAGACUUCAUGAUUGAUUAGACUCUGGGCCAAUUCCUUGGCACUGUCGAAGGUGGUAGGACGUGAGGCUAGAACAUUUCCUCGAUACUGGGGCAUUAAACCCCAGAUGUAUUGUUCGAUCUUUUUCCUUUCAGAGGGAAUCAUGUUGGGACACAUAGCCGCGAGGUCGCAGAACCUGGUCGUGUAAGCUGUUAUGUCAGACCCUUUCAUAUUGAGGUUCCAAAGUUCCUCCUCAAGUUUCUGAAUUUCUCCCCUAGGGCAAUACUCCCCUCUCAUGAGAUCUUUCAGAGUGUCCCAACCCAUGGCAUUGGCUGUUACCAAGGAGAGUGCACUGACAUGGCCGGUCCACCAUGUCAAGGCUCUGUUAGUGAGGGUGGCAGUAGCGAACUUGAUUUUGCUCUCUUUGGGGCAAGAGCACAUUUCAAAGACUGCUUCGGUUCUUUCAAACCAUUGAGACAAUGCCAGAAUUCCUCCGGUACCAUCGAAGAAAGUACGUUUGCAGUUCAUGAAGUCCUUAUAAGUGCAUCCCUACACUAUUUGAUGGACUUCACGAAAUCUAGAGUUGCCACCGCUCGCAUCACCAGAGUUCAUUUGAGCCAUGGCUGCAGUCACAGCCGUUUGGAACAGCACUGGAUCGAACUGCAGAGGAGGAGGUGGCGGAGGAGGAGUUUGUGUUGCUGGUCUUCCCUGUUUGGACGCUUUCGUGGAGGCAUCUUUCACUGGAAGAUCAUUGAAAUGAUAGCAAUAGUAAGAGUCUAUUGCGAAUACGAAUAGAGUGUUUCGUGGAUUAAAUCAACAUAAUCCAAAGAUCAGAAUGAGAGUCAUAGUAAUAGAGUAGUUAACUGCCAAUUUACUGGUAUUAAUCAUGUAAUACAAGUUCAUGAAAAAAUGACCUAACAGUAGGUCUUACAUCAAACCAUAAGGAAAAUGUUGGCAGUCUAGAGGUUUAAUUAGAGUACUUUUAAGCUAGGAAUGUUUUCAGACAAGUGAUCUACGAAACAUAGAGAGGGAAGGCUAGUCCUUUAAACAAAAGAGUGAGAUAAUUAGACAUCCUUUACGGAUGACGGUUACUUGUUGGGCGAACCCUCAGAUCCACUAGUUGACGCAUAACUUCCUGAAGGUGUCGUUCAUAAGUCCUUUGGCGUGCUCGGAGUUCCCUAACUUCGGCUCGGGAUGCAGCUAACUGAUGUUGCAGAGCCUCGGUGGUCCUCCUUAUUCUAUCCAUGGCUUCUUCAAGUUGGCGGAUGCGAACCGUGUUGAGAUUCGAGUUGGCAUCCACUUCUACAACUCGACCAAUGGCUGGUUGACCCUGCUCGACAUUCCUGGCAAUCCUUCGGACCAUGAUGGGCAGAACCCGAGCCGCUGAUCCUCCUUCGCUUAUGUUGUAAAAGCUUCGGUCUCCAUUGAAAGGUAAGGGCUGGCCCUGCUCCUCGCUCCAUAGGUGCAAGGAUUUGGCCCACAUAGGAGUGGGACCCUGAAAUGUCGGACGGGGGUUAGGGUUCGGAGCUUCAGAAGGUAGGUUGUUAACUUCUGGCUCGGAGUCAGGGCUAUCCGAAAAUCCUUCUGCUCGGUGGUCAUCCAGAGGGAUCGGGUGAUCCUCGUCGGACUCUUCGUCGAGCCAUCCUCCAUUGCCCUGGUUUGGGUAGUACGGAUCGCCGGGAAGGUGGAAGCCAGCCAUGCUAUCUACACGAGAAAGGGGGAAAGAAACGUUAAUAGACGUACUACUCUAAGAUACUUAUAAGAGGGAUCGUUAUUAGUCGACUCAAUACUUGCGUAGUGCAUACCAAUUACAUUCAAUCGAAACAAGAUAGUCCUUCAAAUAAGCACCCUAACUUCAGAUCCCCAAUCAAACAAGAACAGGAAAUCAAGCAAAGGCCACAGAUUCUGAGUCUAUAGCGCCCUAGUCACAUGUAACCGUGGUGUAUCCACUUAGCAACUAUUUUCCUACCAGUAACGACCCUUUUAGUUAUCACAUAUGUAGUUAGUGGUAUACAGAAUCCUCCUAUAGUAUUCUUGUUCUAACGUUCUUGUGGUAGUGUUGGUAAGUUUUUAGACUUGUUGCAACACCACAAUCACUCUUAGGCACAUGCUAGUCACUCCUGGAUAAAUGUAGUUGAUCAGGCUACAUCCCACAGAUGUGACUAUAUGUCUCUAAGCUUAAUUAUGCUGUUCAACAAUCUUAAUACUUUUGUUUCGUUCUAGUAUGAUACUGACCCUUUUGUAUUAGUGAGUGUAUAUAUAUACUUAAUUAAAUCUUUUAGUAUUUAGAAGUAUAUAUUCUUGGUUAGAGUGUUUUAGUCCUGAAGUGUUCAUAGUUCGUAUAUCUUUUAUAGGUUGAUAUACUUGAUUCACUAUAAACAAUGCUCUGAUACCAAGCUGUCACACCCCAAAACCAAUAACGGCGGAAUACGUUUCGGGUGGAGGACGUCCUGUACAAUAUCAUCACAAUUGCAUAAUAGUAAAAGCAAGAAACAUACAACCAUUUCAUUACAUAGUGAGUUUAAUUACAAGUGUGUUCUGUAAAGUUUCAAUAGACACCAAAAGUAAUACAAAAAUAAGAGAUGGAUCUUGUAUGCUCCAUCUUCUCCAAAAUGCUGCACCUGUACCUGUCUAUCUUUGACCUGAGGAUACAAGUUAUUUUGAAAACGAGUAUCAGCAUAAAGCUGGUGAGUUCAUAAGAAUUUAGUGUGAAUUUUGUAUAAAAUGUAUUAGUACAUAUAGUGUGAAAAACUGCAAUUUACAUUUAUAAGUAGUAGAAAACUCUAGAAAAUCCUAUAUUUUCCAGAAAAUACAUCGUAAGUGAAAAACUCUAAGUUGCAUGUAAGUUUAUCAUUGAAAACUGUUUGUUGUAAAACUGUGGUACUAAAUCUCCAGUAUGUAGUGUAGAUAGAAGAAAAAUUAUGCCUGGUGACGGUGAUAGUGUUGCGAACUUCCAUUAAUAAUAAAUACUUAUUUACUUCGGGAUAUUAACUGAGACUUUAGUCUUAGUAUUUUAGUGUGGAUAUAGUGUAUUCCUUUUAUGUGACCAAUAGUGUCAGUAAUAGAGGACCCCAUGACCUUCCCGGUCGUACGCAGUGUAGUGAAGUAGUACCAUCCCUGGGCCUGCUCGGCUCGGACUGAAGUUAACAGUCGGCAUCAAAUAGUGUCUGCCCCGGAUAGAUCUAUACAUGUAGUGUAGCCUUCCUUUCAGAAAUCUCUGGUCACCGUAUCUAGCACGUAGAGUAUCUUGUAGAGAGUUAGUGUGUUAUCUACCGGAUUAGUGCUUACUCUUGUAAUAUGGUGUAGUAGUCUUUUACGUAGUUCAUAGUCUGUUCUCUUAUUCGUGUAUUGUUUUGUAAUAGUAUGAAAUAUAGUAUGUAUAGGGCUUGUACACCUUUUAAGACCCUAUUAACGUACGAGAUAUGUGUUUUACAAGAAAUUAGUCACUUAUACUUUUUAUUAAAACAUUUACAUAUCCUAUAAUUGAUUCGAGGUCUUAUGGAUUAGAAGUGGUUCUCAGGGAUUGUACAAGACCAAAAUGGGUACUAAGGGGGGCUCAAGAGCUCACUCCCUUGGAGUUUACGGCCCAAAGGCCACUCCUUGGGAAUUUACGGCCGUAAGCCUCAUGGCUUGGCCGUGAACUCUAGUUCACUCCCCAAUUUUGAUGUUAAAUUCCUUAAAUCAAUCCCAUAAAUUUUCUAGUGAAGGUCUAGGGCUAAUUAGGGGUUUAAACCCUCAUUUGGUGAGGUUUGGGGGAGUUUACGGUCCUAGCUUAUGCUUGGGCCGUAAACUCUAAACUAACCCUCAAAAUAUAAUGUUUAAUGGUCCCAAACUCGAAAUGGAAUUUCCUAAAAUCACAUCUCAAGGCUAAACAUGCAUUGAAACGGUUUUUGGGGCAUUUUUACAUGGAAAAAGGGUGUUUACCGCCUAAGCAUGUGCUUGGGCCAUAAACUCUCUUUAAUGCCCUAAAUGUCAUGGUUGUGAUGCUCAAACACUCCUAGGUAAAAUCCCUAACUAGUAUCCAAGCGUAAAAUAAGGAAAUUUGGGACUUUUUGGCACAUUUUGGGUGUUUAUGGCCUAAGGAGGUUGUUAGGCUGUAAACUCCUUUUCCAUGUCCUUUUUAUCAUAUUUUUGAGCUAUAACAACAAUAAUGAAUGUUUACAACAAGUUAGGGUUGAAGAUCUUACGUUUAGGAGCCGGAAAUUGCGGUUUUGGAGCCGAAAACGAGUCUAGAGAGAGAAAGUUUUAAGAGAGAGAGUGUUUGAGUGGUAAAAGAGUUCAAAGAGAUGUUUACCUUCCUUAUAUAUGCCUCGGGUAUUGCACUCGGUACACGACUACCCGAUGCUAAGUUUAACGGGGUUUAAACUUUUUACCCGGGUUAAGUGGUUGAAUAAUAAUAUAUCUUUAUUUCGUUAAAUGGAACUAACAUUAACGAGUUAUAUUUAUUUUUACUAAAAUGAUAAUCCCAUGAAUUAUAAUAAAAUAAUCAAAUAUUCAGUUAUUUUACGACUCCAAAUUACGGAACUUUUAUAAAUGACAUAUUCCGUUAGCAGAAAUGGAAAUUGUAUAACAGACUUAACGUUGGGUUGUCACAGUAAUGUAUUAGUAUUUCUGUAAUUUGAUCUCUGUAAUUGUAUCUCUUCAUAUAGUAUGUAGUGUAUUAGUAUUCCUGUAAUUGUAUCUCUGUAAUUGUAUAUCUUCAUAUAGUAUGUAAUGUAUCUCUUCAUAUAGUAUGUAAUGUAUUAGUAUAGACUCAUGAAUGAAGUGACUCUUGUGUGAUUCGUUGUACUUGGAAUAGUAAGUAGUAUCUCCUAACUAUACCUAUUAUAGCUGCUAGUAACGUACAUGUAUAACCGAAAGUAUGCCUUUGCUACCUAAAGGAAACUGAGUUGACUGAUGGAACUUUUAUGCCUAUAUAUGUAUACAUAAUAUAUAACUAAUAUUUAGAUGACAUUCAGACAAAAAACCGAUACCCUAAGGCCACAUCCAAACAAGGAAAAGGAAUUAAAGCGAGCUAGGAGUCCUAAGUCCUUUAAACAUUUCUUAUAUAACUAUAUAUAUAUAGGCAUGCAUUUGACAAUAUAAAAGUAUAAAAGAAGUUUUGUAAUACCUUUGAGAAGUUUAAUAAAUAGAAUUUAUGACGUGAUGUUAGUUUAUAAAAUGAUAUGUAAGUAGUUUUUUUGAUAAGAACAUUUUAAUGUAUAAAGAAAUCCUUUGUUUGAAACACAAUUGUAACAGAGUUUGAAAGGAAACAUACAUUAUGUAACACAGUUUGAUAAAGAGUUUUAACAUGUAAGAAUGUUUGAGAAGGUCAUUUGAAGUAAUAUGUUUGGUAAAACAGCUAAAAGUGUAGUAAAUCCAUUUGUAUGCUAAUUAUUAAUCACAUGUGAUUGAUAUAAUAAAUAGCAUGAUUCAACUUGUAUCACCCAUAUAAAAGCAUUUAUAAACAUUUAAAGGUUAAUUAAGGGGUAUGAACUCACGUGAAGUGAGUGGAUCAUAUGGAGGUGUCGGACAAGAGCUAGGUGUCAAGUGAAGACUUGAACACACACAAUGAUCCUAAUAACAUAUAAAGACAUAUGUACAUAUACAAUUAGUGAUUAUAACACUAAUUAGACAUGUAUAAACACCCUAAUGUGUGGAAAACACUUUCGUCAAAGUAUUAGGAGGCCAUUGGGUUGCAACAAAGGAGUGCAAGGCAUUGUUAUUGAGUUUAUGGCCCAUGGGCCAUACUUAAUGGAGUUUACAGCCCAGGGGAGUUUACUCCUGGUCAUAAACUCUCUAAAGGGUCUCAAUUUGAGGCUUAAAGGUAUGAUGUCUUAAGUGGUUAAGUGUUCCAAGGCUAAACAAUAGGCUAGAUUAGUUUAAGGUCUAAGAAUUUACCUCAACUUGAGUUCACGGCCUGGGGAUCACUUCCCCAUGAGUUUACGGCCGUAAAAUCAUGGUAUGAAGUACCAUUUGGAGGUUUGAGGUCCUUAGCUCAAUGGUGGUUGGUUCUAGGCUAUGUUCUGGGCAUAAGGAAGGAAGAGAGGGCUUCAUUGCACCCUUAUAGGGAGUUUACGGCGUUGGGAGAUCCUUAACUCUCAUUCCUCCUUUGAUUUUUGAUGUUUCUAAGGCCUAAAGAUGUGAAACCUAGUGCAUAAAAAGUUAGAACAAGAGUACUUACGAUCUAGGAGCUUGAAUGGUCAGUUUUGGCCAAGAACACUAGUGUGUGUUCUUGGUGACACUUGAAGAUCUACACAAAUGGAAUGAUUUCACGAAUGAAAUCAUCUAAGAUCACUAGAUCAAGUAAGAUAUCAAUUAGUUAGGACAAGAAACUUACUAGUUGUGAAGAUCAGGAAUGAAGAUCGGGAUGAUAGUUGAGAGGAUUUGGGAAUCAAUCAGACAAGGAAAAAAAGGAAUGAACAAAUGGCCAACAUUUCAUCAUAAAGUUGGAGGUUACGGCCUACAUGGAGUUUACGUCCGUAAAGUCCAUUGUGGUGGCUGUGAAGUCCUGGUGAAGGUGUUUAAGGCUUGCUCUUUGUACUAUAGUUCCAGCAGAUAAACCCCGAAACUUAUCCCUUGAGUGUGCAAGGCUCAGAACGCUCAAAUAAACUCCUAAUUGUGCUAAAAGAUAGCCGAAAUGAGUUUGACUUUCAACGAAGUGUUAGACUGAACAGGAUUGAAAAUUUCGGGUUGUCACAAAAAAUGAUAGUGUUCGUUCCAGAAAAUCCAAUACUUUCCUUAAAAAUAAGUUAUAGUCUUAGAUGCCCUGAGACUGAAAUGUUCAGGUAUUUUCCAUACUUAAAAUAGUAAUAUGCAGUUUUAACUUAUUUUAAAACCGUUUGAAUGAAUGUUUCACUGUAAACUAAAUGUAUCAUUGUUUCCCCAUUUGAGUUUUUAUAACCAUGCUAAUGACAUAGAUGGCCUGUUACGAUGUCUUCAGGCGUCAAAAUGUUAUGACAUCUAACAACUAGGGUGCGAUAUCAUCAGUCCUGUAUAGAUCUAUACACUAGUAUCAUUCUCUCUUAAAGGAGACUUUGGUUAUAAAACAGGACUUUCGUAGGUACCCUGGUAGGUACGAUGAAGCUUUGACUCACAAAAAUUGAUUCAACGAGUUUACAUAUUUUUGAAAUGAAAACGUUCGUAUGCUUAGUUAUCACUCUCUAUGAUAAUAAAGUAGUACAAAAUAAUUUAAUAUGUAUUUUAUAUAAUUAUAUACUUUGCUCGUCAUGUUACAAAAGUGUUAAGUAUUCAUAAACUAUAGUUAUAUAGUUUAUUAUUGUAUUUGGUUUUUUUUUUGUAACCAUAUAUACACAUCUAUGCAUAUUUAGAGGGUAGCAUGCUUAGAUAUUCAUAAAUAAUAAGAAUUUUAUAUCGAAAAUAAAUAAGUUAGUCCAUAGUAUGAAAAUGUCCAUUUUUCUAGUUUUUGAAUUUUAAACUAACUUUUGUAUAUAAAAGUUCAUAAAGCUUGAUAAUAACAUCAUUUCAUGUUUUAGCACUUUUACACAAUUUAUAAGCAAUCAUUUAUAACAACUUGUAUAUUACACUUGUUUACUAGUAUUUUACUUGUAUUCUCCCCUAAAAACAUAAAAAUCUCGAAAAUAUGGGGGUAUGAACUCACCUUUGUUGUGGUUUUCUUGAUGAAUGAAGGUUGUUGGUGGAAAGUUUCAAGUCAAGAACACUUGAAGAAUACAUUGAAUAUUUGAGGAUCGUAUGAAUAGUAAUACGUGAAUAUGUGUGUAAAUGGAGGAGGUACUUACCAAGAAGAGCCAAGAGCAAUCUUGGAAAAUCGUUGCUAAAGUGGGAGUGAGAGCUCUUUUUGGAGGGAAAUGUGAAAUAAUGAAAGUGAUGGUGAAAUGAAAACAGUCCCCCAAUCGUGGUUAUAAGGAAGAAGGAAAGAAAGUGGAUGGGUGGUUAGGAUAAGUUAUGAGGGGGACAAGGAUUUGACCAAUAGAGUACUAGCUAGAGUUAGUGAAGUGACGUAAAGGAGGCUUGUGUUAUGAUGGAGGAGGAACUUAUUAUUAGUGACCUUUAUGUAUAAAAUAAUAUAAAUCUUUAUAGUUGUUGAUAUUAUUUUAUAAAAUAGUGUGCUUUAUAUAAUAUAAAGCUUUUGGAUGGGCAUAAAAUAUGAGGUUAGAGGGUCUGAGGAGUGAGAAAUAUGAGUUUAAUGGAAAUCCCAAAGUCAAAAACUAUGAAAUGAAAAAAAGUCCAAAACUACCCAAAAUCCGAAGUGAAAUCAGAAGUGUUCGGAGUUGUAAGUGUCCGAUGUCAGAAGUGUCCGGUGUUAGGAGUAUUCGGAGUCAGAAGUUUCCGGAGUCAGGAGUGUCUAGAGUCAAAAGUGUCGGGAGGCAGGAAUGUCCGGUGUCAGGAGUGUCCGGAGUCAGAAGUGUUUGGAGUUGCUGGGAGCGAAGUCAACAGACUUCCGAGAUGGGCCGGUUCCGGAGCGAGUGAUCUUCCUUGGUCGAGUGAAUUCCGAGGCAAGAAGGUCCGAGAUAGUAGGUACUACGAGAUCGUUUGUUCCGGAAUGAGAGGGUCCGAGAUGGGAAGAACUCCGAGUUUAGCUUGUUGUUUCCUGUUUUCUCCUCCCAUUUCGAGUGGUUAUCAACAAAUUUAAGGGUCGGGAUGGUAUGGGUGUUUAGGGAAAAGGUUAGAAGUGUGAUUCUUGUUACUAAGAGAUAUUUGGGAGAGAUUUCAGAGAGAUUUCAGAGAGGGAGAUGGAGAGAGAGAAAGAGAUAGAGAGGGAGAGAUUGUGAUCAAAGUUAUGAAAGAUUUGGAGAGUUGAUAUUUUUGUGCUGAGGAUGGAGAGCGAGGGCCUCUAUAUAUAGUAUCCAAAGAGCCUUCAUGGAUCAAGUAAUUUGAUUCCUCACACACAAGGCUUAGAGUAGUUACUUCCAUUGUACUUGGAGAGGGUGUUGUCUUUAAGGUUGGCCCAAGUAGUCGAACCUACAAGAGAUUUGUCUUUGUAGCCUUUCUUAUGGUUUUUGCCUUGUAGUGUUGGGAUUAUGAACUCCAACAAUAUAUANNNNNNNNNNNNNNNNNNNNNNNNNNNNNNNNNNNNNNNNNNUACAGCUGAAAUAUCGAGUUCUUAUGUUACUAGCCUUAAUUUGCAAAUCUAGAGAGGUACUUUGUAUUCAUAAUUGUAAGUUGUACAUUAGGAACAUUAGGAACAUUAGAAACAUUGCAUAAAUUCUAACGUAUUGAUAGUAGUUGAGUUUGACCGAGCUGCCUUGUUGACCUUUUUUGACAUUGGUUGACCCAAAAUUGACAGUUGUCAUAUCAUCCCCCUGCUAAAAGGAAUUUCGUCCCGAAAUUAGCAUUCAGAGUGGGUCCUCAAGGGUUAGGGAAAGGUGUGGGUACUUUUGUUUCAUCUGAUUGACACGUUCCCAAGUAAAUAUAGGUACUCGUUUGGCGCUCCAAUAGACCUUUACUAUGGGUAUGCGACUUUGCUUUGUUCUCUUGAUUUCCCUGUCUACGAUUUCCAAUGAAUCUUCGACGAAGUGGAGAAUCUCUUUGAUUUCAAUUUCGUCAAGUUGAAUGACGAGAGUCUAAUUGGAAAAACACUUCUAUAAGUUGGAUACAUGAAAGGUAGGAUACACGUUACUAAGUUCUGGCGGAGGUUCAAGUCUAUAAGUCACCGAGCCAAUCUUGGCAAGGAUCUCGAAUGGCCCGAUAUACCUUUGUUUCAGUUUCCCAUGUUUUACAAAAUGUAUCAUUUCCUUCUAGGGUGAGACAAUUAAUUGUACGCAGUCCCCAACUUGGAAUUCCAUGGGCUUUCGUCUUUUAUCCGCAUAACUCAUUUGUUGGUCCCAAGAUGCUUUCAGUCGUUCAUGAAUUUGAACGAUCUUCUCCGUUGUCUGACAUAUGAUCUUCAGGCUGGUGAUAGUGUUGUUAGGUACUUGCCCCCUUACUAGCUGCAUGUCACCCACUUCAGCCCAUCUUAGAGGUGAUCUACACUUGUACCUAUAGAGGGCUUCGAACGAACCAACUUUGAUGCUAGUGUGACAAAUAUUGUUGUAUGAUAAUUCGAUGAGGGGUAAGUGGGUUUCCCAAGCUUUACCGAAGUCGAUAACACAAGCUCUCAACAUAUAUCUUCCAAUGUUUGAAUAGUUUUUUCACACUGCCCAUCCGUUUAUGGGUGGUAGGCUGUACCAAUUUCAAGUCGGGUUCCCAAGGAUUUUUGUAGUGUUUGCCAAAAUCACGAGGUAAACCUACCAUCUCUAUCUAAGAUAAUGGAUACUGGCACACCAUGCAGUCAUAUAAUCUCCUUGAUGUAGGUCAUCAUUAGUUUUUUCAUCUUGUCUGUCUCUCUUAUUGGUAGAAUGUGUACAGAUUUGGUUAACCUAUUGAUAAUCACCCAUAUGGUGUCGAGUCCAGUAAUUGUCUUUGGAAAUUUAGUUAUAAAAUCCAUGGUUAUCUGCUCCCAUUUCCACUUGAGUAUGUCUGGUUGUUGUAGUAAACACGAGGGCUUCUCAUAUUGUACCUUAACCUUGGCGCAAGUCAAACAUUUAUCCACAUAGGUAGCGAUUUAUGGCUUCAUGUUUGGCCACCAAUAUACUUUCUUGAGGUCUAGAUACAUCUUAUCAGACCCAGCGUGAAUGGCAUAUUUGGUGGUGUGAUCCUCGCUCAUCAUAACGUCUCUCUACCCACCAAAUUUUGGUGUCCAGAUUCGAUCCAUGAGGUAAUAAGCUCUGUCACCCUUGACCUCAAGGUUUUUAAUCAUUACUCAUAAGUCUUUGCUGGCGACAUUCUCGGGUUUCAAUUCAUGUAGCUGCGCCCCUUUGAUCUGCAUGGACAGGUAUGAAUGGAUAGUUAUGGUUAAUGAUUUUACUCGGCAGCCCGAGUAUUCUUUUCGACUUAGGGUAUCUGCUACUACAUUGGCCUUGCCCAGAUCAUAAUGAAUUUCACAUAUAUAAUCAGUUAGUAGUUCUACCCAUCGUUGUUGUCUCAUGUUGAGUUCUUUUUUAUUGAGGUGUUGGAGACUCUUAUGGUAAGUGAAGAUUGUGCACUGCGUACCAUAGAGAUAAUGUCUCCAGAUCUUUAAAGUAAACACUAGUGCUCCUAAUUCAUAGUGAUGUGUGGUGUAGUUGACUUCAUGGGUCUUAAUUUGUUUCGAGGCGUAAGAAAUAACCUUCCCUGGUUGCAUGAGCACACAACCAAGACCCUCCUUAAACACAUCGCAAUAGACCAAAAAGCCUUCCGUCCCUUCUGGAAGACACAAGAUCAGAGCAUUGAAUAGGGAUUGUUUUAGUGUUUGGAAGGCAGUUUCUUGUAUAUCCUCAAAGUUGAAGGCCACUCCUUUCUAGGUCAAGAUAGUGAGUGGCUUUGCGAUCUUUGAGAAACUUUGUAUGAACCUCCUGUAGUAGCAAGCAAGGGCUAUGAACUGGAAGAUUUCCGUUGGUGUCCUUGGCACUUUCCAGUUCUCAAUUACCUUGAUUUUAGAAGGUUCCACAUGUAUCCCUUCCUUACUGAUCAUGUUUCCCAUGAAGUCCACCUUUCAGAUCCAAAAUUUGCAUUUCAAAAAUGUUGCAUAUAGCUUUUCUGUCCUUAAUGUCUCUAGGACUUGUUGUAGAUGUUGACUAUGUUUUUCCUUACUUCAUGAAUAUAUCAAUAUGUAAUCGAUGAAUACUAUCACAUAUUUAUCUAGGUAAGGUCUACAUACACGGUUCAAUAGGUCCAUGAAAACUGUAGGUACAUCAGUCAAUCUGAAGGGCAUCACUACAAACUCAUAGUGACCGUAAUGAGUUCUAAAUGAUGUUUUAGAGAUAUCUUCCUCCUGGAGUCAUAGUUGGUGGUACCCCGACCUCAGAUCGAUUUUUCAGAAAUAGCUCGCUCCCUGAAGUUGGUCGAACUGGUCAUCAAUUCGGGAUAGGGGAUAUUGGUUUUUGAUAGUGAGUUUGUUCAACUCCAGAUAGUCAAUGCACAUAAGAAAUGAUCCAUCUUUCUUCUUAACGAAAACAACUGGUGCUCCCCAAGGUGAGGAGUUUGGUCUGAUGAAUCCUUUGGUCAACAGUUCGUUUCGUUAACUGGACAAUUCAUGCAUUUCGGUCGGAGCUAAUUGGUUUGGUGACUUGGCUAUGGGUGUAACUCCAAGAAUCAAGUUGAUUCUGAACUCGAAUUUUCGUACAUGUGGUAUUCCCAGAAGGUCUUAUGGGAAUACAUCGGGAAAGCUAUGGACCUAUGGAAUAUCCUUGAUAUCCUUCACUUCCCUCUUGUUGUCAACAACGUGUGCUACGAAUGUGUAGUCUUCUUGCGUAUAUAGUUCUGAGCCUUGAUACAAGAGAUGAUUCAGAGGUUUGUGCCAGGUUUGUCACCUUAGAUGAAGAGGGUUUCGUUACUCUGUAAGUUGAGUCGGACGAAUUUUUCAUAACACAAGAUAUCGACAUGGUGAGGAGUUAACCAAUCCAUGCCAAUGAUAAUGUCAAAACACCUUAUCGUAACAUAAAUUAGGUUAAUUUGUAUGGAGUGAUUGUUUAGGGUUAUAUAUAUAUAUAUAUAUAUAUAUAUAUAUAUACCCCAUUAUGGCUUAUGGUUUGCUCAUUUCUGAGCCUCCAUCACCUUUAGAUCAGAUUAUUCAAACCCUAAUCCUCCAUUUGANAUUUCUACUGUGAAUGUUUUGUUGAGUGAUUGUAGCUUUUGUUUGAGUACGUUUUUAAACUAGUGGCUCACAAAACUCCUCUCUACACCGCUAUCGAAAAGUAUGCAUGCAUAUGAGUUAUUGAGAAGAAACGUACUGGUAACCACUAUGGGGUCCUUCAUGUCCUCCUUGUGCCCUAAUGCCAGAACCCUUCCUAUACCCCCAAUGUUCCUUUAUUGGCUUUUUGGCAUUCUCUCCUAAAAUGUAAAGUUUACCCGCAUACGUAGUACGUUUGGCUGACCCAGACAUUUAUGGUUGGGGCAGCCUGUUGGGCUGGCGCCUUACCGAAACUGAUGAUGUGUCCUUUAUUGUUGUAGUUAGUGCAAUGCAUUUCCUAAAAAACUCCAGUGUUGUGGAAGUUGCACUUGCCACAUUUGGGUUGGCUCCCAGCAUAUUCUUUUUUUGGUGGUGGGGCAACAGGGGCAGUGGCAGCAUGGACUGCCAUUAUUUGUUGUCUCUUCGCAGGCUCUUGUGUCGAUUGGCCCUUUGUCUUGUUCUAGAGUUUUCUUUUGUUGUCUCUCCCUUUCCUUGGUUCGUGGAUGACCGUCAUAAAGCCCUGGCGGAAUCCAUGAUCCACAAGCAUUUGUGCCAAGCAUUUGGCAAUGUCAUAGGUGGAUGGGUUCACAGAUACCGCAUUUCAUUGAGUUUGGGGGGAUAGUCCCCAGAUGUAACGUUUCACCUUUUUGCUUUCCGGGGUUACCAUCCAGGGACAUAGCACCGCCAAGUCGCUGAACUUGGUAGUGUAGGCUGCCAUAUCAGAGCCCUUCAUUGUGAGGCUUCAAAGUUCUUGCUCCAACUUCUAUACUUCACCCGUCGGGUAGUAUUCUGCUAGCGUCAUGAUCUUCAGGUCCUCCCAGCUUAUAGCGUUGGCCAUUGGGAGAGUCAGAGAUUUGACAUGACUAUUCCACCAGGAGAGGGCCCCGUCAGCGAAUGCAUAGGCCACAAAUUUAACCUUGUUCUCUUCCGGGCAUGUGCAGAACUCGAAUAAUGACUCAGUCUUCUUGAACCACCUCGUCAAGGAAAUGACGCCUCCGUUGCCAUAGAAGGUUUUGGGUUUGCAGUUUAAGAAAUCCUUGUAGGAGCAUGCUCUUGGGCGUCCAUGGCUUCCUCCCUGGUUAGAACUAUUAGUACCAUUUUCAGUCCCAUUGGUACCAUUGUUACUAAUUUGUGCUAUGGCGAUGGCCACAGUGACUAUUACAUCAACUUGAAAAAUGGCAAAGUCCAUCGAUGGAGGUUGUGGUAGUGGUGGUGGAGUUGUUGGUGUGUUGUUGAUGUGCCUGUUUGAUUUGCGUGGUGGCAUACUUCUACCAUAAAGCUCAAACAUGGAACGAUGAUAAGUCUUUCAUAUUGGGUAAUAGUCGGGUAUUACCGGAAUGGAGAAUUUCAGUGAUAUAUGUUUUGUGUCUUGUCCUUAUUAUAACUUGUCACCAAUUUAUAAAUAAUAUCUUAUUAUAAUAAGUAACCAAUUGCACAAUAAUUUAUGAAUUUAGAUAGGAAACCCCAAUGAAAUAAAAUGCACGUCAAUUUCAUUGAUAAUAUAUAUUAGUAUAUGAUUUUGUGAAAAGUUGACCUUUGCGAAGGUCUACAAUAUAUCUGAAGUAAGAAAGUCAAACAUCAUAAUGACCCUUUGAAUAGUGGAAUCACUUAUUCGUAUACAAGAAAAAGUAGCACCUUCGCUUACUCGUAAAACCUAAUCUAUAACAGAAUGUGAGUAGCAUAAGUACUACUCGUGUCAUGUGGCUUCCUCGGGUCCCUUAGAGCGGCCAUCUGUGCUUGCAUCGCCCUAGUCUCCACUUUGGCUUCUGCCGCUUGGCACUACCCAUCAAUCACAGGCCCCUCCAUCGUGUUCUGAAAUUCUCGAAACUCCCUAAUCUCGACUCGAGUCGUGGUAACCUCCUCCUAAAGGGCUUGGAUAUGAUCCCGAUUCCGAUCAUGAUCUUCGUCUAGACGAUGAAGACGGACUACGGUGACCUCGGUGGUGGUACUGACGUCUAGUAUGCUGCCAACGGAAGCCCCAACCUGCUCGUCGUGGCGUUUAAUACAACGAACAAUGACAGGGAGUGCCCUGUCAGUUAAUCCUCGGUUAUGGAGGUUGUAAAAGCGUCGCUCCAUGUUGUACGGGGAGCGUUGACCCUGUUCCUGAGUCGAUUUCCCAUGUCUUCGGUCCAUGGUAGCGUCGGGCCGUGGAAGCUUGGCCUAGGCGCGGGGUCGCGGAUGGCAGGGGGUGGAAUGAAGACUCUGGACUCCUUGUUAGAGUCCUCCUCCAUCUCCUCUUCAUCCCCGUCCUCCUCCGGAUCGUCUUCGGGGUCUUCAUCGACCAUCUCCUCAGGGUCGUCUUCUAAAUCCUCCUCGAUCUAGCCGCCGUUUCCUUGGUUGGGAAAGUAGGGAUCCCCAGGGUGGUGAAAACCUGCCAUGUCAAUUUUAUGUUUGGUUCUUAGACUUUCUUUGUAUGGGGUGUUGGUAUGUAUUAGACUUGUCGUUCACCACAACUAUUCCCAAACGCAUGUUGGUCAUAUCACACAUAAAUAUAGUUGAUCAGGCUAUAUUUAUCCCGUAUAUGAUUACAUAACCAUCUAAUCUUAAUUGUAAUGGCCAACUCAUCUUUUUCACUUUUGUAUUGUUCUUGUUAUGACAUCGUUCUAAUAUGUAUGUCUGUACUUAUACUUUUAUAAAAAAAUAAUAUUGUAUUUUAAAUGUAUACUUGUACGAACAUGUUUAGUAAGAGAGCUUUAGUCCCAUUUGAUUUAUAGUUGUAUAUCUUACGUGGUUUGAUAUACUUAGUUUACUAUAAACAAUGCUAUGAUACCAAUCUGUCACACCCCAAACCAGGAUGGCGGAAAUGUCCGGGGAUAGAUGACUUUCAUGUAGUGUAUCAUAACAUAAUGCAUAAUAGUGACCAUAGUAAACACAACCAUCAUAAAUAUAAUUGAAAAUUUCACACUGUUGUAAGUGUUACAUGUUUCAAAAUCAAUUACAAUAUGAUGAUAAAAGUUUUGACUGACUCCUUAGCGUUCCAUCCUCAAAAACUUGUUGUUACCUGUUUUAGUGAUAUCCUAAGAAUACAAGUGGUUUGAAAAAGUGUCAACAAUUAUGUUGGUGAUUUCAAAAGAGUUUGUAUGAAGAAUUGUAAGCUUUUCCUUAAAAGAUGAUAAUGUUCGUUCCAGAAAAUGCAAUAUUUUCCAUAAAAAUGAGUUGUACUCUUAGAUGCCCUAAUACCGAAAUAUACAAGUAUUUUCCAUACAUAAAAUAGUAAUAUGUAGUUUUCAUUUAUAUAAUACUGUUUGAAUUAAUGUUCCCAAUAAACUAAAUGUAUCAUUGUUUCCCCGUUUGAGUUUUUAUAACCAUGCUUGACAUAGAUAGCCUGUCGCGACGUUCUUUAGACGUCGAAAUGUUACGACAUUUGUCACCCAAGAACUAUCGUCUAACUUUAGCUAACAAUUAGGGUGUGGGAUCGUCAAUCCCAUAUAGAUCUAUACACAAGUGUCAUGCUCUCUUCCAAGAGACUCUGGUUAUAAAUCAGGACUUUUUUAGGUACCCUGAUAGGUACGAUGAAGGUUUGACUCACAAAAACUGAUUCAACAAGUUUACAUGUUUUUGAAAUGAAAACCUUUGUAUGCAUAGUUAUCAAUCUCCAUUAUAAUAAAGUAGUACAAAAUAAUUAUAUAUGUAAUUUAAAUAAUUUUACACUUUUCUCGACAUGUAACAAAAGUGUUAAGUAUUCAUCAACUAUAGUUAUAUAGUUUAUUAAUAUAUUUAGUUUUUUUAACCAUAUAUACACAUGUAUGCAUAUUUAGAGGAUAGCAUGCUUAGAUAUUAAUAAAUAAUAAUAAUUUUAUAUCUAGCAUAAAUAAGUUAGUCCUUAGUAUGAAAAUCUCCAUUUUUCUAGUUUUUGUAUUUUAAACUAACUUUUGUAUAUAAAAGUUCAUAAAGCUUGAUAAUAUCAUCAUUUCAUGUUUUAGCACUUUUACACAUGAGUGUCUGGAGUCAGAAGUUUCCGGAUUCUGGAGUGUCUGGAGUCAGGAUUGUCCUAAAUUCAGAAGUGUUUGGAGUGGCUGGGUGUGAAGGCACCAGAAUUCCAAGACGAGCCGGUUCCAGAGCGAGUGAUCUUCUGUGGCCGAGUGAGUUCCGAGGCCAAAUGGUCCAAGACAGUAGGUACUCUGAGAUCGCUAUGUCUAGAAUGAGAGGGUCGUAGAUGGGAAGAACUUUGAUAUUAGAUUGAUCUUUCCCGUUUUCUCCUCCCAUUUCGAGUGGUUUAUAACAAAUUGAAAGGUUGAGAUGGUACGGGUGUUUAUGGAAAAGGUUAGAAAUGUGAUUCUUGUUACCAAGAUAGAUUUAGGAGAGACUUGAGAGAUAUAUGGGAGAGAGAGAUGAAUAGAAAGAUAGAGAAGGAGAAAUUGUGAUCAAAGAUGAGAGAGAUUUGGAGAGUUGAUAAUUUUGUGCUGAGGAUUGAGGGUCAAGGCCUCUAUUUAUAGUAUCCAAAGAGCCUUCUUGCGUCAUGUAAAACUUGAUUCCUUACACACCAAGGCUAAGAGUAGUGACUUCCAUUGUGAAAACCCAAAAUUUUUUGUCUUAUAAAGUCCAGCCAAUCAAUCGAGAGUCAGACUAGUUUCUACUAUCUUUUAGCACUGUUUAAGGUUUGUUUGAGUGUUCUAAGCCUAGUACUUUAAAGUUUUGGGUUUAGAGAUGAGUUAAAUUUAGAGCACCAUGUUGUAUUCGAGCCGAAAACACCAUCAAGUGGUGUGUACGGCCGUGAACAUGAGUGUACAACCGUACACUCAAUGUGGCUAUACACCACCUCCCAUAUAUAAGAUAUUCCGUUCAUUUUUACCAUUCCUCACACUUCCAAGUCUAGAAAAUCGGUUCACUCUCAACUGUUAUCAAGCCUUUCACCUUGAUCUUCAAUUACGUAAGUAUUCCUUCCAUUUGUUUAGUUGAUACACUCAUUAACCAAGUAUCACCCUUUGAUUUCAUCCGUGAAAACACCUCUUUAGGGUUAGAUCUUAAUGAACACCAAGAACACCAAGAACACACACUUGUUCUUGGGUCAUUAACCCCCUAAAUACAUCCAAGAGUGUGAUUAUUCCUUCUAUCACCUAGUUAGACAUAUUAAACACUUGAUUCAUAGCCUUGAAACAUCAUUAAACUCAUGAUCAUCAAGAGUGUAUGGCCAUACACUCUAUGUAUGGUUGUAAACUCUUAUUUUAUGCAUAACCUAAGGCCUUAAACACUUGCUUGGUACUUUUUAUCCAUUAGAACUCUUGAACCCUAGAAUCCCCAUGAAUCAAGACACAAAUUGCACCAUUUUGGAAUGUGUAUGGCCAUACACACUUGGUGUGGCCAUAAACUCAAGUGUACCAAUGAACACACUUCCCUUGGCCGUACACUCCCCUUUGAUCAAUCACAUAUUAUUUCAACACUUCACUUCAAGUGUUUCCUAGUCCCUAAGGGUGUUUCCUUGCAUAUUAGUAGUUUAAAACGCUAAUUACAUGCCUAUAUAUGCCAUUAUAUGUCAUUUAGGACUCGUUUGAGUCCCCGACAAUUCAUUUGUGGACUCGGUUGUGCCACUAUAAUCAAUCUUUUAAAUGUUUUAAAUGCUUUUAAGGGGGGGGGGGGAAAUACAAGUUGAACACAAUGAUAAUGGUGUAAAUGUUAUUUGUGAUAACUAUCAUAUUCAUUGGAUUUCUUAUGCUUUAUAAGUGAUCAAAACCACAUCAAAAACUCUUUUAAAGUUGUGUUACUUUAUUGUUUAUAAAACACCAUUUUUAAAGUACAAUCAAAACUUAGUAGAUAAAUGAGUCUUUUAUUCAAGUCAAUAUCAAUUCAAGUAAACAUACUAGUAGACUAUAAUAUGUAUAAUUUAUGGUUCUAAACAUACUAUAAACGAGAAACAGAAUGAACAUACUAUAAAGAGAAACAGGGAGGAACAUACUAUACACUAGAACAGAAGGAACAUACUAUAUCAAGAACAAGAUAACAAUAAUGUGAAACCACUACUUCACAACUUAGCAAACUACUUGCUAGGUUGCGUUUUGUAAUCAGGGUCUCUUGGAGGGAGAGCAUAAAUUUGUGUAUAGAUCUAUACAGGAUUGAGACCCCACACCUUGCUGCUAGCUAUAGUGGGACUUGCAAGUCUAUGUAGGUGAGAAAUGUCAGAACACUUCGACGCCAUUAGGUCGUCGUGUGAAACACGUUUCAUAUCAGUACGGUUACAAUUAUCUCACAUUUUAACCUUAAUUAACAAACUAGUUUUAAGUAGUUAGUGAUUCAGUAAUUACUUAUACAAUAUUAUUGAAUACUUUCAUUUUCCCAUUACAUUAAUAUGGUGAUCUUCUCCCAUAUAAAGUAAUGCAAACUAUUUUCUAGUAAAGAUAGUCUUAAACUUGGGAAAACUUACAAAAGACAAACAGUAUAGUCGAGUCUUAGUACAUCCACUUAGAAAGGGGCCUAUAAUGCUAACUUUAUGAUUCUUUAGUGCAUACAUCAGGGAUAUAUUGUAACAUCCAAAAAUUUGAGGCCAAAAGUUUUGUUUUUAAAUUAACUAGAUCAUAAUUUAUUUUACAAAAACAUUGUCACUAUUUCAUCAUUCAUAAAAUAAUAAAAUCAUGUCUCGAAAACCAUAUCAUACGGAACAAUGAAAAUUAGAGUACAGUCCUAGAAAAUCCGAUGUGGAACCCAUGUGUGUGAUGUGCUACUACGCUGCCGGCUCUUUCCCCUUAGUGAGUUCUCCCAUCAUACCACACACCAGAUAACACCAUCGGUAUUUUUCAACUGGUAACCAUCAUCGGUAUCUUUCAACCGGUACACGCCAUCGAUAUCUUUCAACCGGUAACUGGGGACUAUUUCACCUCUUAGCACUAGCAUACCGUAACGAGAGAUAAUCAUACAGUCAGGCAUAACUGGGUAGGGAAAACAAAUCCCUUAUACACACAUAGCAUAUCAUACAGGCAUAUCUCGUAACCAUAACACAUUAGCAUACCAAGAUAAUUAUCACGAAGACAAUCAUCUCAUACAUAACUACUUAUUGGUGUGCUGGCAUUGGUGCCUUAGAUGCACCCCUACUGGAAGGUAACUCACCUAGUAGUAGUAGCUGUCGAUAUGUGCGGAAACACUCUGUCUGUUGCUGCUGCUCCGGAAAUCCUCCAGCUAUAAUUCCCACAAAACACCCAAUCAGAGUCUGAUAACUACUCUUAUGCAGGGAUGACUAUUCUACCCCUGACCUAGUCAAAGUCAAGCCAAAGUCAACUUCCAGCUGACCUGACUCACCGAGUUGGGCCACCAACUCGUUGAGUCCUUAUCCAUCUAAUUGUCCUCAUUCCCGUCCCUACUCGUCGAGUUAGGCAAUGACUCGACUAGUUCUCCUCCUAUUCAAAAGAUCCUUCAUCCGACUCACCGAGUUGUAUGAACAACUCGUCGAGUUCAUCUUCAUCUGAAGAACAAGCCCCGUCUUUGACUUGCCGAGUUGUAUGAACAACUCGUCGAGUUCAUCUUCAUGUGCUAGGAGAUCGCCUUGGACUCGCCGAGUCUGUUCAUGCACUCACCAAGUACCAUGAACUCCAGGUCUAAGGCUAAGUCCAAUACGUCUAAACAGCUAUGGGACUCCCUUUUCUAACAACUGACCAUCACAGAAGGGUUUAAGAUGGCUGAAAGUGCAACGACUCGCUGAGUCCCAUCAACGACUCGCCGAGUCUAACCUUGACCAUUUCUAUACAGUCGAUCUAAAAGGAAUUUAACACACCAAAACCAUAGAUCUAGCCUCCUAAUGUCCAUUUUAUACGUAAAGUUCCAAACUUGAUGCACAUGCAUGGGGUUUUUAACUAAAAAGUCCAUAAAAGGUGCUCUAUAAUGUGCAUAGGGCUCUCAUGGCCAUAAAGUUGGCACCUUUAUGCCAUGAGACCCCUCCAAAGACUCAAAUCUGGAAGUAGAGCCCCAUGAAUCACCUUACAAAUCUAAAAAUGGAUUAAGAAGCCCUAAAUGCACCAUGCCCCUAGGCCCUAAAGAUGAACAAUCAAAAAGGAAGACCAAAACAGGGGGCAUUUACCUUGCUUGAGCUGAAGAUGAAGUAAGAUCUCUGGAUCUAGAAGUCCCAACUCGAAAUCCCAAGCUUCCUCUUUCCUUCCAUGCUUCAUAAACCAACUAGGAACACCAAAAUGGUCUUAAAACACACAAACGGCUAGGGUUUCGAUAUCCAGCUCUAAGGGAGUAUUAGGGACAAGGGAGGCUGAGUUAAGGUGUUUAUAUAGGGUGCAAACCCUCAGAUUUAGGGUUUUACUCGCACAGCGCCUACUUGUCGAGUCUGUCUUCCGACUCGUUAAGUAGGUCACUUAAGAUGUCUGCGGACUCGUCUCUACUCGACGAGUGGGUCCUCCGACUCGUCGAGUCCCAGGUAAAAACAUAAAAAUGCUUGAAUUAAAUGUGUGCCAGGAAUUGGGUCCUAGAAAAGUUCUGGGUAAUGCUCCAUUAUCUCAUCCACCGGCUCCCAAGUCCAUUCCGAGCCCUUCCGGUGAUGCCAUUGCACCUUCACCAGCUCGACCCUCUUGUUCUUCCAAUCCUUCGACUUCUGGUCGAGGAUUGCUACAGGUCGCUCGAUGUAAUUCAGGUUGUCAUCAACAUGGAUAUCCUCUAAGGGUACCAAUACUGAGUCGUCCAACAGGCAAUUCCUCAACUGAGAGAUGUGGAAAGUGCUAUGGAUCUGGCUGAGUUCGGAUGGCAGAUCCAAUCUGUACGCCACCUUGCCCACCCGAGCUAAAACCCUGAGCGGUCCAAUGUACCUGGGGCCUAACUGACCCCGUUUCCUGAAACGGAUGAUGACUUUACAUGGCGACACCUUCAGGAGAGCCAUAUCCCCGACCUGGAACUCCAGGUCUGAUUGGCGCUUGUCGGCAUAACUUUUCUACCGACUUUAAGUAGUCUGAAGCCUGCUCCGGACCUCGUUGAAUCCUCUCCAUUGUCUUGAGCACCACUUAAGUGCUCCCCAUGACCCUCUGGCCAACCUUACCCCAACAUAUUGGGGUCCUGCACUUCCUCGCAUACAACAUCUCAAUGGGAGGACGAUCGAUACUCGCGUGAUAGGUGUUGUUAUACGAGAACGCAGCCAAUGGGAGGUAAGUAUCCCAGCUACCACCAAAUUCUAGCACACAUGCCUGCAACAUAUCCUCCAAAGUUUGGAUGGUCUGCUAGCUUUGACCAUCCGUCUGCAGACGAGUACCCAACUCAUCGUGGAAUUUCUUCCAAAACCUGGAAGUAAAUCGCACAUCUCUGUCUGAAAUCACGGUGACUGGCACUCCGUGUCGUGCCACCACUUCCCGAAUGUAGAUGUCGGCCAACUUCUCGGCCAAGAUACCCUCCUGGAUUGGUAUAAAAUGGGUACUCUUGGUCAACUGAUCCACGAUGACCCAUAUGGAAUCCACUCCCCGUGCGGUCCUGGGAAGUUUGGUGUUGAAGUCCAUUGUAAUAUCAUCCCACUUCCAUAGAGGAAUAUUCAACAGUUGCAUCUUUUUGUGUGGCCUCUGGUGCUCGGCCUUGACCUUCCUGCAGGUCAAGGACUGCUCCACGUACCAUGCUACAUCCCACUUCAUGCAGGGCCACCAAUAGUCUGGGCGAAGAUCUCUGUACAUCUUUGUCGCCCCGGGAUGAAUGGAGAAUCAGGAUUUGUGCGCCUCCUCCAAUAGCACCUGGCACACACCCCCAAGGUACGAUACCCACACCCUACGGUGUAAUGUCAAUAAAAAUUGACUAUCAUAGUCGAAGGAGGAAACCUGUCCCAUAAUCCGCUCACUCUUCCGACGUUCCUCCUUCAUAACCUCCUGUUGGGCCUNGGGCCUCCCGAAUCCGCUCCAACAACGGAGUCACCACUGUCAUCCUCAUACAGAUAUCCUUGAUUGGCUCUGCCUUGCGGCUAAGCGCGUCGGCCACCACAUUGGCCUUCCACAGGUGGUAGAGGAUCUCACAGUCAUAAUCCUUUACCACAUCAAGCCACCGACGCUGCCUCAUAUUCAGAUUUGGCUGGUCCAUGAGAUACCUUAGGCUCUUUUGGUCCAUGUAGAUAGUACAACGAACCCCAUAUAGGUAAUGGUGCUAAAUCUUGAGGGCGAACACCAAUGCCCCCAUCUCCAAAUCAUGCGUCGGGUAGUUCACUUCGUGAGGCUUCAGCUGCCUCGAAGCGUAAGCAAUAACAUGCCCUAUCUGCAUCAAUAUUGCGCCCAAGACCGAGAUGGACGCAUUAGAGUAUACUACAAAAUCCUCCAUACCCUCUGGCAACGCGAAGAUUGACGCCUCGUACAAUCUCUGUCUCAAUGUCUCGAAUGCAGUCUGCUGCUCAGGCCCCCAACGAAAGACCAUGGCUUUCCUCGUCAGCCUGGUCAGGGGCACGACUAUCUUGGAGAAGUCCUGAAUGAAUCUCCGAUAGUAGCAUGCCAAUCCUAGGAAGCUCCGAAUCUCGGAUGGAGACCUCGAAACCUCCCACCUCAUCACAGCCUCUACCUUGGUCGGGUCAACCGAAAUCCUGUCCUGGUUGAUGAGAUGCCCAAGGAACUGCACCUCGCGCAACCAGAACUCGCACUUGGAGAACUUGGCGUACAAGCUCUCUGUCCUCAAGGUAUCCAGAACCUCCUGCAGGUGUUCCUCAUGCUACUCUCUCGUCUUGGAAUAUACCAAGAUAUCAUCGAUAAAGACUAUCACAGAUCAAUCCAACAUUGGUCUGCACACGUGGUUCAUGAGAUCCAUGAACGCGGUAGGAGCAUUGGUGAGCCCGAAGGGCAUCACCACGAACUCAUAAAGGCCCUAGUACGUCUGGAAAGCAAUCUUCUACACAUCCUCCUCUUACCCUCAUCUGAUGAUACACCGAACGCAAAUCAAUCUUGGAGAACCAAGAUGCUCCUUGUAGCUGAUCAAAGAGGUCAUCGAUCCUCAGGAGUGGGUAACAGUUCCUUACCGUUACCCUAUUCAGCUCCCGAUAAUCUAUACACAUCUGGUGCGACCCGUCCUUCUUCUUCACAAACAGAAUCGGGGCUCCCCAGAGUGAACUACUUGGUCUAAUGAACCCUUUGCCUAACAGCUCCUACAGCUGUGUAGAACACUCCUGCAUCUCAGGAGGAGCCAACCGAUACGGUGCCUUACCUAUUGGAGCUGUACUAGGGACUAGGUAAAUCUUGAACUCCACCUACCUCUCUGGAGGUAUCCCAGGCAACUCCUCGGGGAAUACAUCCGCAAACUCUCGCACCACGGGUACAUCGCCCACCGUCACCUGACUCGCCUCCCGGGUAUCCAUAACAUAGGCGACAUAUCCUGGGCAACCCUGAUAGAGGUAGCUCCUAGCCCUCGCUGCCGAACAUAAUGUUGGUACUUGAUGUGGCCUCUCGCCCUGAACCACCAGCUUUCACCCACUCGGGGUCCUGAUCCGCACCAACUUCUGCGCGCAUUCAAUCACUGCCCCAUUGGGGCUUAGCCAAUCCAAACCAAUAAUAACUUUGUUCCCCAGCAAGGGUAUCAGAAACAGAUCUACCAGGUAACGCCCCUUGAGCAUCCUCAAAACACAAUCUAGGUAGACCUCUGAUCCUCGCACUGACCAGUCGUCUGCCAUCUCGACCUCAAGGGGGCAAUCCAACAUGCCCGAAAACUCAGGAUACCUCUUGCUUAGCACAAGAGAGACAAACGAUUGGGUAGCACCCUAAUCAAACAAUACCUGAACUGGGAUACCGUUCACAUGGAAUGAUCCUAAACAGAACACAUACAUAUAACAUAUCAAAAUUAUGACAACAUAACGUAAAAGAUCUGAGAGGAGAAAUCAUACUCGUCACCACAUCGGGUGUAGCGCGUGCCUCCUCGGCUAUCAACAGAAAUGCUCAGUUCCGCACCACUGAAGCCUCCAUCCUGACCUUCCGGCCAUCCGUAACCCGCGCAGUCGCCGGAGUUGGCGCCACUGCCAGUGUCGCUGCUGCUUUCAAUCUGGGGAAAUUGGCCUUUUAUGGCCCCUCUGAUUGCAAUGAAAGCAAAUCAGGUAUGAUAUCCAAAUCGCAGGAGUAGGGCAGUACAAUCCCUGCCAAAAUGCCCAAUCUUGCCACACUUAUAGCAACCGGAACCCGACCCAGUGCGACAAACUCCCACAUGUGACCGACUGCAUUUCCCACAGCGGUCCUGCCCUGACUGGCCUUUCGGCCUAACAUAGGAUCCCUUGGGCUUCUUCCCCGAAGCCCUGUCGGUUGUCCCUCCUCUACCUUCCUCUUCCGUAUAUCCUCAUCACCCGCAUACUGGGGAACCAACAAAGCCCUCUCCCAGAAGUUGGCGGUGAUCUCCGCCAUAGUCUCUGUAGUCUGUCUCAUAUCCAAGAACUCCCUGGCCAACCGCUGGAGCUCCACAGCUGGUGUAAACUCGGCCCUGAAUCGGGUCACAAAAUCUGACCACGUCAUAGCCUUAAUGGUUGGGGCUCUCAACGUAUCACCAAUCAACUCCCACCAAUCUUUGGCUCGAUCCCUCAAACAUCCCGCAGAGAAACGAACCUUCGACCCUUCCGGGCAGAAGCUCGUCAGCUGCGCAGGUUCAUUAUCUACGAUCCAUCUACUAGCAGCAAUGGGGUCCUUCACCCCAUGGAAACCCGACGCACCACUCCCUCUGAAGUCCUUAAAGGACAGUGUACACGUACUCGCCUGGCUAGACGCCAAAUCACUCCUGAAUGAUCGGAGACGAUCCUCCAUCAGCUCGAUGAUCCCUUCCUUGAUAGACCCAAAGAUGACCGAGGUUGACUCAAGGAUACCUCUCGUGAUCUCCGACGCUAUGAACUCGCAUAGCCCACCAUCCACCUGCUUGGAUCCUUCACCCGAGCCCGAACCUGAUCCUGACCUAGAACCUCCCGCUCCAUGUCGCGUGGUCACCAUACUGAAAAUAAACAUACAAACAUAAGGAUCACACUUACUAUCGAGAAGUCUCACACACUCUUCAAGUCCCCUGGUUCCAUCUCAGCCCUCCUUCACUUGAGUACGGAGCCUCUGCUUUCAGUAGUACAGGUCCAUACUACCUUCCACAUCUAUUUGUACUUUCCUCAAGGAUACUUCGACUUCACUGAGUCCCCUCUUUCAAUACCCUUUCCACUAAUCUUAUCCUAGAAUUUCCUAGGGCACUCUCCGACCUGCUCUAUACCAUCAGCUACACUAGGAUUCCCUACCAACAUUCCCUAACUAGCUUGCGGAUAUUGUUACAUAUCCGCUUACUAGUUAGUUAAAGUUAGUUAGGACUCCUAUAGCACAAAGCAAGCAGAAUUCAUGCAUUGAGUAACUACUUCAAGCAUAACCUAAUCAGGCUAUCCUAGUAUUGACUAGACAGUCCUAACAUACAACUCAUACAACAGGCAUUCAAGGCAUCCUCCUAAAUCCUUAGCCCUAGGCUAGCAUGUAGUUCUAAGAAUCAUAUAUCAGGCAUACAAGGCAUCCUCCUAGAUCCUUAGCCCUGGGCUAGAAUGCAGUUCUCUGAAUCAUAUAUCAGGCAUACAAGGCAUCCUCCUAGAUCCUUAGCCCUGGGCUAGAAUGCAGUUAUCUGAAUCGUAUAUCAGGCAUACAAGGCAUCCUCCUAGAUCCUUAGCCCUAGUCUAGAAUGCAAUUCUAAGAAUCAUAUAUCACAUGACAUAACAUAAUACGUACGUGUAUCUUGGGGAAAACUUACUUGAGCUCGGCUGGUCGCACGCAUCACAGACCUUGUUCUUUCUCAAAAUUCCUUAACAUAGAUUUUAGAAAAAAAAAUUCUCUGGGAAGAAAAUUUUAAAUCCCUCUGUUUGAGUCCAGACACCCCCGAGGGUAUGUCCCAAUCCCUCAAACCAGGGCUCUGAUACCAACUUGUAACAUCCCAAAAUUUGAGGCCAAAAAUUUUGUUUUAAAUUAAGUAGAUCAUAAUUUAUAUUACCAAAACAUUGUCACUAUUUCAUCAUUCAUAAAAUCAUAAAAUCAUGUCUCGAAAACCAUAUCAUCCGGAACAAUGAAAUUCAGAGUACAAUCCUAGAAAAUCAGAUGAAGAACCCAUGUGUGUGAUGCGCUGCUACGCCCCCGACUAUUUCCCCUUUGACAAAGAGGUACUUGAAACGAAAACUGAAACUAUAAGCACAAUGCUUGGUGAGUUCCCUCAUCAUACCACACACCACAUAACACCAUCGGUAUUUUUCAACCGGUAACUGCCAUCGGUAUCUUUCUACCGGUAACCAUCUUCGGUAUAUUUCAACCGGUACAUGCCAUCAGUAUCUUUCAACCGGUAACAGGGGACUAUUUCACCCCUAGCACUAGCAUACCGUAACGAGAGAUAAUCAUACAGUCAGGCAUAACUGGGUAGGGACAACUAAUCCCGUCUACACAGAUAACAUAUCAUACCGGCAUAUCUCAUGACCAUAACACAUUAACAUAACAAGAUAAUUAUCACGAAGACAAUCAUCUCAUACAUAGUCAAAGUCAAGCCAAAGUCAACGUCAAGCCAAAGUCUGAUAACUAUUCUUAUGGAGGGAUGACUAUUCUACCCCUGACGUAGUCAAAGUCAAGCCAAAGUCAACUUCCAGCUGACCCGACUCGCAGAGUUGGGCUGCCAACUCGUUGAGUCCUUAUCCAUCUAAUUGUCCUCAUUCCCGUCCCUACUCGUCGACUUAGGCAAUGACUCAACGAGUUCUCCUCCUAUUCGAACGUCGAAUAAUCCUUCAUCCUACUCGCCUAGUUGUAUGAACAAAUCGCCGAGUUCAUCUUCAUCUGAAGAACAAGCCCUGUCUUUGACUCGCCGAGUUGUAUGAACAACCCAUUGAGUUCAUCUUGUUGUGCUGGGAGAUUGCCUUCGACUCGCCGAGUUUGUUCAUGCACUCGCUGAGUCCCAUGAACUCCAGGUCUAAGGCUAAGUCCAGUACGUCUAAACAGCUAUGGGACUCCCUUUUCUAACAACUGACCAUCGCAGAAGGGUUUAAGAUGGCUGAAAGUGCACCGACUCGCCGAGUCCCAUGAACGACUCGCCAAGUCUAACCUUGACCAUUUCUAUAUAGUCGAUCUAAAAGGAAUUUAACACACCAAAACCAUUGAUUUAGCCUCCUAAUGUCCAUUUUAUACGUAAAGUUCCAAACUUGAUGCAUAUGCAUGGCGUGUUUAACUAAAAAGUCCAUAGAAGGUGCUCUACAAUGUGCAUGGGGCUCUCAUGGCCAUAAAGUUGGCACCUUUAUGCCAUGAGACCCCUCCAAUGACUCAGAUCUGGAAGUAUUGACCCAUGAAUCACCUUACAAAUCUGAAAAUGGUUGAAGAAGCCCUAAAUGCACCAUCACCCUAGGCCCUAAAGAUGAACAACCAAAAAGGAAGGCUUAAAUAGGGGCAUUUACCUUGAUUGAGCUGAUGAUAAAGUAAGAUCACUUUAUCUACAAGUCCCAACUCGAAAUCCCAAGCUUCCUCUUUCCUUCCAAGCUUCACAAACCAACCAAUAACAUUAAAAUGGCCUUAACACGCACACAAACGACUAGAGUUUCGAUAUCUAGCUCUAAGGGAGUGUUAGGGAUAAGGGAGCCUAAGUUAAGGUGUUUAUUUAGGGUGCAAACCCUCAGAUUUAGGGUUUUACUCGCACACCGCCUACUCACUAAGUCCGUCUUCCGACUCGUCGAGUAGGUCACUUAAGAUGUCUGCGGACUCGUCUCUACUCGACAAGUGGGUCCUCCGAUUCGUCGAGUCCCAGGGAAAAACAUAAAAUGCUUGAAUUAAAUGCAUACCAGGAAUUGGGUGCUACAUAUAUGUUAAUCGGGUCUGAUAAACAGUCGAGUGUGUGCUUUCCGCUUCAUUUCCUGUUCCUUGUUUGGUUGUGGUCUUAGAGCAGAUGCAGCCAGCCUACUAUCUAUCCGAUCUUAGUUGAAUAUAUAUUCAGUAUACACCAAGUAAUCAUAUGGAUUACCAGGUAUGGGUCAGGUCAUAGUAUACAAAUCCAAUACAUCGUUUUUCUGGUACAAAAACAUACUUUUCAAAUAGAACAUGUAGUAGAAUAAACUAGAAACUUGUCAGCAAAUGGGUUUAAUCCAUUCUAUUAAACCAGUAUAACUCAAAGGACCUUUAGUGGUUAAUUCUAUAAUACCAUAGUUUAUACAUCAGGGUUAUAUAUAAUUAAUAUCUGAUAGGUAGUUGGAUGUGUGCUUUCCGCCUUACUUCUUGUUCCUUGUUUGGUUGUGGGCUUAGGGCAUGAUUCAGACAAUUAACUAUCUGUUCGAUAUUAUAUUAUAUAUAGCUUGUAUAAACUAAGUGAUUAUAGAAGGAACAAUUGUCAUUACCAUUUUUACUAAAGCAAAUAAGGGUUUUUCUUAAAGGAUGUUUUUCAUCAAUUAAAGGAACUAUUACAGUUAACUCCAUGAGUACAAAAUAAAUGCACCAUGGUUAUCUACAGUAAAGAUCUAACAAACAAUGGGAUGUGUGACUUCCGCCUCAUUUCAUGUUCCUUGUUUGGUUGUGGGCUUAUGGAAGAUUCACACAAUCGAUCAUUUGUUUGAUCUGGAUUCUAUAUAACUUGUAUCCAUUUAGCACUGAUAGAAAGGAUUGUAGAGUCAUUUUUACUUAUCUUUCAUGAUAUUAGAAGAUAUAGGAUCUUCUGGAAGAACAGGUAAACUUUCCUAAAAGAACUUACAACUUACUUUACAUCACUAAAAUACUUAUGAAUUCACCAGCUUAAAUGCUGAUCUACUCUUUCAAAACAACUUGUAUUCUCAGGAAACUAGUAGACUGGUACGUGCGCCGGGAUUCAGAAGAUGAAGUAUAAUAGCUUCAUGUCUUGUUUUGUUAUUUACUUUCGGAUUGAAUAUUUUGUGAAUCACUAAUUGUAAACACUUUAAUAUUAAUAAAAUAGUUGUUUGUUACUAUGAUUGCUAUGAUACUUGUGUUGUGAUACUAAACAUGACGUCCUCCGCCCCCGAACAUUCCGCCGUUCCGGUUUGCGGGUGUCACAUAUUGAUAUCAGAGCAUUGUUUUUAGUGAACUAAGUAUAUCAACCAAUAAAACAUAUACAACUAUAAAUAAAAUGGGGCCUAAGUGUUCUGAAUAAUAAUAUAUUUUAAGAAUAUAACACUAAUUUAUAAAAGUAUACAUACAUGCUUAUACAUAUAUACAUACUACAUCAAGUAUUACAAGAAGAAUAGAACAGAAGUAUUUAAAGGUUGAAAACUGCAGUCAAUCCUGGAUAGUUGUCUAAUCAUAUCUGGGAUCAAUAUAGCCUAAUCAACUAUAUUCAUUUGAGAUGUAACUAAAAUGUGUUUGGGAGUGAUGUGGUGUUGCAACAGUCUUAAAACUUACCUAACACUAUUCAAGGGAUUUUUAGAUCAGAACAAAAAGUUAGAACACUAUGGGAGUAUUUUAUGAUACUACAAAACAUCAAUAAGUUUAAAACAUACCAAGUUCACUACAUUAAAAUAAUAUAGGAGUAUUUUAGGCAAUAUAAAUAAAUUAUGUGACAAUUUAAAAGACCCUUCUUGUAGUCUAUGAUUUUGGAGUGUAUACUCCCAAGGUUUUAUAUAAUUGAGAUUUUAUAGACUUAGAAUUUGUGAUCUACGCUUCACUACCUAUUCCUUGUUUGGUUGUGGUUUUGGAGUAGGAUCACUUAUUCAAAGGUCUAUUUAAUCUUAAAUUAAAUACAACUUGUAUCCAUUGCGCAAUUGUAGGAGGACCCAGUAAGGAUCACCCCAUAAUGUUACUCACUUCCGUUCUCGCACAACAAACUCGAAUCGGUGUAACCACUCUAUCAUAGCAGUUAAUAGAGGAGACAAGGAGGAUCAAGGAGAGAUUUCCAAGAAGUGAUCAGCCUAAGAAACUAAAACGUAUUAUGUGUCACACUAAUAAAUAAUUACCAUAAUUUUCUUCGUGAGCUAGUGAAUACACUACUCACACUAUGUGUUAGGAUUAUUUCUUUUCAUGCAGCUAGUAUCAGUUAUUCAAUUUGCAGAUAUUCAUUCGAGGAUAGCCACUGCUAUAGACUUAUUCCCAAAACCCUAUGAACUUCAGAACCAGAUACACUCAGAACUAGGAUAACUUAGUCUUUUAUCUUUUAGCAUAUAUCCAUUGCUAUAGACUAAUUCCCGUCUCAUCUUUGUUUUCUUUUUAGCAAAUAUGCCUCCUCGUAGAUCAGCGAGACACACUACUCCGAUAACUCCAACUCAAACUCCACUACGUCCUCCUCAAUUCGUUCCCGCUGCUCUCCAAGCAAUGAUAUCAGCCGCAAUAACAACUGAUUUAGCUCACAUCAGCAAAAGUCAUACCAAUGGAUUUGGUAGCGAUACCCACUUAACAAACCCCAGAGUUACCCACGAGCACCCAAGGGAGUGUCCGUACAAGGACUUCAUGAACUGCAAACCCAAAUUCUUUAUGGAAAUGGUGGAGUGAUUGCUCUGAUGCGAUGGUUUGAGAGAACAGAUUCGGUCUUCACAAUUUGUCAUUGCCUAGAAAGGAUCAAAGUGAAGUUUGUUGCAUGCACCUUCUCCGACAGAGCCCUAACAUGGUGGAAUAGCCAUGUUAAGUCACUGAACCUAUUAGUAGAUAACUCAAUAUGUUGGGAAAACCUAAAAGAGUUUAUGAUGGAAGAAUACUGCCCAAGAGGCGAAGUUCAAAAGCAGUAACAAGAACUAUGGGAGCAUACCAUGUUCGGCUCAGACAUAAUCACCUACACUUACAGGUUUAGCGAUCUGGCAGCACUAUGACCUGAGAUGGUUACCCCAGGAUUAAGAAGAUAGAAAGGUAUAUUUGGGGUUUAUCUACCCCGAUCAAAGGAGAUGUAUUGUCUUUUAAUCCAACUACAUUCGAUAUCGCCCAACGCCAGGCGCAACGACUUAUUGACCAUAGAGUCUGCCAUGGAAUAGCUGUCCCCGUUCCCGAGCCAUCAAAGGGAGGAGACCAUUGUUGGAUUAGGUGUCUAAGCCCAUAACUAUAAUCGGUAUGUACUUGAAUUGAUAGUAGCAAUGUCCUUUUGGGUUGCCUUCAAACCUGGCAAUUAAAUAGGAUUAUUGGUGGAGAGAGAAGAAUAAUUUAUUAAUUUAUUACUUCGUUAAUAAAUUAAUUUAUUAAUGUAUUAUCAAUAUAAUAUAGUAAUUAGAUAUCAUAUUGUUUAAUUAAUAUUUAAUUAGAAAUUAAUUUGGAAUUAAUUUUGGGAUUAAAGGAUUGAAUUGAAACUGCAAGGACUAAAGGUGACGAUGUUCAAAAGUUGAGCAUUGAGCAUUCUAGAACCUCCCUAAGAGGGAUGGAAUGAAAUCUAGAGUGUCCUAGGGUUUCCUUGGGCUCUAUGGGUGCCUUAGAAGCCUUAGGGAGGAAGUUGAGGGAUUAGGGUUAUCUAAGAUACACCUGCCUUAUCCUAAACCUUCCAUAUCAACUAUAUAUACCCUUAUAGGGUUGGAUUUCAUCUAAGGUCACUCCAAGAGAGGCUAGGGCCCAAUUUUUCACUUCACUUCUCUCUCCACAGUAAUCCUUGGUUGCUAGGUUUGUUUAUGAGUCAUUAGAGGCGCGACAAUUGUGGCGCUUGCUACCAAAGUUCAAGAUCUUCAAGGAUUUGAUUGUUAUUACAAUAUAACAAUAAAGGUAUGUAUCCGAACCCCAAUGAAAUGUUAUUUUCGAAAAUUACAUGUGCCUCCUAGGGUUUCUAGUUUUUGUCUUUAAUGCUUGUAUGUAUAAUAGUGAAAACAUAGAUCCUCAAAUUAGGAUUGCAUGCACAUAUAGGAUUGUUUGUUUUGUUUAAAACCCAUCAGUGGUAUCAAAGCCAUUGGCUUUGUUUUCAAUUGUAUUUGAUACAAGAGUUUGAACAUGACAUAUUAGGGUUUAUGGCUAAUAAACCCUAAGGAUUGGAUUUUUGAAAUUAGGGUUCCUUAAUCCUGGUUUUUGAAAUUUUAUUAGGGUUUCUUAAACCCUUUCCUUUGGCCUCAAGAUUUCGAAAUUUUAGGGUUUCCUAACCCUUGGGAUUUUCGAAUUCAUGAUAAGGAUUCAAAUCAUUUCCUUUCUCCCCAAGAUAAGAUUCCCAAAUUUUAGGAUUAGGAUAAUGACAUCUUUUGUAAUUAUCCUUUUAACUGUUUAAGUAGAUAAUUAAAGAUCCUUGAAUUAUUCCAUCCCAAAAUUUUGAAUUUUAGGGGAUAAAGAGAUUAGGUAAAAUUAAUUUUUUAAUUUAAAUGAAUAAUUCCUCAUGAUUUAAUAAUUUAAAUUAAUUGUUUAAUUUUGGAUAAUUAUUAAAUCAAAGUUUUAAUAUUUAAGAUUUUAAAAUUAAAAGGUUUUAAUUUUAGAAAAAUUUUAAAUUUGACUAAAACACUAGUAUUUUUAAGAGUUCAAAUCACACCCUUAUGGUUUUAUUAAAUUACUUAAGUGUGUAACUAAAAGAGAGUUAAUAAAUCCAUAAUGAUAUGGUUUAUAUUUAAUUAAAUUAAAAGGUAUAGUUUAUUAAAUUAGACCACCUAGUAAUUUAAAAUUUUAAAAUGUACCCUUAUACUAUAUAAAAUUAAAAGUCUAAUAUAUUAUAUAUGUAUAAGUAAAGAGUCAGUCUUACUGUUAGUAGGCCUCAUUCACGAAGUUGGUCUAUAAGGGGUGUUUAAGGAAAUGCCUAUAAAAUAGUGAUUGAAUGGGUAUCCACUCUUACCCACCGCACUCUUGACUAGUGGAUGGUCGUUAGCCGNUCCCUAAAAAAUGUUGAUUGAAUGGUUAUCCACUCUUACCCACCGCACUCUUGACUAGUGGAUGGUCGUUAGCCGAAUGGGUAGGAUAGGACAGAACCUUCCAUUAUAAGUAUAAUGUAAAACAAAGUAACAAAACACUUUUAUAAAUUCCCAAAUCUUAGCUACUCUAGGAAAAAUGUGGAAUUGGUGCUAAUCCAUGAAAUUGCACAGUGCACCCAUAUUGGUCGAUUAAUGGAGCAUGUGUGGUUAAUCGACACACUAAUAUGGGACCAAUGAAGUAUCGCAAUGGGUAGCUUGAUGUUUAUCAUAGAUCAAUGGAGCAUGUGUGGUUAACUGACACAUUGAUUAGGUGAUUCAUAACAUCAAGAGUACUAAGCUAAUUUGCAAGGUUAUCCACACCUUGUUUGUGAUCCUCGGCAUCCCAGUCACAAAUGAAGGGCACAAAGGAGAUUAAAACAUGGCAUUGAAAAUUUCAAUGAAUCUCAAAAGAUCUAGGAGUUUCAAUUCAAUUAAAACUUAAAUUUCCUUUCGUUUUUCAUCGUGGAAAUUGGUAAAUCAUCAUUUACCUACCUGGAAAUGUUCUACAAUUUGGAUUACGACAUCCCUCUUCCAAAUUGUAGAACAUUGUGUUGGAUCCUAGCCUUAAUAUCUCAUUUGGGUGUUUUAUUAAGGACUCAAUCAACUGACUCGAAUUUUCUCCCAUUUUGUAGAUGUCUAAUUCUAACUAUGGUCUUCCCAAAUCCCUUGGAACAAGCUUUCCACAUGAAGAUGAUAUUCCAUGAUUCGAUCAAGGAACAAUAGAUCAUGGUUCACUUCCUCCACAUCCUCCUAUUGUUCUCCCUAACCCACAACUUCAAAGGCUUGAAAAGUUCAAUCUCACUCAAUCCCUUUUGCAAAGUAAACAUGAAGAAGGAAAGUCAGUGUGUGCACACAUCAUAGAGAUGAAGUCGCACAUUGACAAGUUAAAAAUGUUUGGAGUCAUUUUCUAUGAGAAACUGGCUGUUGAUUGGGUUCUUCAAUCGCUUCUUGACUCAUAUAGUGAGUUCGUAAGAGAGUAAUAUAUGAUGGACCUCGAUGUGACCCUCAUCGAUCUCACCUAUUUGCUUAUUGCUGCUGAAUCAGAAAUGAUUUGGCGCACUGGAGAAGCAAAGUUGAUUGGUAGAUCUGCCUUCCAAAUCUCCAUUGACAUAGGUAAUGGCAACGAAAAGCAUGCCAUGGUUGAAAAUUUUGACCAUAAGAGAAAGGCAAAGUCUGGAAUAGUUUCGUGCGCUAUUCCAAAAGAGUCAAUUUGCUUUUAUUGCUAAGAGAAAGGGCAUUGCAGAAGAAGCUUCCCUGUCUACCUGAGAGAUCUAAGAGAUGGGAGAGUCAAGACAUAUGACUCUACUUAACGUAAAAUCCAUUAACUAACUUUGUAAGUUCUUAUUUAUUUUUAUUCUUAGUACAUUAUUUAAUAAGAUUACAUUUUUUGAUGUUUUGUAGAAUCGAAGAAAAGAGAGGAAGCUUAAAGGAAGAAGUAAACUGAGCCUGAUCGCAAAGAAAUGGAUUCGAUGAUCGCAUUUUUGGAGCUGCUAUUUUUAGAGUUAUGAUAGAUUUCUUAGGAAUAUGUAAUAACAUAGUUUUUCAUUUGAAUUGCAUGGUAAGGACAAGUUUUUCCGCACCUUUUAUAAAUAAAAUAUAUUUUUGUUUUUGUCUUAUUUAUUUUAUUCCUUGCAAUGCUAUGUAUGAGAAAUUGACGUUUGUGUAUUUAUUGUUUUAGCAAUGUUGAAAUGGAUGUGAUUCUUAGUUAUGUUAUUUGUGGAAAUGUCGUGAAUUUACCAAAUAAGGAAAGAUUCUUGUCACCUGAGUUUCAAUUGGAUAGAAACUUGGAAUCAUACAAAUUGUAUUGUAUGAUAAAUGAGAACCUUCAUAUUUGGAAAAUUAAGACUAAUUCCUUGACAAAGAGUAAAGUGAAAGACUAGGAGAACUGGUACACAAUGUUGUGCACUAGUCAAGUCCACCACAAAGAAUAAUAAGAUUAUUCAUCAUGAUUUACUAAAAGUCUAGUAAAUGUGGUUAUGCUUACAAGAUUAAGUGUAAUUUUGGAUCAUUGAAAAGUAUCAAUGUAUGACAGAACAAAUAACAAGAAUCAAUUAGGUAGAAAGAUAAAAGUUUCUCAAAUCUAAGAAGAAGGGAGAGUACUUUUGUAUCGUGUUUUAUGAUCGUCUUGUUGAUUAUGAAACCAUAUCACAAUUAAUCCUCUAAGGACAUCUUAGUGCACUAGUAUGGCUAAGAAGAGGAAUCAGAAAUUAUUGAAGUGGUUAAAUCAAAAGGAUGAGUCAUACUUCGUUCCAUAAUCAAGUCUUAGAUUCAUACUCCAAGAUUGUGAAUAUAGUGACACAUCUUAAGAAGAUCUAACACACACUUUAAAUGUGAAGUAGAAAAUUGUUUUUCUUACGCUUGCACAUUUGAAAUUGGUAAAUUCUGAGGAAUUGGAUAUGACGAAGACCAACUAAUACCAAUUUUGUGUAGUUUUUGUCUUGAUAAAAAUCCACACUAACUAUUGAAUAUUUGUUUGUCAAGAAAUGUUUCUUUACAGGAGAAUCUUAUAUCAAAAGCAGUCAGUGCGAGUCUAAAUGAUCUUGAAAAGUUUCAAGAACUAAUCAAGAGUAAACCUAGUAUUAAACACUAGCGCACGACUUGAGGUUUGCAAUUUAUCGUGUUGACAUAUCCUUGUUUAUGAGCUAUUCCAGUUUAGUAAACUAUGCAUAUGAGUUCUACGAGUUCUGAAUAGACUGCAUAAAGGCAAGCAUCUUGUUCAAUGAAAGAACAUUGACAAGUAUAGGUGAACUGCUAAAUAACUUGGAAGCAAUGAUGGGACCCUUGAUGGCAAGAAAUUAAGUAUGAACAAGUUUUGUCCAUAUGAGUUUGGAUUUGUCACGAACAUUAUCUUACGAUAAUGGUUAUGACAAAUUCACAUGGAUAAGAACACAUACACCAUAAAAUCUAAGUGUCAUAAGGUUUCUCUCCUUCAUGAAAAUGAUUGUGAAGAAGCGCUUUCACUAAGUGAGAUUUUAAGGAGAUAGCGAUUAUGUAAAUUACAUUCUCAAAUUCGAUUAUGAAUACGGCAUCUCUCUUCAUAGUUCAAAUUGUGAGAUUUGGCGAUUAGUCUGAACGUUUGGGACUUAGUAAUAUAAUUUCUGAAUUAGUUUGGACACACAUGUGAGCUAUCUAAGGAAAGGUGUAUGAGUUUUUGGAAGCUUAGAUAAAGGCUUAUCGAAGCAUAUCGUAUUACAAAAUAUGAACUUUGGAAGUCAAUAAGUAUUGCUUUCUAGAAGUCAAAUUGUUUUCUGAAUACGUGUCAAAGCUAGUGGGAGCAUAAAUGUUAUGAUGGUCUGGAUAUGAUGAGUGGGAGCAUGAUUAUUAUUUUAGGUGUUGCAAGUUAGCAAUACUUAUAGAAAACAAAAGUUUCACUUUGCAAAGUUGCCGGGGUUAAAAGGUUGUUUUGCUAUAACUAAGGGAGAGAAUAUUAUACUUCGUUUCGAAAUCUGAAAGCUUAGAUCGAGAAAUUUUGAAUGAAUUUAGUCAAAGGACAUAUAUGGAUGUUAUGUUGAAAAGAAUCAACAUAAAGGAAUUCUAUAUAUGGUAAUAUUAUAUCAAGAAAGUGGUAAAGUAUCAUGUUUUUAUUGUGAAUCGUGUCCCAUACGCUUCGGGUAUAGGAUUGAUUGCAUUUGCUGUAAUAUUUGACCGUACUAAACUUUUCCAAAUGCCUAGGGCAUUAAGAGGGAAAAAGGUCUAGAUUCGAAUUUCACUAAAAUAAUUAAACAACUAUCCAGGACAAUAUAAGGUUCACCAAGGAUUGGUCGCUUGUGAGCGGCUGGAAGUAUAAUAGCGGAUGGACCAUAUUGACAUUAUUAUAAAUAGAUAAAACUCUAUUUAGAAUGAGUUGUCAUAUGGAAAAUAUGGAAACAUUUCCAUACUGGGAGUUCGACGUUAAGAAUUUAUGUCUAGAUUAGAAACUUUUAUGCAAGAAGGAUGUUCAAAGGAAUGUAUUUUGAAUGUGAAAGUUCACAUCUAUGGGAUUGCCAUGUAACAAUAUCCAAUAGAGCACUUUGUAAUUUUAUUUGCCCAGUCUUGGUGACUUUUGUGCUGUGACAUUACGAAAGGACUGUUGCAUAAAAUGUUAAAAUCUAAAAAAUUCAAGUGGUGGCGACAACUUUGUAUUCUUACACUAAUGAUUAGGAUUAGGAAUUUUGAAAUGAGUAUCAUUGGAAAUGUGUUCAUUUGAUCUAUUUCACGAAGUAAGGACCAUAGUUAAACAUAGUGUGCAUUCUUGGUGCAUGGGACAACUGUUUUUAUAAUUCAAGCAAGAAGUUGAUACACGAAACAACAAAUAAUGAGUAAUCAAUAUGAUGAUUAAUUAAAAAAUGUUUUAUUUAUACUCAAAGGUUUGGGGACAUAUAGGAUUAGUAUUACUAUUGUCUUUCACUUUGCAUGUUUUGACAUCCCGAAUAAUAAGAUUAUUCAAAUCUUCCACAAUCGCUCAUACUUUGGACGUAGGUAUGAAUGAAGACUGUCAUGAAUCCAUCUGUAGAUUGUCUAAAGUGUUUGGAAAUAGCACAAGUUUGCUGCAGAGUUCAUGAGUGCUUCUAUAAGAUUAGAGUAUUGGAUUAAACCCACACUCACUUGGAUCGCUUCAUGGAUUUUAUCACGAGUAAUUGGUGAGACGAGAAUAUCGUAUAUUCUUGAAACCGAGACGAGAAAGUUAUAUUCUACAAGUCAGUUGCACAUUCAUAAUACGUAAACACACCAGUAACUUGUUGUUAUAAAACAUAUUAUUGUGUGUGAUUCGAUGAGUAGAUACAAGCGAGCAUCGGAGUCGAAGUUUAUACGUUCCUUUUACCCAAAGUGGAUAAAAGCGAUAUUUGUGGGCCCCUCGAUGAUUUAGUGAUGGCACCUAAGCGCUUGGCCAAGCCAAGAGUAAGUUGAUGUGUUAAGUUGUAGUCUGUUAUUAGUCAUCAUAAAUCGGAAAUCGAAAACAACACAUAGACAGUGAGAAUUAUUAAAAUCCAUGUGUCAGUGUAUACGAUAUCUAGAAUGGAGGAAUAUUUGAUCCCUUAUCUUAAGGACACGUCACUAAUAAGAUCAGAAUUCAACAACGGCUUUUGGUAGCUAAAAUUUGCUAGUCAAUUUCGAAGUUAUACUUACAAAUAUAGUUAUUAUACUUAUCCAAGUGGGAGACUGUUGGAUUAGGUGUCUAAGCCCAUAACUAUAUUUGGUAUGUAUUUGAAUUGACAGUAGCAAUGUCCUCUCGGGUUGCCUUCAAACCUGCAAUUGAAUAGGAUUAUUAUUGGGGAGAGAAGAAUGAUCUAUUAAUUUAUUACUUGGUUAAUAAAUUAAUUUAUUGAUGAAUUAUGGAUAUAAUAUAUUAAUUAGAUAUCAUAUUGUUUAAUUAAUAUUUAAUCAGAAAUUAAUUUGGAAUUAAUUUUGGGAUUUAAGGAAUGAACUGAAACUGCAGGGACUAAAGGUGACAAUGUUAAAAAGUUGAGCAUUGAGCAUUCUAGAACCUCCCUUAGAGGGAUGGAACGAAAUCUAGAAUGUCCUAGGGUUUCCUUGGGCUCUAAGGGUACCUCUAAAGCCUUAGGGAGGAAGUUAAGGGAUUAGGUUUAUCUAAUAUACACCUGCUUAUCCUAAACCUUCCUUAUCACCUAUAUAAACCCUUAAAGGGUUGGAUUUCGUCUAAGGGAACUUCAAGAGAGGAUAGGGCCCAAUUUUCCACUUCCCUUCUCUCUCCAAAGUAAUCCUUGGUUGCUAGGUUUGUUUGUGAGCUAUUAGAGGCGCGAAACUUGUGGCUCUUGCUACCAAAGUUCAAGAUCUUCAUGGAUUUGAUUGUUAUUACAAUAUAACAAUAAAGGUAUGUAUUUACAUGUCCCUCCUAGGGUUUCUAGUUUUUGAGUUCAAUGCUUACAUGUCUAAUAGUGAAAACAUAGAUCCUCAAAUUAGGGUUGUAUGCACACAUAGGAUUGCAUGUUUUGUAUAAAACCCAUCAACCAUAAACGAAAGUCAAGGAAAAAAGGAAAGAGCGAACAACCCAGGAAAGCCCGCAAGAGCAGCAAAUGGGUACUAUAUACGCCGCCAUAAAACCUGCUACUCCAACACCUACCAGUCGAUAUGCUGGAACACUCCCGACGUGUGAUGGGUGUAACUACCACCACACCAGAGUAUGUCGGGAAAUGUAAUGCUUGAAUUUCCACAGGAAGGGGCACAAUGCCCGGUUCUGCAGGGCACUAGUACAACUGUUCUCCCAAGUCCCCAGAGAGGAAGUAAACCAUGUCUUCUAUGGCUAUGGUGAGAUAGGGCACUUCAAGAGGGACUGUCCGAUCACGAAAAACUCAGGCGCAGAUGGACGGAUUCUGAUGAUCACCGUAGGAGAAACUAUCCCAGAGUCCCCAACGACCAGCGGUACGUCUUCGAAAUAAUAAUUACUUUAAAAUUUAAAUUAUAUUUAUAUAAGAUUAAAACUUGGGGAAAUAUUUAAAAUUAAUAAUAAUAACUCUCUCAUCUGAAACAAGUCACAACAUUCUUAAGGGAAUUAAAGAUUCGUACAAGAAAGCUAUGAUGGCUUAGUAUGUAAAUCAGGGUUGUGCAUAGCAAAGAUUUUGCAGACUUAGAGUGAGUGAUUCCGCCUUAAUUCAUGUUCCUUGUUUGCUUGUGGAUUUAGGGCAGAGCCAAUCAGUCGACCGUCUUAUUCAUCUAUAUGUACAUAACUUGUAUAUACCAGGCGAUCAAACAGAUAUCGAGGAGGAUCAUAAUAUAGAGUAUCAACACUAGUUAUCAAAACACUGCACUAUUAGUAGUCACUUAUUACAAUACGAUUUAUAGCAGUGGUAAUAUCGAGGGGAAAACAUAAAGCACUAGAACAUUUACACUGUAGUAUAACAAACGCUUCUUUCAAAUCGGCCUAACCUUUGCUUCUGUAAAGAGUCUGUUGCCAUCAUUCAUCAUGAAUUUGCGUGCUCCUCACCACACUAAGUUAAUAUGUUUUCAUUGCCUUGACCAUCAAAUUUACGAAACCCUCGUCAUUCGUAACGACAGCCUAACCUAGACCUCGGAAUCGUCUACCUCGUAAUCUACACCUCAAAGUACUCAUGAGAAUAGUACCUUGCCCUCCGAAACCUUAUGAUUGUAUAUUCAACAGACCUUCCCGAACUACCACUCGUCUAGGAGAUCAAGUUCAAUCAUAGAGGCUAAGGAUGAAUAAAGCCCACCUAUCACUAAUAGUGUAUACGCUAGAGUGGUAUAUAAUUAUGAUUACGCAGAUUAAGUAUGUGUGUUUCCGCCAUAUCUCCUGUUCCUUGUUUGGUUGUGGACCUGGGGUAGAGUCGCACAUCUGACCGUCUUACUAAACCUAAUUAUAGACGACUUGUAUACACGAAGUAAUGAUAGAUGGACCAGGUAUGAAUCCUACUAUGGACAUUAGGGCAAAGUUUCUAGGUCUACCAGUGGGUAUUCUACCAAUCAGAGGAGCACAAUCUCAGUAGUACUACUAAUAAAGCAAAUUUCGGGACGAAAAUCCAUCUAACGGGGGGAUGAUGUGACAACCCGAUAGUUUUAGUCUUAUAAAGUCCAGCCAAUCAAUCGAGAGUCAGACUCAUUUCUGCUAUCUUUAAAACUGUUGAUGGUUUUUUUUAGUGUUCAAUGCCUAGUACAUUCAAGUUUUGGGUUUAGGGAUGAGUUAACUUUAGUGAAUCGUGUUGCAUUCGAGCCAAAAACACCAUCAACUGGUGUGUAGGUGUAAUGUCCCAAUUUUCACGCCCAAAAAUUUCAUUUCAAUUAAGUAGUUUGUAAAACAUUUGUAGUAAAACAUCAUCCGAUCAUAUCAUUUCAUAAAACAUAUAUGUGUCUGAAAAACCCAAAACAUGAAAAUAAUAAUAAUGUCAGAGUAAAAUCCAAGAACAUCUCAUAAUGCAGAAAACCAAAGUGUGUGUGUGUAUGAUGUGCCGCUACCGCGCCAGCUCCUUGCCCUUCGCUGAAGAGGUACCUAAAACCAAACAGAAAACUUUAAGCAUGAAGCUUAGUGAGUUCCCCCAUCGUACCACAUACCAUACAAUCAUAUCACAUACAUACUGCCAUACAUUUCUGGGGUGCCGACCUACCCAUACGGCCAUUCUGGGGUGCCGAUCUACCCAUGCGGCCAUUCUGGGGUGCCGUCCUACCCGUGUCAAGCCAUUCUGGGGCGCUGACCUACCCAUGUCGAGCCAUUAUGGGGUGCUGACUACCCUUCGGUCCUAACAACCGAACCUCGGAGACUAUUUCACCCCUACUACUACUAUCACAUAUAUCAUAGCAUAAUCUAUUGUCGGAGAUAUCUGGAGUGUCUGACAUACCUUUCGGUCCUAACAACCAAAUCUCGGGGACUCUUCUCCCUCCUACUACCUUUAUCUCAUGUAACAAAUCAUGCUAGCAGCUAAACAUGUCAUAACAUAUUGUUAGGCAUACCUGGGGUGCCUAGCCUACCCGUCGGUCCUAACAACAGAACUCUAUCACUAUCACAUACCAUAUCACGCUAACAUAUAACAUAUCAGGUAGCAAAAACACAAACGAAUAUAACAAAGAAAAACAUCUAGCAUACGAUCCUUACUGGUUGGCUGGCCUUGUGGCCGUAGACCCACCGCUACUGGAAGGUAACUCACCUCGUAGUAGCUGCUAGGCUAUGCGGGAAUCCUCUGACUGCUACUGUUGCUGCUUCGGAAAUCCUCCAGCUAAAAUUCCCACAAAACACAUAGUCAGAAACUGACAUCAACUCUUAGGGUAAAAUGACCAUUUUACCCCCUGACCAAGUCAAAGUCAAAGUCGACUUCUAGUUGACCUGACUCGCUGAGUUGGCUCGCCAACUCGCUGAGUCCAUAUCCUUCCAUUAGACCUCAAACCCGUCUCUACACGUCGAGUUAGACGAUGACUCGACGAGUUUUCCUUCUAAACGAACAUCGACCGAAUCCUCAUCCGACUCUCCGAGUUGUAUGAACAACUCGUCAAGUUCAUCAUCAACUGAUACUCAGGUCUCGUCCUUGACUCGCCGAGUUGUAUGAACAACUCGUCGAGUUCAUCUUCAUCCUUAAGAAGAUUACCUUGGACUCGCCGAGUCUGUUCAUGCACUCGCCAAGUCCCAUGAAUUCCAGAACAAUGGCUUAGUCCAGAACGUUGGGUCACCCCUUGGGACCCCCUUAAAACCUUUCCACACUCAACUGGGUCCUUAUGACCCUCAACUGAUAUGGGACAGAUCCUUAAACUCGCCGAGUCCAACAACGAACUCGCCGAGUUGCUCACAACCACUCACUGAAUCUUCGCUUUCUGAUGUACAACACUUGAUCAAAAUGUAGAUCUAAGCUUCUACAAUCAAUCUAGCACGUAAAGUUACAACCUUUACGUGCCUCCAUGGGACUUUAAGCUCAAAAGGUCCUAAAACAAGCUCUCAAAAUGCAUGGGGCCUUCUUUGAGUGAAAAAGCACUCCUUUCUGCCUUGUAACCGCUCAAAGGACCUUGAUCUGAAACAUCAACCUCAAACCAUGCUUGCAAUCAUGGUUGGUGACCAAAAUGGCUUAGAAAAUCCCUAAAACUCCACAGAAUGGAAUCUAUCAAAAGAGCAAGAACGGUGUAGACUUUAUACCUUCUGAAGUAAGCAAAUGAUGCUCAAAAACGAAUCCUUCAAGCCUCAUCUUAAUCGUUCAAGCUUUUCCUUCCUUCCUUGAAACACAAAAGCACCAAAAUCACUCCCAAAAGCCUUGGAUUGCUUCAAUAACGACUAGGGUUUGCUUUGGGGGUCUUCUGGGAGAAAAUGGGACUAAGGGGGCCGAGUUAAGGUGUUUAAAUUGGGUGCAAAUGCUCGGAUUAGGGUUUUUGCCCAAACAGGGUCUACUCGCCGAGUCUGGAACUCGACUCGCCGAGUCCACAACUUAAACUCCGUGCCUCAUCCCACUUCUACUCGGCGACUUGGUCCAUCAACUCGCCGAGUCCAAGGCCAAAGGCAAAAUUAUUAAAAGAUUUAAUAAAAAGAACACAUUCCAAAACCAGGUGCUACAGUAUGGUCGUGAACAUGAGUGUACGACCGUACACUCAAUGUGCCUGUACACUACCUCCCAUAUAUAAGAUAUUCCAUUCAUGUUUACCAUUCCUCACACUUCAAUGUCUAUAAAAUCGGUUCUCUCUCAACUAUCAUCAAUCCUUUCACCUUGAUCAUCAAAUAUGUAAGUAUUCCUUCCGUUUGUUUAGUUGAUACACUCAUUGGGUAUCACCCAUUGAUUUCAUCCGUGAAAACACCUCUUUUGGGUUAGAUCUUCAAUAACACCAAGAACACACACCUUUUGUUGGGUCGUGAACCCCUAAAGAGAUCCAAUAGUGUGAGCAUUCCCUCUAUCACCUAGUUAGACAUGUUAAACACUUGAUUGAUAGCCUUGAAACAUCAUGAAACUCAUGAUCAUCAAUAGUGUACGGCCAUACACUCUAUGUAUGGUCACAAACUCCUGUUUGACGCAUAACCUAAGGCCUUAAACACUUGCUAGGUACUUGUUAUCCAUUAGAACUCUUGAACCCUUGAAUCCCCCUGAAUCAAGCCCUAAAUUGCACCAUUUUGGACUAUGUACGGCCAUACACACUUGCUGUGGUAGUAAACUCAAGUGUGGCCGUGAACACUCUUCCCUUCGCCAUACACUCCCCUUUGAUCAAUCACAUAUGAUUUCAACACUUCAUUUCAAGUGUUUCCUAGUCCCUAAGGGAGUUUCCUUGCAUAUUAGUUGUUUAAAACACUAAUUACAUGCCUAUAUAUGCCAAUAUAUGUCAUUUAGGACUCGUUUGUGUUUCGAGAAUUCAUUCGUGGACUCGUUUAUGCCCCUACAAUCAAUCUUUUAAAUGUUUAAAUGCUUUUAAGGGGGGGGGGAAGAGAGAGAGAGAGAAAGAGAGAGAGAGAGAGAGAGAGAGACAGAGAGAGAGAUAGAGAGAGAGAGAGAGAAUACAAGUUGAACGCAAUGAUAAUUUUGUAGAUGUUAUUUGUAAUAACUAUCAUAUUCAAAGGAUUUUUUAUGCUUUAUAAGUGAUCAAAACCAUUUCAAAACUCUUUUAAAGUUAUGCUACUUUAUUGUUUAUAAAACACCAUUUCGAAAGUACAAUUAUAAUUCAGUAGAUAAAUGAGUCUAUUAUUCAAGUCAGUAUCAAUUCAAGUAAACAUCCUAGUAAACUAUAAUGGUGCCUUGGAAGCCUUAGGGAGGAAGUUAGGGGAUCAGGGUUAUCCAAGAUACAUCUGCCUUAUCCUAAACCUUCCUAAUCACCUAUAUAAACACUUAAAGGGUUCGAUUUUGUCUAAGGGCACUCCAAGAGAGGCUACGGCUGAAUUUUCCACUUCCUUUCUCUCUCCAUAGUAAUCCUUGGUUGCUAUGUUUGUUUGUGAGCCAUUAGAGGCAGGACACUUGUGGCGCAUGCUACCAAAGUUCAAGAUCUUCAAGGAUUUCAUUGUUAUUACAAUAUAAAAAAUAAAGGUAUGUAUCCUAACCUUAAUUAAAUGUUAAUUUCAAAAAUUACAUAUGCCUCCUAGGGUUUCUAGUUUUUGUGUUGAAUGCUUGUAUGUCUAAUAGUAAAAACAUAUAUCCUCAAACUAGGGUUGCAUGCACACAUAGCAUUGGUUGUUUUGUAUAAAACCCAUCAACCAUAAACAAAUGUCAGGGAAAAAGAGGAAAGAGGGAACAACCCAGGAAACACCGCAAGAGCAGCAAAUGGGUACUAUAUAUGCCGCCAUAAGACCUGCUACUGCAGCACCUACCGGUCGAUAGGCUGGAACACUCCGAAGUAUGAUGGUUGUAAAUACCACCACACCGAGAUUGCAAUGCUUGAAUUGCCAUAGGAAGGGGCACACUGCCCUGUUCUACAGGGCACCGACACAACCGAUAUCCCAAGUCCUCGGAGUUGAAGUAAACCAGGCCUGCUAUGGCUAUGGUGAGACAGGGCACUACAAGAGGGACUGUCCAAUCAUGAAAAACUCAGGCGCGGAUGGACGGAUUCUAAUGAUCACCGCAGGAGAAACUACCCUAGAUUCCCCAGCGACCAGCGGUACGUCUACGAAAUAAUAAUUACUUUAAAAUUUAAAUUAUAUUUAUAUAAGUUUAAAAUUUGGGGAAAUAUUUAACAGUAAUAAUAAUAACUCACUCAUCUGAAACAAAUCACAACAUUCUAAAGGGAACUAAAGAUUCGUAUAGGAAAGCUAUAAUAACUUAGUAUGUACAUCAGGGUUGUGCAUAGCUAAGAUUAUGCAGACUUAGAGUGAGUGAUUCCGCCUUAAUUCAUGUUCCUUGUUUACUUGUGGAUUUAGAGCAGAGCCAAUCAGUCGACCGUCUUAUUCAUCUAUUUAUACAUAACUUGUAAAUACCAAGAGAUCAUAGAGAUACCGAGGAGGAUCAUUCUAUAGAGUAUCAACACUAGUUAUCGAAGCACUGCACUAUUAGUACUCACUAAUCAAGGUACGAUUUAUGGUAGUGUUAAUAUCGAGGGGAAAACAUAAAGCACUAGAACAAUUACACCGAUUACAAUGUCGAUCACAGUCAUAUUACACCAUCGUAUAACAAACGCUUCUUUCAAAUCGGCUUAACCUUUGUUUCUGUAUACAGUUUGUUGCCAUCAUUCGUCAUGAAUUGGAGUGUUCCUCACCAUACUAAGUUCGUAUGUUUUCAUUGCCUCGACCGUCAAAUUCACGAAACCCUCGUCAUUCGUAACGACAACCUAACCCAGACCUCAGAAUCGUGUACCGCGUAUUCUAAACCCCAAAGUAAUCAUGUGAUGAUUACCUUGCCCUCUGACACCUUAUGACUAUAUAUUCAACAGACCUUCCCGAACUACCACUCGUCCAGCAGAUCAAGUUCAAGAACGGAGGCUAAGGACGAAUAAAGCACACCUAUCACUAAUAGUGUAUACGCUACAGUGGUAUAUGAUUAUGAUUAUGCAGAUUUAGUAUGUGUGUUUCCGCCCUAUCUCCUGUUCCUUGUUUGGUUGUGGACCUAGGGUAGAGUCGCACAUCCGACCGUCUUACUAAACUUAAUUAUAUACGACUUGUAUACGCGAAGUAAUGAUAGAUGGACCAGGUAUGAAUCCUACUAUGGACAUUAGGGCAAUGUUGCUAGGUCUACGAGUGGUUAAGUUUUAACAUUUUAUGAUUAACACUUUAGGAGAUGCCAGGAGAGGGGAUGCUAUUAGGGUUAUUGUGCAACAAUGACAUUUCAAACUCCAAGAAAUUGGAAUUACACGACCCAAACAUAGAGUUUGCGGUCCAAAACCCUAGGGGUAUAUAUAUGGUCCUUAGCCACAUUUAUUCAUUUGUUCCAUUUCCAACUAGAGAAAAGCAAAAUUCUCUCUCAUGGAUCUUCGGCCUUUCGUCCCAAAUCGUGAGUACUUCUAUCUAAGUGUAUUAUAGAGCUUGAUAUGUGUCUAAUAACCUAGAAAUCGUAUGAAAACAACAAGAUCAAAGAGUUUACGGCCCAAGAACAUCUUGGACCGUAAACCCUUCUUUAAGGGACAAAAGAGUGCCCUAGUCCCUUCCUUUUGCAAUGAAACUAGCCUAGACUCGUACCCUAAUGUAUGUAAGACUAGAAAACACACCAAGAACACAAAGAGUAAGGUGUUCAUGGCUCAAGAAGUUCUUGGACCAUGAACCGCAAUCAAGAGUUCCAAGGUGUGCUUUAACUCUUCAUAAGCCUUGGACACUAGCCUAGAUCCAUUCCUAGUUAAGUUAGGGACUUGAAAAAACCAAAAACACCAUGCCCAUGCGAGAUUACAGCCGUAACCUCUAAGGGAUUUGGUUCUAGGGCCGUGAACUCCUCAAAGGAGUUGAAAGGUGCCUUAAUCUCUUCCAAGGACUAAGCCAUCAAGUAGCAAUACUUCUAAGGGACAUGUAAGACUUCAAAACACCAAAUAAACUAAGGCUUAGGAGCUGAUGGAUGUAAAGUCAAGGGUUUACGACCGUAAACUCAUUUUUGUUAUGGUCUUGGAGAGUAAACUCAAGAAUGGGGUCCUUUGGAACCCUAAACCCACAAGCCUUGUCCUACAACAACUUAGAUGCAAUCCUUAGGGCUUUAGCAUGUUCUAGGAGGUCUUAACAUUUUCAAUUAGUAGUUUAAGACUAAUUGGGUACAUAUAUGUGUGAUUAUAUGUUAAAUAGGAUCCUUGGGUGUGUACAAGUUUUCACUUGACACAUAGCAAUCCUACAUCGUUCAGUUCAUCCAAACCACCAUCCUCAGGUGAGGUCAUACCCCUUAAUCAAUGUUUUAAAUGAUUUUAAAUGCUUUAAUGGGGGGAAUACAAGUAGAAAACAACAUGUUAUUGAAUCAAUAAUAUGUGAUUUAUAACUGUGUUUUCAUCCAGUAGAUUUCACAUACUUCAAAAUGUGAUGCAUGAAAUGGUUUUUUAUCUUAAAAAUACUUUGUUAUCAAAUGUAUUACUUUUCAAAUGUUUAUUAAAAUGACAUCAAGUCAUUGUUAAUUAUAGUUCAAAACUCUUAAAUGUCUUACAAAACCAUUUUCAACUUCUUGAUCAAAACUAUAUCUUUACACUUAUGUUCCUAUAUAUGUAUUGAUAUGAUAACUUUCAUCCUUCAUUCAGCUUCCCACACUCUUGUGUAGCAAGGGUGUAUAAACCUUCUUGGUCAAUCAAUUACCGUCCAGUUAACUAAUAUAGGGAUAGUUAGGAGAUACAAAACAUUAUUCCUAUUACAAGGAAUUACACCAGAGUUAGUUCAUUCAGGAGUCUAUACUACACAUUACAUGUUACAUGAAUACGUCUACAUCGAUACGCUUACAUGAAUACAUUUACAUAUAUACAUUUACUUGUAUACACUUACAUGGAUACUUGUACAUAAAUUAUAUAUGAUGAGUUACUAGUACAUAUUAUACGUGUAAAUUGUUCUGCCUAUCCUAGUUCAAAAGCAUAACUAGACGGGACUAACCAUUCCGGAACCCACCUGUUAGCAACAGAGGUAAUGAACAUCUACGGAUGCCUAUGGUUAAUACUUAUAUUAAGGGUAACUUUACGGGACUAACCAUUCCUUAAACCUGCUGCCAGCUACAGAGGAAAAUGAACAAUCUACGGAUGUUCAAGGUUAUACAUUUCGGCAGUCGCGAUGUCGAGUUGAUCCUAAUACAAAAGGAUAACACUUACAUGGCUAUAGUUUUCCUAUUACUUUAUUUUUUGAUAUAUUCCCAUAAACGACGAGGUAGACAAUUUACUGUUAGUAGUAGUCAAAAAGAGGAAAAACUAUCUUUGUUAUAGCAAAACAUACAGGUCUUGGUAGAAGAUUACUUUCAAACAUUCGGGUCUUGGUAGAAGGCUACUCUUAUACUAGUAGGAAAUAUGGGAUUUUCUAGGGUUUUCAAACUUAUAUCUAAUGUUUCAUUAAAAGAUUUACAUGGCAUUCAUAACAUCUUUCCAAAUCAAGGCAAUCACACUUAAUUACUUAUGAAUUCACCAGCUUUAUGCUGAUACUCGCUUUCAAAAUAACUUGUAUUCUCAGGUCACCAGUAGACUGGUACAAUGGCUAGGUUUUGAGAAGACAGAGCACAGUCAAGACUCUUAUUUUAUUUUGAUUACAUAUUUUGGUGUCUUAUUACAAUGAAAGAGCACACAUGUAUUAAAACUUUACUUUUAAUGCAAUGGAUGAUGUUGUUGCUUAUUUACAACUUUGCAUUGUUGUGAUACUGUACAUGACGUCCUCCACCCCUGAACGUUUCCGUCGUUCUUCAUUUUGGGGUGUGACAAGUACUACUAAGAAAGUUAUAUUUGGGACCAAAUUCCAUCUAAUAGGGGGAUGAUAUGACAACCCGAAAAUUUUUAUCUUAUAAAGUCCAGCCAAUCAGUCGAGAGUCAGCCUCGUUUCUUCUAUCUUUAAGCACUGUUUAAGGUUUGUUUGAGUGUUCUAAGCCUAGUACAUUCAUAUUUUGGGGUUAGGGAUGAGUUAACUUUAUUGCAUCAUGUUGCAUUCGAGCCAAAAACACCAUCAACUGGUGUGUACGGCCGUGAACAUGAGUGUACGGUUGUACACUCAAAGUGGUCGUACACUACCUUCCUUAUAUACGGUCGUACACUCAAUCGGAACCCUUCAUAUUCAGGUUCCAUAGUUCAAGCUCUAGCUGCUGCAUUUCGCCUCGAGGGCAGUAUUCUGCAGGUAAAAGCUCCUUCAUGACUUCCCAACCCAUAACAUUGGCUACACACAGGGUUAGGGAUUUGACUCGGCCAUUCCACCAAGUCAGGGCUUUAUUGGUGAAGGUGCAGGCGGUGAACUUCACCUUAUUAGAUUUAGAGAAGGCACAAAUUUCGAAAAUAGAUUCGAUUUUCUCGAACUACCGAGUUAGGGCUAUGACACCUCCAGUGUCAUCGAAUGAUGUGGGUUUUGCGUUCACAAAAUCCUUGUAGGAACACUCCAUACGGUGUCCUUGGCUACCUUCCUGGUUUUGGGGCUGAGUACCACCUCCUAGACCGCCUGAACCACCGGGGUUCAUGUGUGACAAAGCGAUAGCCACAGCAGCAGCAGCAACAGCUGCUUGGAACAUGGCGGGAUCAAAUUAAGGACGAGGUGGUGGUGGAAGAGGAUGGUUGUUCUUUGAGUUGGGUCUUUUCCAUGGAGGCAUCUUGAUCUAAAAUAGCCGGGAAGGAGAGGAUUAUAAGUCCUCUGAAUUGAAUCAAGAGGUAUGGAACAAGAGAUAUCUCAUUAUGACAGGUAUAAUGAUCUACUAAGCGAUAAAACAGGAAGGAGUUAUCAAAGCAGAUAAACUAUCACUAAGGAAGGAAUAAGUAGCUACACUCGGAACGAACUUCUACAACGUAUUCGGCUUUGGCUAAAAUAUUCCCAUAGUAUUUUAUGUUUCGAUGCGACGAUGACUCGUUGUUUGGAUAUCAGGUAAGUUUUAGGCAUGCUGCAUACCACAGUCACUCCCAAGCACAUGUUGGCUGUGUCUUGAAUGAAUAUAGUUGAUCAGGCUAUAUUGAACCUAGACACGACUACAUAACUUCCCAGGUUUAACCGCAGCGUACAACACCCAAUUACUUAUGUUUUGUUCUACUCGUAGUUACGGAUUCCGGCGGUUAGGUAUACUUGUAUACUUCUGAAAAAUGCUUAUAUUUUAAAGUAUACUUUUAGUUCAGAGCACUUCAGCCCCUUAGUGUUUACAGUCUUAUACCAUGUAAGGUUUGGUAUACUUAGUUCACUAUAAACAAGGGCUCUGAUACCAAUCUGUCACACCCGAAACCGAUGGCGGAAACGUUCCGGGGCAGAGGACGUCAUGUAGUAUCACAACCAAUGUACACAGUAAGCGUAGUAAACACAACCAUUACAUUACAUAGAAGUAUUUACAUUUGAUUGAAAACAAAGUUAUACAUGUUUAUAUAUACAUUCCAAAAUGAACAAAAGUUAAGACGUGAAUUCUAAGUGCUCCGUCUUCUCCAAAAGAUCAUGUGGUACAUGUCUAAUGUGGACCUGAGAAUACAAGCAGUUUGAAAAUCAGCAUAAAGCUGGUAAGUUCAUAAGCGGUUUGUUUAAUGAAAAUGAACAAGUUUCCUUUGGUUUUCUGAAAAAGUUGCUAUCUAAGAAAAUCCCAUAUUUUCUUAUAAGAAAUGUCUAGUUAUCCAAUGUUACCCAGUUUGGUUAAGAACAGUUAAUUUAUCACAGGAAAACCCUUGUUUUCCUAAAAGUUGGUGGUUGGUUAUCGAUCUGGAAUGAAGUGUACAAGUAUCUACCAUAAUUGCAAUGUUAAGAGAAGUAUUCUGAAGACCUGGUUAUCCUUGUAAAGUGCAUUAGUUUUAACACGUAUAUAAAACUAAUAAGUAGGAAGUAAACUAGUUACUAGGUUCAUUAUUACUAACAAGUAAAUCUCUGUUAUCUAAAUUGCGAGUUCCAUAACCAUGCGAUAGACUAGAUAUGGAAAUAAGAAGUCCAAUAUCAUUUUUUGACUUUUGUCACCCUUGGACCAUUCGGUCCGACUGUAGCUAGCAGCCAGGUGCGGGGUAGUCAGCCCCAUAUAGAUCUAUACACUCAAGUCACGUUCUCCCUCUAUGAGAUUCUGGUUACAGGGGCGGUCCUCCACUCACGUAUCUCUGUGGAGUGUUUCAGAGGACGUGUCUCCAAUUUUUAAGAAUAACAAAUUUACAAGUAAUAAUGUGGAAAACCCUAUUACAAAAAGGUGGUCCUUCACUCGCGUAUCUCUAUGGAGUUUUACCGAGGACGAAUCAAAAGUACUAGGAUAAUUCUUUUAACAGUAAUGACAUGGAAAAUCAUCUGUGAAGUAUAAAAUAUGACAUUUUAUAACGAGUUUCACAAACAGUUUGAAAACUAACUCUGCAAGUUAAACAGUUGGUUAAUACGGAUUCCAGUGUUAAAAGCAUAUGAAAUAUGAAACAUUUCAAAUGAAAUAAUGAGUUUGAGUACAAGAUAUUCUUGUACUUUUGCUUGUAUUCCCCCUCCUUGAAAUCAUUGAAAACACGGAAAAAGGUGUAGGGGUAUGAACUCACCGGACGAGAAAUGUGUCGGCUAGGAUGCUAAGUGUCAGUUCGGAGCUUGAGUACACGCGAGGUUCCUAUGUAAUAUGAAGAGAUACAUAAUUGUAUCUAAUUAGACUUUAAACUACUAGUUAGAUAAGAAUAUACACUCCGAGGCACGAAAACACUUCAAUUCAAGUGUUAGGAGUGAUAUGGGUAGCAUCUAAGGGGAUGUAUGGCCUAAAUAUGGAGUUUGCUCUUCAAGAGUAAACUCCUAAUGGAUAUUACGGCCCUAAGACCAUAUCCCCAUUAGUUUACGGCUGUAAACUCAUGGAUGGUGGAUUCUUGGGUGCUUAAUGGCCUUACAACACUUAUGGGGUGAUGCUAGGUUUAGUUCUAAGGCUAUGGAAGGGGAUUUUAUCAACAUAUGGACCAUUUAAGGAAUUUACGGCUGUAAACAAGGAGUUUACGGCCAUAAACUCUCAUGCACCCAUUCCUUAUGUGUUUUGGUGUCCCUCGGUUAGGUACAAGUGUUUCAAGUCCAAAAUACAAGCCAUGGAAGGAAGUUAGGGCACCAUUUAACCACCUUAUAGGAGUUUAUGGCCCAGGAACCAUUCCUUGGGGGGUUUACAGUUGUAAUCUCCUAAAGGGAUGGUUUCUUGCCUGUUUAAGGUCCCUAACGCAAUGGUGGUUGAUCCUAGACAUUAUUCCAAGGCAUACGAGGUGUUUAAGGGGCAUCUUAACACCUUAAAAGCAUGUUCUUGGGCUGUAAAAUCAUGUUUACCCCUCAAAUGUUAAAGUUUUGGUGUUCUAUAUCCAAUCUUGUAAGCCCUUAAGUCAUAUCUAAGCUCCAGAAGUGGUUUGGAAGGGUUUUGGGGCUCCAAAACACCAUUUAUGGGUGUUUACGGUUUGGGAUGGUUCUUGGGCCGUAAACACAUGUUCUUGGUCCUAUUUCAUGAAUUAAACAUGAAUUUUAUAGAUAAACAUGUUACACUAUGAGCUAGGAUGGAUUUCUUACCAAAAUGGAGCUUGAAAUGGGUGAUUUUUGGAUCAAAGGUUGAGUUUUUAGUGAGAGAGUAGAGAGAGAGAGAGAGGGAAAAAGCUUCAAAUGAGGUCAUUUCAAUCUUAAAUAUGGUUUGAAUUCAAGACCCGGUGGAAAUCUACCCGAUACUGACGUUAAACGAGGCUUAUGGUCGUACCCGAUUUAGUUGUUGUAACCCGACAUGGUCGAAACUAAAAAAUUUCCAAAUAAUAAUUUGGGGCAUUUUCAUGUGUUUCUAACGGGUUUGGAUACUCACAAGCUCAUAAUGAAAGUCGCAAAUUAAAUAAUUUAAUUCAAGAUGUAAACGAAACGAAUCGAUAAAGACGAGUUUUAUUGACAAUUACGGGUUACAUCGAUGGAAUAAACUUUGGGUUGUCACAUUAUCCCCCCGUUUGAGGGAAUUUCAUCCCGAAAUUCAAAAUGAAGAUUAAAAAUUAUGGAUUUGGAAAGAGAUGUGGAUAUUUCUGUUUCAUUGAGUCUUCGCGCUCCCAAGUGAACUCGGGUCCCCGGUUGGCAUUCCAGCGAACCUUCUCUAUCGGGAUACGGCUUUGUUUCGUACGUUUGAUCUCUCAAUCCAUGAUUUCGAUGGGUUCUUCCACAAAGUUCUGGUUUUCGUUGAUCUUGAUCUCGUCAAGGGGAAUCACGAGGGUUUCAUCGGAGAGACACUUUUUAAGAUUUGAGAUGUGGAAGACAGGAUGGAUGUUGCUAAGCUCUUGAGGUAGUCGGAGUUUAUAGGCUACAGGACCGAUUGUAGCGAGGAUCUCGAAAGGUCCUAUGUACCUCGGGUUACAUUUCCCGUGCUUUUGAAAGCGUAUCAUGCCCUUCCAGGGCGAGAGUUUCAACAGGACACGGUCUCCAACCUAGAAUUCCAACGGUUUCCGUCGUUUAUCGGCGUAACUCUUUUGUCUGUCUCGCGAACCUUUCAGUCGUUCUCGGAUUUGGAUGAUCUUCUUGGUUGUUUCGCGGAUGAUUUCAGGACCAGUGAGAGCACUGUCGGGCACUCGACUCUUGGCUAGCUGCGUGUCCCCUACCUCAGCCCAGCACAAAGGGGAUCUGCACUUACGACCGUAGAGGGCUUCAAACGGGGCAUCCUUGAUCCUGGUGUGGUAGCUGUUGUUAUAUGAGAACUCGAUCAAAGGUAAAUGGAUGUCCCAUGACUUUCCGAAAUCGAUGACACAUGCUCUCACCAUGUCUUCCAGGGUCUGAAUAGUUCUCUCACUCUGUCCAAUUGUUUGAGGAUGAUAAGUUGUACUCAUAUCCAGCUUAGUUCCAAGAGCUUUCUCAAGGGACUGCCAAAACCAUGAGGUAAACCUGAUAUCUCGAUCAGAGAUAUGGACACAAGUACACCGUGUAGUCGGACGAUCUAUUGGAUGUAGGUUCGUGUAAGCCUUUCCAUCUUGAAUGAUUCUUUGAUCGGGAUGAAGUGAGCGGAUUUUGUCAAACGAUCGACAAUUACCCAAAUGGUAUCGUACCCACUCAGAGAUUUAGGUAACUUGGUGAUGAAAUCCAUGGUAAUCAUCUCCCAUUUCCAUUCAGGUAUCUCCGGCUGCUGGAGCAGACCCGAGGGUUUCUGGUACUCAACCUUCACCUUGGCGCAAGUCAGGCACUUGCCCACGAAGGUUGCGAUUUCGGCUUUCAUGUUUGGCCACCAGUAUUGUUUCUUGAGAUCUAGAAACAUCUUGUUUGAACAUGGGUGAACAGAUUAUUUGGUCUUGUGAGCUUCGUUCAUGACAACCUCCCUGAAUCCUCCGAACUUUGGGGUCCAGAUCCGAUUCAUGAAACAAUAGACUCUGUCACCUCUGAUCUCAAGAUUCUUAUCCAUUCCUCUCAAGGCUUCGUUCGACAUGUUCUCUGGUUUGAGGGCUUCUAACUGGGCUUCUCGGAUCUGUGCAGAUAAGUGGGAAUGGAGAGUCAUCGUCAAUGUCUUUGCCUUGAACUCUCCUUUCGGCUAAGGGCAUCUGCUACCACAUUGGCCAUGUCGGGAUGGUAUCUGCUACCAAAUUGGCCUUGUCGGGAUGGUAUCGGAUUUCACACUCAUAAUCACUAAGCAGCUCUACCCAUCGCCGUUGCCUCAUGUUUAAGUCUUUCUGAUUGAAGAUGUGUUGUAGGCUUUUAUGCUCAGUGAAGAUCGUGCACUUAGUUCCAUAGAGAUAAUGUCUCAAAAUCUUCAGUGCGAAGACUACUGCUCCUAACUCCAAGUCGUGAGUAGUAUAGUUGACUUCGUGUGCCUUUAGCUAUCUCGAGGCAUAAGCAAUAACUUUUCCUCUCUGCAUAAGAACACAGCCUAAACCCUGAUUGGACGCAUCGCAGUAAACAACGAAGUCCUCUGUCCCUUCGGGCAGGGAUAGGAUAGGUGCGCUGCACAAGGCUUGCUUUAACGUUUGGAACGCAGUUUCUUGCUUUUCACUCCAACAAAAGGGUACACCUUUCUGUGUCAGACUAGUUAAGGGUUUGGUGAUUUUGGAAAAAUUUUGAAUGAACCUGCGAUAGUAGCUAGCGAGACCCAAGAAUUGACGGAUUUAUGUGGGUGUCUUCAGUGCCGACCAAUUCUCUAUCGCCUUGAUUAUGGAUGGGUCCACGUGUAUACCCUCCUUACUUACCACCUGACCAAGGAAAGCUACCUUCCGAAUCCAGAAUUCGCACUUUGAGAAUUUCGCGUACAGCUUCUCCGUUCUAAGAGUUUCCAACACUAAUCUCAAGUGUUGUUUGUGAUAUUCCUCGCUUCUGGAGUAGACAAGUAUGUCGUCAAUGAACACGAUGACGAACUUGUCCAGAAAGGGACGACACACCCGGUUCAUCAGGUCCAUGAACACAGCCGGUGCAUUGGUUAGACCGAAGGGCAUCACUAGGAACUCGUAGUGUCCAUAUCGAUUCUUGAAUGCCAUCUUGGAAACAUCAUUCUCGUGAACUCGAAGCUGAUGGUACCCUGAUUUGACGUCUAUCUUCGAGAAGUAACUGGCUCCCUGAAGUUGAUCAAAAAGGUUGUCUAUUCGAGGAAGAGGAUAACGGUUUUUGACGGUCAACUUAUUCAGUUCACGGUAGUCGAUGCACAUCCGGAAGGAUCCAUCUUUCUUCUUUACAAACAAUACCGGGGCUCCCCAGGGUGAGGAACUCGGUCUGAUGAACCCUUUGUUGAGCAGUUCAUUAAGCUGACUGGAUAACUCCUGCAUUUCUGCUGGAGCUAAGCGAUACGGAGACUUGGCUACAGGAUUAGCUCCAGGAAUUAGGUCGAUGCGAAACUCAACUUGACAUCCAGGAGGAAUUCCCAGGAGCUCUUCAGGAAAGACAUCAGGAAAGUUACAGACUUCGGGGAUGCUCUCGAGGUCUUUAACUUCCUAUUUCUCUUUGAUUACAUGGGCUAGGAAUGAAUGGCACUCCUUUUGCAGAAGCUUUUGAGCUUUGAUGCAGGAAAUGAUGCGAAGAUUGGAGCUAAGCUUAUCGCCAUAGAUCAUGAGAGUCUGGCCAGAGGGGAGAUUCAGACGGAUGGCUUUUUCAUAACAAAGGAAAUCAUCAUGAUUUGGACUCAACCAAUCCAUGCCAAUGAUAACAUCAAAGCUCUUUAUGGAAACUGGCAUUAGGUCAAUGGGAAAAGAAUGACCGUUCAGGGUAAGGGUACAACCUAUGAAUAUAUCGCUAGCACUUUCUUUCUCACCGUUAGCCAUCUCAACGGUAAAUGUUUCGGUUAAUGGUUGGGGAUUAUGUUUAAGAAGGCGUUUGAAUGAAUGGCUAACAAAACAACGUUCAUCACUAGAAUCGAAAAGGAUACUAGCAUAAGAGUUGUCGAGAAGGAACGUACCCAAGACAACUAUGGGAUCGGCGACUGCCUCCUCUCGUCCCAAAGCUAGGACUCUCCCAGUGUUACCAGCUGUUGUCGCUUUGGGGCAGUUUCUCUUAAAAUGCCCGACUUCACCACAUCCGUAGCAGGCCUGACCAACAGCCGCUCUGGAGGUUUGAGUUGUUGAUUGGGUUGGUGCUUUGCAUAAUCGAAUCGUAUGCCCCUUUUUACCACAGUUGGAGCAUGACAAAUCACGGCAGGGGCCGGGUUUAUGGAGGAAAUUACACUUAUUGCAUCGGGGAAGGGUAUCAGCAUACCUAUUGGCAGGUGCUUGAGUUGUAGAACCAACGACAGAAAGAGCAGUAGAGGAAGGAGUAGCGCGGACUGCCACCGUUCGCUACUCUUUGUCGAUUUAGGAGUAGUGGCCACUUCCUCAAGGUCAUGACAAUGAUCAAUCAAAGUUUGCGCUAAAAUUUGGCGCUGUCAUAGGUAUCUGGCUUCGCAGCCAAAACGUUUCCUUUGGUUGGCUGGUUCAACCUGCAGAUGAACUUCUCAAUCUUUCUACUCUCCGGGGUAACCAUUCCCGGACAGAGUAGCGCCAAGUCAUCAAAUCUUGAAAUGUAAGCGGCAAUAUCGGAACCCUUCAUCUUCAGGUUCCAGAGUUCAUGCUCUAGCUUCUGCAUUUCAACUCGAGGGCAGUACACUGUAAGUAAAAAGCUCCUUCAUGACUUCCCAACCCAUAGCAUUGGCUACAGGUAGGGUUAGGGAUUUGACUGGGCCAUUCCACCGAAUCAGGGCUUUAUCGGUGAAGGUGCAGGCGGCGAACUUCGCCUUAUCAGAUUCAGAGCAGGCACAGAUUUCGAAAAUAGAUUCGAUUUUCUCGAACCACCGAGUUCGGGUUAUGACACCUCCAGUGCCGUUGAAAGAUGUGGGUUUCGACUUCAUAAAAUCCUUGUAGGAACACUCCUUCCAGUGUCCCUGGCUACCUUCCUGGUUUUGGGGCUGAGUACCACCUCCUGGACCGCCUGAACCACCGGGGUUCAUUUGUGACAUAGCGACAAGCACAGCAGCAACAACAGCUGCUUGCAACAUGGCGGGAUCAAAUUGAGGAGGAGCUGGUGGUGGAGGAGGAUUGUUGUUCUUUGAGCUGGGUCUUUUCCUUGGAGGCAUCUUGAUCUAAAAGAGCAAGGAAGGAGAGGAUUAUAAGUCCUCUGAAUUGAAUCAAGAGGUAUGAAACAAGAGAUAUCUGAUUAUGACAGGUAUAAUGAUCUACUAAGCGAUAAAACGGGAAAGAGUUAACAAAGCAGAUAAACUAUCGCUAAGGAAGGAAUGAGUAGCUACACUUGGAACGAACUUCUACAACGUAUUCGGCUUUGGCUAAAAUAUUCCCACAGUAUUUUAUGUUUCGAUGCAACGAUGACUCGUUGUUUGGAUAUCAGGUAAGUUUUAGGCAUGUUGCACACCACAGUCACUCCCAAGCACAUGUUGUCCGUGUCUCGAAUGAAUAUAGUUGAUCCGGCUAUAUUGACCCUAGACACGACUACAUAACUGCCCAGGUUUAACCGCAACAUACAACACCCAAUUAUUUAUGUUUUGUUCUACUCGUAGUUAUGGAUUCUGGCGGUUAGGUAUACUUGUAUACUUUUGAAAAAUGCUUAUAUUUUAAAGUAUACUUUUAGUUCAGAGCACUUCGGCCCCUUAGUGUUUAUAGUCUUAUACCAUGUAAGGUUUGGUAUACUUAGUUCACUAUAAAAAAGGGCUCUGAUACCAAUUUGUCACACCCCGAAACCGAUGGCGGAAACGUUCCGGGGCAGAGGACGUCAUGUAGUAUCAUAGCCAAUGUACAUAGUAAGCAUAGUAACACAACCAUUACAUUACAUAGAAGUAUUUACAUUUGCUUGAAAGCAAAGUUAUACAUGUUUCUAUAUACAUCCCAAAAUGAACAAAAGUUAAGACGUGACUUCUAAACACUCUGUCUUCUCCAAAAGAUCAUGUGGUACCUAUCUAAUGCAGACCUGAGAAUACAAGCAGUUUGAAAAUCAGCAUAAAGCUAGUGAGUUCAUAAGCGGUUUGUUUUCUGAAAAUGAACAAGUUUCCUUUGAUUUUCUGAAAAAGUUGCUAUCCAAGAAAAUCCCAUAUUUUCUUAUAAGAAGAGUCUAGUUAUCCAAUGUUACCCAGUUUGGUUAAGAACAGCUAAGUUAUCACAGGAAAAACCCUUACUUUCCUAAAAGUUGGUGGUUGGUUAUCGAUCCGGAAUGAAGGGUACAAGUAUCUACCAUACUUGUAAUGUUAAGAGAAGUAUUCUGAAGACCUGGUUAUCCUUGUAAAUUGCAUUAGUUUUAAUACAUAUAUAAAACUAAUAAGUAGGAAGUAAACUAGUUACUAGGUUCAUUAUUACUAACAAGUAAAUCUCUGUUAUCUAAAUUGUGAGUUCCAUAACCAUACGAUAGACUAGAUAUGGAAAUAAGAUGUCCAAUAUCAUUUUAUGACUUUUGUCACCCUUGGACCUUUCGGUCCGACUGUAGCUAGCAGCCGGGUGUGGGGUAGUCAGCCCCGUAUAGAUCUACAUUAGGGUUUUACCUAAUGCAACACACUAUAUAAGGACCAUGUCUUUCCCCAACAUCGGCUACACUAGUGAUACACUAGAGAAACAAGAGGGUUUGGCUGAUUUUGAGUGUGUUAGAGUAUUCUCUUAAGUUUAUACUUUGCAUUUGGUGUUGUGUGAAGCAUUUGAGGCAUCACACUUGAGGUGCUAGGCUCACAAGGUUUCAAGGAACACUUACAACAACAAGGUAUGGAAUUCUAUCUAUUAUUCAAGUUAGAAUUGUUCCCCAUGUAUGCUAGAUAGGAUCAUAGCCUUGGAAAUCAACUUUUCAUGGUAAUUAGACAAACAUAGAUCCAAGGUUAUUAGGGUUGCAUGUACACUUAGGAAGUGUUAGAAUGCUCAAAACCCAACAGUGGUAUCAGAGCCAGGUUUGUUUGUUUGUUAUUUGUGCUAAAUAGGUGAAAAAGUCGAUUUUUUUUUUUGCAAUCUGACUAAUGAACUUGUCGAGUCCAUGGGGGGACUCAUCGACUUCAUGUGAAUCUUCAACCUACUUGCAGAGUAGGUUCAUGCACUCGACGAGUAGGAGCCUCAGAAUGCAGAUUUUCGACUUUAGUUGCUGGAAAUGGACUAGAUACAUUACCCUAAACUAUUUUGGUACUUGAAAACCUGUUUUAGAUGGUGUAAUGUCUUUGCUAAUCCAUUUACAACAACAAGUUAUCAAAAUCACAAAGUUUUAAGUGUAAUUUUUGAUUCAUGAAAGUGUUCAUAUUCAUGUUCUUGAUCUUAUGAUGUUUAGAUGAUCAUAGGAAUUAUUUGUAACCUAUGUGGUAGAUUAAUUCAUGAUCAUUAUGUGUUUUAAUGGAGUCCAUAACUUGUCCUCAAGUUAUGGAAAACCAAAAGUCACUUUGUUUAAAAACCAUUAAAAGAACACAUGGGUUAUAAAAAUGAAGAGUCUUCAUUUUUAAUACCCUAAUAAACUCAUAAGUUACAAGAAAUGAAAAGUUUUGAAAGUUUACAAAACUUGCCCUCAAGUUUUGGAACAAGUAAAGUCUUGAUUAAAACUUUAGUUCCAACCCUUAGAAUUUUAAAAGUUAAAAUUCAACCCUUAUACUUAUAUUAUUAUGAUUUAAUAAUUAUAUAUAUAUGUAUAAGAACAAAGUCGUCUUACCGCUAGUACGCCUCAUUCACGAAGCCGGUCUAUAAGGUGGGUAUAAGGUUGUUGCCUAUAAAAUGGUGACUUAAUGGGUGUCCACUCUCACCCACCGCUUGCUUGAUCGGUGGAGGGUCGUUAGCCGAACGGGUAAGACAAGGACUUAUUAAUUCUCAUUCAAAGUAUGAUGAAUAUUAUAAAGUAACUAAAUGUUUUAUUAAAUUCCCAAUCUUAGUUACUUUAGGAAAAAUGUGAAUAAGGUGCUAUUCCAUGAAAUUACACUUUACACUUUGAUUAAGUCGUUGGUGGAGCGUGUGUGGUUAACCGGCACACUAACUUGGACUUAACAAGGUAGGUAAAGGGUGACUUAGGGUUUAUUAUAGUAUCGAUGGAGCGUGUGUGGUUUACCGGCACAUCGAUUGAGUGAUAAACUUUAAGGGUACCAAGUGAUUUGCAUGGUUACUUCACACCUCGUUUUGUGAUCCUCGGCAUCCCAGUCACAACACUUGGAGGGCACACUCGAGAUUGAAACAUGCCUUUGAAAAGUUCAUUGAAUCUCAAAAGAAUCUAGGGGUUUCUAAGAACCAAAUUAAAUAUUUUAAUAUUUCGACUUUGGUGGAAAUUGGUGAAUUGUCAUUCACCUACCUUUCAAAUAUGUUAUUACUUAGAUUACAACAUACCUCUUCUAAGUAUAAUAUAUUAUGAUUGGGUCCUAGCCUUAAUACUACAUUUGAGUGUUUUAUUAAGGACUAUCUCUUUUU
rnacentral:lncRNA from 1 species